GCUUUGAACAUCAGCUUUCCAAUCUUGUGGCGGACGAACUUGAUGUCGAAGCCGGUAGUAAACUCGGACCUAACAUCGGUGGAGCAACAUCCUGUACCGUUGCAGUCCUGCCUGAGGCUGGCCACCUUGUCCGUGAUGUCUUCGUCAGGGCAUGUAGAAUUGCACUGACCCACCGUCUUGUUCGUAUCGUGAUCGAGCACAUACAUGUCGAAGUCGCAACCAGUGAAGUUUAAUUGUAAAGAAUAGCCACCGGGAGAUCUCCCAGGAUUCCAUGAGAUGCUGUAUGCAUCCUCGUCAGGUCUCACGUGGACGGAUUCGGAAAACGAUACCUCAAUAAUUUGUCCGGCAUAGUCAUCGCCGGGUUUGAUGUCAUCGACGACCUCGGUGAUGCCGUCGUGCAGGAAGAGUCUGGGGGGCUGCGACACAUCGUGGGUUCUGUUGCAGAAGAGCUCAAAGUCUCGCCGCGGCGGCCGGAAGCNNNNNNNNNNACCCGGCCCUAUGCCGAACGGGUAGUCGAAGCUGAGGUUGCCACACCUCUUCUGACAGCCGGCCAGGGAGGGAAGAUCACUCCUGUUCCCGGCCUGGCUUCCUUGCACGCCAGCGGAUGCUCGCACCGUUGCCAUCCAUAGCAACAGCGGCGCGACCAAGCAGAGGCUCCUCAUCGUCUUCAUCACAGUAUUUGUGGGAAAAUGGUGUAUUAAGCUUUAGGUGUCUCGCUGCUUUAGCUUCCAGCAUUGGUACUCUUGCAUAUUUAUGUACCUGUCCAGUAUCACCAUUUUCAAACGGAAUUACACGUUCCGUCGCUGUUGUGGUGGAAAAAGGACAGACAUUUUCCGAACUUGAUUUUGUAAGGUAGGGAACGUCUUUGAAGAGUUCAGCAUGCAUGCAAACUAGUAUAUCAGCAAAGGUUAUUUUAAUGUUGAAUUUUUAAAAAGUUUUAUCUUUUAAACUAUAAAUCCAAUUGACGAUCCGUUUUCACCGUUAGCUUUCUCGCAAGAGAUCUUUAAAACUAGAUCCCAUGUCGACAUGUUUCGACAAUAUUUUUUUUCGUCGAUAGUUGUCAGAUUACUAUUAUUUAGUUGUUACAUUAUGAGACACUUAGUAGCCACAUUUAAUUAACUUAGUUGUCAACUUGGCAACCGUGUGUAUAGAUUUUUGGCAACUACGCUUGCUUAAACCCGACGACCAUGUUUGACAAAUGAUUGUUGCCUUGUAGCAAUUUGCAUUAUACAUGAUAUAAACGCAUGUCAUAGUUUUGAUUUGUCAAUUUAAAUAUGUCAACUUGUCAUAUUUACAUACAACUUUGCUAGAAUUUUUUGUGCAUGUUUUCUAGUUUAACUGUGCCGACUUGUCAUAUUUACUAACAAUUAUCAAAAACAAAAAAGAUUUCUUGUGGUCGUCGGUUUUAAAUAUGGUGAGUUGUCAUAUUUUUGCACGUUAUCGUUUCAAAAAAGUUGUUUGUGCUUGUCCAUUCGAUUAUGUCGAGAUGUCAUAUUUAUACGCAAUUUUUAAAAAAUAUGGCGAUUAAGUUACUUUAUCAGACAAAUAAGUACUUACUAAUAUGACAAGUAAGUGCAACAAAUGUGGUAAGUACGAGAAAAAAAAUGUUGUCAAAACAUAUCGACAUGGGAUCUAGUUUUGAAGAUUUCGUCGAAACAAAGUUAACGACGAAAACGGAUCAUCGACCGAAUUAACGGUUUAAGAGAUAAAUUUUUUUAAAUUCUGACCAUAGAAACGAAAUCUAAGGUGAGCCCGCUGCAUGGGAGCACCCGCGUACGCACGCUUCUCUUUAGAUUUUUCCAACAAUAAAAUACAAAGCAUAUAAAAAGUGAGUAAAAAUUAUAGCUAAAAUGUAUUUUCUAACCAAAUAUGGAGGAUGAACUCUAAUGCAAAAAACUACUUAUGACUAAUAUACAUGAAUUGAUGAUGUGAAACCAUUGCAUGCAUAGAAAAAUGCAAAAAAUUUAUAUCUUGCAUCGCAUACUUACUUACGUGUCAUGAUUGCAUGGCUAGAAAACUUAGGUACUGGGUUGUAGUUAUUUAGGAAUAGAGAAUUCGCAGACGAUUGUCUUAUUUUUCAAUGGAACACAUACAUUAUUUCAAUUAUCCUGGCAGCACGGCAAACAUCUCUGGCAACCACAAUUCUUACAUCAACGGGUAACAUCUUCCAGCUGCCAAAUGGCUCUCUCUAGAACAAACAAAAACCUCCGACAAGGAGGAGCUGAUCGUCCAUAGCCAACCCAACGCCAUGGAUACAACCAGCACUGCCAUAGCAUGCAGCAUGCAUGCCGCCAGGAUCUUUUCAUAUCCUCUUGGGGCGAUCGAGCAACAGGUCUGUUUUUGCUGGUAUAUAUUGAUCCGGAUUCGGAUGCUCAAGUGGUAUUUAGAAUAUUUCAAAAAAUGGGACAUCCAACUACAAGGAAACAGGGGUCUUUGGCAUUAGUGUCAAGACAGAUAGAUUGAUGCGGCAUGGUUCCAGCGGUGUUGCGAAAUUAGACUAGACAGGCAGAGCUGCUUGCAUCGUAGAAAUAAAUCGGUGUCUUAUGUUAUUAUUGUUGCAGGAGAGAAAAUUAGGAGCUAGCAUAGAGAUAACACUAGAAGAAAAUAAUGCUUUGGUUCUGGCCAGAUAAAAGCAACAGUCUCAGUUGUACUAUCAACGGAGAUUAAUGGAAGCAUCAGUCCUGAUUCGAGCGGUUACGCCGGCCGGGCCUCUGUUUACCUCUUGUGAAGUCCUAGCUAAGCUAGCAGACGAGAUUAGACUAGUCGUCGUCGAUCGAUGACCGAUUAGCUAGCCAGUCCAUGCAUUGCUAUAGAUAUAGAAAGCAGUACACAUCUUGGGCGCCGGCCGGCUUGACUUCUCGGUGAUUAUGUUGAUAGAUACAGCUGAUUCCACAACUAGUUAACAUCACCACUAACUCUGAUAGAUCCGUGACAAGUUAGCUCGAACUGGGGAGUAGCUUAUAGUCUAGAAAAGGAGACGAGAAAACAACUCAACCAAGGGAAAGGUGCACGCAAUGCGACACGCAUGCAAUCAAAAGGAGAGAAGACAUGCCAGCCACUGCCAUAUCAGGGUCCAACACGGUGCGGGUUUUUUUCCACUGUUUUGACCCACCACUAGUGGGGACAGGGUCUAUAGCCCCGGCCCGUAAGGGCUUUAGUCCCGGUUCACCAACCGAGACUAAAGGGGCAGGACUAAAUGCCUAACCUUUAGUCCCGGCCCUGUUCCAAGCCGGGACCAAAGGUGUUCCACAUGGACGUCUCAGAGCACCCUCAGGGGCAGGCCCUUUAGUCCCGGGUCUUUACACGGACCGGGACUAAAGAGUUUCAGAUUUUGUUUAUUUUUGGGUUUAGGGUUUUAGGAUUUAGGUGUUCGGGAGAAUAACGUGAUGCCUCGUUUGGUGUUCGGGAAUUAGUUUUCAUAUAAUUANNNNNNNNNNNNNNNNNNNNNNNNNNNNNNNNNNNNNNNNNNNNNNNNNNNNNNNNNNNNNNNNNNNNNNNNNNNNNNNNNNNNNNNNNNNNNNNNNNNNUCAGAUGAAAAUGCAAGUGACAACACUAAGAUUUUUUCACUAUCAGAGUUAGAAAAGGCAACAAAUGAUUUUGAUCCCACGCGUAUCGUUGGUCGUGGAGGGCAUGGCAUGGUUUAUAAAGGCAUCUUAUCCGAUCAACGGGUAGUGGCCAUAAAGAAGUCUAAAGUCAUUGAGCAAGUUGAGAUAAGCCAGUUUAUCAAUGAGGUUGCAGUCCUUUCCCAAGUAAAUCACCGGAAUAUUGUGAAGCUCUUGGGUUGUUGUCUUGAGACCGAAGUCCCACUGCUAGUGUAUGACUUCAUCCCUAAUGGUUCGUUAUUUGGAAUCCUUCAUGCCAGUACCACUAGCAGCUCUAUCUUCUCCUGGGAUGAUUGUUUGAAAAUUGCUGCGGAAGCUGCUGGAGCACUGUAUUACCUCCACUCAGCUGCUUCGGUAUCGAUAUUUCAUCGUGAUGUGAAGUCCACUAACAUACUAUUAGAUGGAAAUUACACUGCAAAAGUAUCAGAUUUUGGUGCUUCAAGGUUAGUUCCUAUUGACCAAACUCACGUUGUUACAAAUAUACAAGGCACAUUUGGAUACUUGGAUCCAGAAUAUUACCACACGUGUAUGUUGAAUGAGAAGAGUGAUGUCUACAGUUUUGGUGUAGUACUUGUAGAGUUGCUGCUCAGAAAGAAGCCUAUUUUUACAAGUGACUCUGGGCUAACGCAAAACUUGUCCAACUACUUUCUUUGGGAGAUGAGGGAGAAACCACUUGCAGAAAUAGUAGCUACUCAAGUUCUCGAGGAAGCAACAAAUGAAGAGAUAAAUGAUGUUGCCAAUCUUGCGGAGACUUGCUUGCAACUACGAGGUGAAGAGAGACCUACAAUGAAACAAGUGGAGAUGAAAUUGCAGUAUGUGCGAUCUAGAAGGUUGAGAUCAUCUCAGGUUGUUCUGAAAAAUGAAGGCAUGCAACCCUUGUCAAGUGGACAAAGCCAAGACACUCUUCCGCUGUUGACUACUCCGAGUGGUAGAGUAGACCGAUUUAAUAUAGCUUCUCAAAGGAACCAAAAUUGCUACAGCUUGGAGCAAGAGUUCAUGGCAUCGGCGACUCUCCCGCGCUAGCUGAUCAUGUUCUCAACAUUAAUGUGUGGUUGUCUGCCUUUUUUAUUGAAGAGCUAUAUUAUUUUUUUGUCGUUUGAUGGAGAGGGUAAAGUAUAGUCUGUAUAAUGCAGUAAAUAAUGUCCGGUUUAUCGUAUUCAGAUUGAAAAAGUUCCAUUCUUGUUAUUGCCCCAAAAAAAGUGUAGUGCUACGGAUCUACCAUAUUAUUAUGUCUGGACCUGACGGUUGGGCAUUGUAAAUUGUAACAUCCUGAUUUUCGUGGGUUAAAACAAUUAAAAGAAACGGACACCAUGGUUGUUUAAAUGAAGUAAUGUAUUUUAUUUGGAGUAACCCAAAUAAAUUCAAAAAAUAUAUUAAUGCAUGAAUGUAAUGCCACUGUUAAAUUGUGAUUCAAAUUCUAUCGUAUUGAACUAGACGUAGUACAAACGGUGUUGGUACCAACGCGUACGAGUACAACUCGUUUACUUGUCCUUCAAGGACUCUCAUGUAUUGUCCCUCAUAUAUACUCUAUGUAGUCGCAUCUAAAGACGGCAUGUCAUCUCGUGCUUGUAAUACUCCACCCUCAUAGUGAUUGCGCCUUCAUGCGUCCGUGGUUUUCUUCCGCAAGGGUUUUCACGUAAAAAUCCGUGUCUCUUGUGUCUCCUUAAUCUCGUUUUAUCUAACAAGUGGUAUACAUAGCAGAGGUUCUACACAUACGAUAUUUGGGACGAGAGCUAGGGUUCGGCAUCGUGUGAGCCGCCACCGACACGACCUGACGAUCCGAAGCCAGAUCGAUUACGGAGCCGAGUUCGACACGCUGCUGCAGUUGUCGUACGCGGCGUAGUAUAUAUCUGCGAGUUCCGCUGCCGUGCACAGGAUACAAGUCUUGAUCGAGGGUUUCGGCGGCAAGUGCCCUUACCAGCCUUCGCUUUCUCGCAUCGCCGCGUGCUGUACAAGCUGCAAGUCGCCGAGUUCCAUCGCUGAUCAAGCUCAAGUCCCGAGGAGAUCAAGUAUCGCUGCGCUGCUACUUCCCAGCCACAGAGCACCAUCCAUCAAGCAAAGUUUGUGCACUAUUUUGACGUGGAGAUACCAACCGCUCGUGAAGACUAACUAGUAGUUCGACUUUGUUUCUUUUUUCUCCAAUUGCUACGUCUACAUCCGAGACAUACUACCAGGUGCUAUUUAUCCUAUUCCGUUUGAUCCGUAAAUUAAUUCUAUCAAGAAUUUUUCUACCGGCUUUUACUACUUUGUGUACACAGAUUUAUUUACUCAUGGCAUCCAUGAAGUAUGAUCUUCCGUUGCUGGACCGUGACACAAGGUUUACCCUAUGACAAUUCAAGAUGCGUGCGUUAUUGGCACAGGCCGACUAUGAUGAUGCACUGGAUAGUUUUGGAAAGAACAGAAUUGAGGACUGGACUGCUGAUGAGAAAAGAAGGCAUCGUAAGGCUUUGUCACAAAUUCAACUCCAUUUGCAUAAUAAUAUUUUGCAGAAAGUUUUGAGCGAGAAAACUGCCGCCGCUCUAUGGUUAAAGCUGGAAGGGAUUUGCAUGACAAAAGAUCUCACCAGCAAGAUGCAUUUGAAGCAAAAAAUAUUCAUGCACAGGUUACCCGAGGGAGGUAAUGUUUUGACUCAUAUUUCAGAAUUUAAAGAGAUCAUAUCCGAUCUAGCUGCAAUGGAGGUUACGUAUGAUGAAGAAGAUACUGCUUUAAUGUUACUUUGUUCGCUGCCAAGUUCUUAUACCAAUUUUCGAGACACCAUAUUAUAUAGUCGUGAUACUCUCACGCUAAAUGAAGUUUAUGAAGCUUUGAACUCUAAGGAGAAGAUGAAAUUAAUGGUGCCUCAUGAUGGUUCAAGUUCAUCCCAAGCCGAGAGAUUAUCUGUUCGUGGCAGGACAAAGGAGAAGAACUCACAUAAUAGAAACCGUGGCAAAAGUAAGAACGGCCAGAGGGGCCGGUCGCAAUCCAGAGACAAGAAGCAGUCUUGCAGGUAUUGCAAGAGAGACGGGCAUGACAUCUCAGAAUGUUUCAAGUUGCAGAACAAGGAAAAGAGGAAUGGUACGUAUAAACCGAAAGGUAACAAACAAGGUGAAAAUUCUGCUAAUGUUGCUCGUGAUGAAAGUUCCGAUGAUGCUCCUGUUGUUAUUGCUGGAUGUGUUGAGACCAAUGAUGAGUGGGUACUUGACACUGCGUGUACUUUUCAUAUGUGCCCGCAUAGAGAUUGGUUUACUACUUUUGAUUCUACUACUGCUGCUGGUUCCGUUUUGGGUUUUGAUAAUUCACCAUGCAAGAUUGAAGGCAUAGGUUUCAUUCGAAUCAAGAUGUUUAAUGGCACAAUCAGAACUUUGACAGAUAUUCGGUAUAUUUCGAAGAUGAAGAGAAAUCUUAUCUCUGUGAGUGCCCUUGAUGCAAAGGGCUACAAGUAUUCAGGUGGAGAUAGCGUUUUGAAGGUCACCAGAGGUUCUCUCAUUGUGAUGAAAGGUGACUUAAGUUCGACCAAUGGUCUUUAUUACCUUCGAGGUUCUACCGUUUCAGGUAACGCUACUCCAGUUAUUUCAAAGAAUUCUGGUUGUGAUGCUUCUAACCUUUGGCAUAUGUGUCUUAGACAUAUGAGUGAACUUGGGUUGGCAGAGUUAAAUAAGAGAGGUCUUCUCAAAGGAUACCAAACUGAUAAAUUGAAAUUUUGUGAGCAUUGUAUCUUCGGCAAGCACAAGAGGGUGAAGUUCAACACUUCCACUCAUACAACUGAAGGUAUUCUUGAUUAUGUGCAUUCUGAUUUAUGGGGACCAUCUCGCAAAAAUUCACUAGGUGGUGCUAGUUACAUGUUGACUAUUAUUGAUGAUUAUUCGAGAAAGGUUUGGCCUUAUUUCUUGAAGCAUAAAUGGCGAGCUUUCUCAGCUUUUAAGGAGUGGGAGAUUAUGAUUGAGAGACAAACUGAAAAGAAGGUAAAAAUACUUCGCACUGAUAAUGGUAUGGAAUUCUGUUCUAAGCAAUUUAGGAAUUAUUGCAAGUCUGAAGGCAUUGUCAGACACCACACCGUUCCUUAUACUCCUCAAUAAAACGGUGUUGCUGAGCGUAUGAACAGGGCCAUUAUUUCCAGAGCCCGUUGCAUGUUGUCCAAUGCAGGUUUGCAUAGGCGUUUUUGGGGUGAGGCCGCUUCCACUGCUUGUUAUCUCGUCAACCGUUCACCAUCUAUUCCUCUUAAUAAGAAAACUCCAAUUGAGGUAUGGUCUAGUUCACCUGCUGAUUAUUCACAGUUGAGAGUUUUUGGUUGCACUGCUUAUGCUCAUGUUGAUAAUGGGAAGUUGGAGCCUAGGGCUGUUAAGUGCAUCUUUCUUGGUUAUAAAUCUGGUGUUAAAGGUUUUAAACUGUGGAAUCCUGAAACACAAAAGAUUGUUAUUAGCAGAAAUGUUAUCUUUAAUGAAUCUGCUAUGUUACAUGAUGUUCCAUCUACUAAUGUUCCUCUUAAGUGUGAACAGCAGUCUACUGUUCAGCAGCCUAUUGUUCAGGUGGAGCAUGUUAUCGAUUCAGGUGAUACUUCUGAUAAGGAAAAUGUUGAUGCACAUGAUGAACCCGUCUUUGAUGAUGAAAAUGUCACUCCAAAUCAGCCUAUUGUUCCACCCAGUUGGAAUCUUGCUCGUGACAGAGUUAGGCUGGGUAUUAAUGCACCUGAAAGGUUAAUUGAGGAGUGCAAUAUUGUUUCUUUUGCUUUAUCUGUUGCAGAAGAAAUUGAAGGUAAUGCUGAGCCUUCUUCAUAUUCUGAGGCUAUUAUUUCUGGUGAUAGUAAUAAGUGGAUGACUGCUAUGCAUGAUGAGAUGGAAUCACUUGAAAAGAAUGGCACUUGGGAUUUAGUAAGAUUACCUAGAGAGAAGAAACAUAUUUGUUGAAAGUGGGUUUUCAAAAUAAAGGAAGGUGUUUCUCCUAAUGAUGAGGCAAGAUAUAAAGCAAGGUUGGUUGCUAAAGGUUAUAGCCAAAUUCCAGGUAUUGACUAUAACGAAGUCUUUUCUCCUGUUGUGAAGCAUAGCUCUAUUCGCACUUUACUUAGUAUUGUUGCCAUGAAUGAUUUUGAGCUUGAACAAUUGGAUGUUAAAACUGCAUUCUUACAUGGAGAAUUAGAAGAGGAUAUUUAUAUGGAACAACCUGAAGGUUUUGUUAUUCCUGGAAAACAAAAACUUGUCUGUAAGUUAAAGAAAUCUCUUUAUGGAUUGAAGCAAUCCCCUCGACAGUGGUACAAGAGAUUUGACACAUUUAUGCUCUCUCAAGGUUUCAAUCGGUCUAAUUAUGAUAGUUGUGUUUAUUUGAAAACUGUCAAUGGUUCAGCUAUUUAUUUUCUCCUUUAUGUUGAUGAUAUGUUAAUUGCUGCAAAGAGCAUGUCAGAGAUUGAUGAACUAAAGAAGCAAUUGAGUAAUGAAUUUGAGAUGAAGGAUUUGGGUGCAGCAAAGAAAAUACUUGGCAUGGAAAUAUCCAGAGAUAGACCAUUUGGAAAAUUACAUCUCAGUCAGAAGGGAUAUAUUGAUAAAGUUCUUCGUCGUUUUAAUAUGCAUAAUGCCAAGCCAGUAAGUACUCUGUUAGCUGCACACUUCAAAUUAUCAUCAGCCUUAUGUCCUGAGUCAGAUGCAGAUAUUGAGUACAUGUCUAGAGUUCCCUAUUCGAGUGCAGUUGGUUCACUUAUGUAUGCCAUGGUUUGUUCUCGUCCGGAUUUAUCUUAUGCACUGAGUGUUGUUAGUAGAUACAUGGCUAAUCCUGGAAAAGAGCAUUGGAAAGCAGUUCAGUGGAUUUUCAGAUACCUGCGAGGUACUUCUAAUGCUUAUUUACAGUUUGGGAAAACUGGAGAUGGACUUGUUGGUUUUGUUGAUUCUUAUUUUGCUGGUGAUUUGGAUAAGAGAAGAUCGCUCACAGGUUCUGUUUUCACCAUUGGUGGUUGUUAUGUGAGUUGGAGAGCAACUUUGCAGUCUAUUGUGGCUUGUUCCACUACUGAUGCCGAGUAUAUGGCUAUUUCUGAGGCAUGCAAAGAAGCUAUCUGGUUGAGAGGUUUGUAUACUGAGCUUUGUGGAGAUUCAUCUUGCCCUACCAUAUUUUCUGACAGUCAAAGUGCUAUAUAUCUUACAAAGAAUCCAAUGUAUCACGAGAGAACAAAACACAUUGAUGUCAGAUUUCACUAUGUUCGAGAUGUUGUUGCUAAAGGUGAUUUGAAGGUAUGCAAGAUAAGUACUCAUGAUAAUCCAGCUCAUAUGAUGACAAAGCGAGUUCCUACCAAUAAGUUUGAGCUAUGCUCAGGCUUAGUUGCUAUUUCUCACUAGUCCUAUGGAGUUUGACGCACAAGGUGUUUAUGCUGAUUUGGAUGGAGUUAUUCACUUUCUUCGACUACUGGAGGGAAUUUGUCUCAAGGUGGAGAUUGUUAAAUUGUGAUCCAAAUUCUACCGUAUUGGACUAGACGUAAUACAAACGGUGUGGGCCUUUGCGUUGGUACCGACGCGUACGAGUACAACUCGUUUACUUGUCCUCCAAGGACUCUCAUGUAUUGCCCCUCAUAUAUACUUCAUGUAGUUGCACCUAAAGACGGCAUGUCGUCUCGUGCUUGUAAUACUCCACCCUCAUAAUGAUUGCGCCUUCAUGCGUCCGUGGUUUUCUCCCGCAAGGGUUUUCACGUAAAAAUCCGUGUCUCUCGUGUCUCGUUAAUUUUUUUAUCUAACAGCCACUUCACUAUUGUGGAUACGGAAAAGGAUACCUCUCUGUCCCUCCGCUCACGCCCCCAUCUGACUCCUCCCAAGCGGUUCGGGGGAAAACCAUAGCCACCGCUAGCAGGUCAACCCCUCCAGCGCCCCAUCUCCUCUGCCAUCGUCGUCGGCCUAGCUGAGGUGGCGACAGCCCCCAGUUUCCAAAGGAGGCUCAGGGAGAGCAAAUGGUCAUGGUGGAUGCUCAUGCUCCAACUACUGGGAUGGGAGGGGGGAAAUAUCUGGUGCACCGGAGCUUGUGGUGCUACCGGUGCGCCGAACUUACAUUGUGCUUUUCAAAUGUUUGAAACAAUUUGAAAAAAAUACCACACUCAUAGAACAUUAAUGUAGGUUGUCACAAAAUUUGAAGUCAAAAUUCGAAACAUAACUUGACAAAUUCAAUACUAAAUAGUACACAACAUAACUUGGGCUUUAGAUUCGGCCCAUUAUCACACUAAUGUCAAAUUUGUUAUUUUCAUAUCUUAAAAAAUACUUUAAAUUUUUAUAUGAAUUUUUGUGACAUCAUACAUUGAUGUUGCGCUAACAUGCUAGAUUGUUUUCAGAAUGUUUAAAACGUUUGGUGCACCAGUAGCACAACAAGUACGGAUGCACCGGAUACAUUCCCAUGGGCGGUCUCGCAUGUCCCGUUCGCAAUGACUACUCCCCAUGCGUGGGUGCCUUCCCUCAGCAGCGGAUAUGACACCCACACCUAGAUCCGGGUUGAUCCACGGGAUACGCGUUCAUUUGCCUCUCGGUGUCUGCGCGCCAAGGAAGGUGGUCUCCAUUGGUCCUGCUGUGGUGCUGCUGCUCGGAUCUGCUGUUAUGGCUCUAGAUCAGGCCGUGCCUGGUUUGUGGUGAGUACGAAUGUCGACCACAGAGGCUCCGGGCAGUGGAGGUUGGUGUUCGGUGCUCUAGUCAUGUGGAUGGCAGGCCACAGGUUGGUGGUCGACCGGUUGCAAUGCCUUUGUUUCUAAUGUUGUGCCCCCGGGAUCCUUUUGCACUCUGGUUGAAAUUCCAGCACCUUCUCUUUUGUUAAACAACAUGUAAUCUACGGUGUUUGUAUAAACCGUAUAUGUGCGGUUUAAGUUGCCGGGUUGUUGGUUGUUGAGAUAGAAUCCUUGCGGAUCAAUCCGCCCAACAAACCAUGUAAAUCUUACCUGUAAUCUCGAUGCCUAUAUAACACGCAACGCGUCCCUGCAACAAGCAUACACUUAACCUACGUUUUUCUACAUGGUAUACAAAGCUAUUUUCUUCCAUCGCACCUAGGGUACAUGUCUUCGUCCUCCUCCUCCAUCGCCAUGGUGUCCCCUCCCUUGCUACGCAAGGCCACACCAUCACAAACAAGUUGGACCGUGAAAACUUCCUCAUAUGGAGGGUAUAGGUGCUGCCCCAUCCAAGGGCCGCUGGCAUGAUGGGGUUUCUUGAUGGCUCGAUCAAGGAACCAGCUGUCGAGCUCCUCCUGGAGAAGGAAAUCUCUGGAAAGAAGGAAACUAGCCUCGUUCCCAACCCCGAGCAUGUUGUCUGGGUCUCGCAAGAUCAGCAGGUAUUGACCUUUCUGCAAGCGUCGCUCUCCCGCGAAGUUUUGCUUCAUGUGAGAAACUGCACCACCACCGCCACCACUUGGACUGCUCUGCUGCAAAGUUUUUCCUCACAAUCUGUGCCAGAAUCAUUCAGCUUCAAUCCCAGAUUGAUAGCACCCGGAAGGGGGACCUCAAUGCCGAUGUUUACUUCACCAAGAUGAAGGGCCUUGCAGAUGAGCUAGCUGCUGCCGGAAAGCCUCUGGAGGAAGAAGACGUAGUCUCUCAUAUCCUCGAGGGACUCAUGCACGAACCGGAGUACAACGGGUUCGUGACCACAAUCUCUACGUAGACCAUCACUGACCAACCCAUCAGCCUCGGUGAGCUCUUCUCGCUUCUACUUGUUGUCGAGGCGCGUCUCACCGCUCAGACGACCGCCUACUCUGCCAACCUCGCCGCUAAGGGCGGCGUCCGCGGCGGCUCUGGCCGUGGAAAUGACAACUCCGGCAGCAACGGCGGUUUCCGUGGCUACAACAACAACACCAACACGGGAGCCCGCUUCUCCGACAACUCCUCCGGUGGCUUUGGUGGUGACCACGCGCGGUCGUGACCACGGUGGCCGCGGCGACCAAAAACGUGAGAAGUGCCAGAUCUGCAAGGAGCUUGGACACGGUGUGUGGUGUUGUAAGAUGCGUUAUGAUCGUGGCUACAACAACAACGUGUGCAAUCCCGCGAGAAGUGGUGGCUGCCAUCGCUCCUAUGGAGUUGAUACCAAUUGGUAUCUCGACGCCGGUCCAACAGAUCAUGUGACCAGAGAACUAGAGAAGCUUGUCAUCCGUGAUCGGCACACGGGCGCGGAACCAAUCCACACUGCGAGUGGUCAAGGUAUGAACAUUGCACAUGUUGGUCAUUAAGUUCUAUCUACUCCCUAUGGCUCCCUAGAUCUUAGUAACAUCCUUCAUGCUCCCCAAGCUAAUAAGAGUCUUCUAUCUGCUUACCAACUUAUGAUUGAUAAUCAUGCCUUUCUUGAAUUUACCCUGAAAUUGUUUUUGUUAAGGAUCAGGAAACUUGGAGAACCAUUCUACAAAGCAAGAGUAGGGGUGGGCUCUUUCCUGUCCAUGGCCACCAAGAGGUGCCGCAUCGUCAAGUCCUUGGCAUGAUAAAGCCAUCCACCUCAUGGUGACAUAAACAUCUAGGGCAUCCUACCUUACCGGUGGUCCAGAAUAUUCUGUGAGAUUUUUCCCUUCCAUUUUCCAAUAAAAAGGAUCAUUUGCUAGUAUGUGAUUCUUGCCAAAUGGCCAAGAGCCAUCAGCUUCCUUUCUAUCGAUCUAGUAGUGAGUCAAAAGCUCCUUUAGAGCUUGUUUUUUCGGAUGUCUGGGGUCCUGGACCCGUCUCUGUUGGCAGACAUAAGUAUUAUGUGAGUUUCAUUGAUGGUUUUAGCAAAUUCAGUUGGAUAUACUUGCUCAAAAAUAAGUCCAAUGUCUUUGAGAAGUUUCAUAAUUUUCAGCAACAUGUUGAACGCCUCUUUGAUCGCAAAAUUCUUACUAUGCAAACUGACUGGGGUGGUGAGUACGAAAAACUCAUUCCUUUUUUGAGCGAAUUGGCAUCAUCCACCAUGAUUCAUGUCCACAUACACAUCAUCAAAAUGGUUCUGCCAAACAUAAACAUAGACAUAUUUUCAAAGUUGGUCUAUCCUUCCUUGCUCAUGCUUUUAUGCCACUAAAAUUUUGGAACGAGGCAUUCCUCACUCCUGUUUAUCUUAUAAAUCGUGUUCCCAGUAGGGUCAUCAACAACCAAACCCCUCUAGGGCAUCUCUUUGACACAAAACUAGAUUACCCUUUUCUUCGUAUUUUUGGGUGUGCUGUGUGGCCCAACUUAUAUCCCUACAAUAAGCAUAAGCUCGAAUUUCGCUCCAAAUAGUGUUUUGUUGGACUACAGUUCCAUGCACAAAGGUUACAAGUGUCUAGAUAUUGCAUCUGGUCGGGUCUAUAUCUCACGCGGGGUGUGGUAUUUGAUGAGCAUGUCUUUCCCUUCUCCAAACUCCACCCAAAUGUCGGCGCACAACUUCGCAGGGAACUCAUUCUCUUGCCAUCUCAUCUUCUGCCAUCUCCCACUUUUCUAUCACGGGGUGCUAAUACUACUGAUGAUCACAUGUCCUUGUUGUUGGAAAUAUACCCUAGAGGCAAUUAUAAAAUAGUUAUUAUUAUAUUUCCUGUUUCAAGGUAAUCGUUUAUUAUCCAUGCUAUAAUUGUAUUGAAUGAAAGCAUAGUUACAUGUGUGGAUAUAUAGACAAAACAAUGUCCCUAGUAAGCCUCUAGUUGCCUAGCCAGUUGAUCAAGGAUGGUUAAGGUUUUCUGACCAUACGCAAGGUGUUGUCACUUGAUAACUCGAUCACAUCAUUAGGAGAAUGAUGUGAUGGACAAGACCCAAACUAUGAACGUAGCAUGUGAUCGUGUCAUUUUGUUGCUAUUAUUUUGUGCGUGUAAAGUAUUCAUUCCUAUGACCAUGAGAUCAUGUAAUUCACUGACACCGGAGGAAUACCUUGUGUGUAUCAAACAUCACAACAUUACUGGGUGACUAUAAAGGUGCUCUACAGGUAUCUCCGAAGGUGUCUGUUGAGUUAGCAUGGAUCAAGACUGGGAUUUGUCACUCCGUGUGACGGAGAGGUAUCUCGGGGCCCACUCGAUAAUACAACACCACAUAUAAGCCUUGCAAGAAAUGUGACUCAAGUGUAAGUCACGGGAUCUUGUAUUACGAAACGAGUAAAGAGACUUUCCAGCAACAAGAUUGAAAUAGGUAUUGAGAUACCAACGAUCAAAUCUCGGGCAAGUAACAUGCCGAAGGACAAAGGGAAUGUUAUACGGGAUUAUAUGAAUCCUUGGCACAGAGGUUCAACCGAUAAGAUCUUCGUAGAAUAUGUAGGAUCCAAUAUGGACAUCCAGGUCCCGCCAUUGGAUAUUGACCGAGGAGUGUCUCGGGUCAUGUCUGCAUAGUUCUCGAACCCGCUGGGUCUGCACACUUAAGGUUCGAUGACGUUUUAGUAUAGUUGAGUUAUAUGUGUUGGUGACCGAAGGUUGUUCGGAGUCCCGGAUGAGAUCACGGGCGUCACGAGGGUUUCUGGAAUGGUCUGGAAACAAAGAUUGAUAUAUAGGAUGGUUUCAUUUGGUCACCGGAAAGAUUUCGGACAUUACCGACAGUGUACCGGGAGUGACGAAUGGGUUCCGAGUAUUCACCGGGAGGGGCCCACCCACCCGGGAGUGAGCCCAAUAGCACUAGGGUGGUGCACCAGCCCUUAGUGGGCUGGUGAGGCCAGCCCAAGUGGGCUAUGGCGCCACAAGAAGAAAAACCAAAGGAAAAAAAGGAAAGAGGGAGGUGAGAAGGAAGGAGUGGACUCCUCCUUCCCCAAACCGAAUUGGGGUGGGAGUCCACCUCCUCCUCUCGGUCGGCGCCCUUGGGGCUCCCUUGAGCCCCAAGGCUAUCCCCUCCCCUCCUCCUAUAUAUGUUGGUGGUUUUAGGGCUUUUGAGAUAGAACUUUUUCACGUGCAACUCAAACCUAUACCUCGUAGUUCUUCCUCUAGAUCGGAUUUCUGCGGAGCUCGGGCGGAGCCCUGCAGGAAUAGAUCAUCACCAUCACCGGCGCGCCGUCACGCUGCCGGAGAACUCAUCUACUUCCUCGUCUCUCUUGCUGUAUCAAGAAGGCGGAGAUCGUCAUCGAGUUGUACGUGUGCUGAACGCGGAGGUGUCGUCCGUUCGGUGCUAGAUCGGGACGGAUCGUGGGACGACGGUGAUUGGAAUCACGAAGUUGUACCACUACAUCAACCGCGUUUCUUAACGCUUCCCGCUUAGCGAUUUGUAAUGGUAUGUGGAUCCGAUCUCCCUCUCGGAUAUGAACAUCACCAUGAUAGGUCUCCGUGUGCGUAGGAAAUUUUUUGUUUCUCAUGCAACAUUCCCCAACACUUGUCUCAUGGUAAUACCUUUGAUGACAGUUUUGUCUGCAGAUGCCACAGCAGCCACAGAUGAUCCGGGCUCCCCACCCCGGUGUACAUCCUAGCGCCCCCUCCUUAGGAUCGGGCUCGUAGGGCGUUGCACGCGCUCCAGGGCGAUCUCAUGCAGGGUCCGCUCUAGCCCCUGAUUUGCCCGUCCGACACACCAGUGGGCCAGGCGCCACGCACCACGUGCCUGCGUCGGGACCAGGAGGGUCCCCCGCACGUGCCUCCGGUAGGCCUGCUCCCGUGCCUGGUCGUGACGGGCCCAGAUCCUCGGCGGUCGUUGUCUCCCACGGGCCAUCCGCGGACGGUGAUUCGCAGGUGCGCGUCCCACCGACUGCGUCGCCCCUGUCCUCCGCUUCACAGGCACCAAGUGGAAGUUCUAAAUAUGGCGCGGAUCCAGAUGGUGCUUCUUCUGGAGAGGAGCUGUCUGGUGUAUUCUUUGUGGCUAAUUCUGGAUCGGUUGUGUCUUCCUCGUCCAACCGGCUACAUCAACAAAUCAAACUGCCAAUGCCGCCUCCUCCUGAGCGUGCACAAACAUGUUCUCAAAGAGGUAUUAUUAAGCCAAAGAUUUAUAAAGUUGGAUGCAUUCGUUGGGGCUCUUUUUGUGCCAUGGGUGAACGGCAGAAUUUGCAAGACGCUCUUAUGAAACCCAAGUGGAAGCAAGCCAUGGAUGAAUAGUACAUGGCACUCAUGGCAAAUAAAACAUGGUGUCUUGUUCCACCUAUCACGGGUAGAAAUAUAAUUGACUGCAAGUGGGUCUAUAAGGUAAACAGAAAGUCUGAUGGUACUAUUGACAUGUAUAAGGCAAGCUUGGUGGCUAAAGGGUUCAAAGAUAGGUAUGACAUUGACUAUGAGGACACGUUUAGUCCGUGGUCAAAGCUCCUACCAUCCGCUUAAUUCUUUCAGUUGCGUUUCCAGAAAUUGGUGCAUGAGACAGCUAGAUAUGACAAACGCGUUUUUGCAUGAUGUUCUGGAAGAGGAAGUGUUUAUGCGACAACCUCCUGGGUAUGAAAAUCCGAGCUCAUCACGUUUUGUCUGCAAACUUGAUAAAGAAUUGUGCGGGUUGAAACAAGCAGCUCGAGCUUGGUAUUCUUGGCUAUCCACCAAACUUCAAUCUCUUGGUUUUGUUCCUUCCAAGGGAGAUACCUCGUUGUUCUUUUAUCGUAAUCAUGACACCAUUAUUUUUAUGCUCAUCUACGUUGAUGAUAUAGUUGUUACAAGCUCUUCAUCCAAAGCAGUAGAAUCCCUCCUCAAAGAUCUAGGCAGGGAGUUUGCUCUCAAGGAUCUUGGUCGCCUACAUUUCUUCCUUGGUAUUGAGGUGAAGAGUGUUCCAAAUGGAAUUAUCAUGUCCCAAGAAAAAUAUGUGCAGGAAAUACUUCAAAUAAUGGGUAUGCAAGGGUGUAAGCAAUAUUCCACGUUGUUGUCCACUUCAUAGAAGGUUUCCCUUCAUGAUGGAGAGGCACUUGGGAUGGUGGACUCAACCAGGUAUCGUAGUAUUGUGGAUGCACUAUAGUACUUGACAUUAACUCGCCCAGACAUUGCAUAUUCAGUGAAUAAAGUAUGCCAGUUUUUACAUGCUCCCACUAGUUCACAUUGGACAGCGGUGAAACAAAUUCUUAGAUACCUCCAACGAACAAAGGGCCAUGGACUCGGACUUGGGAAAUCUGAUUCAAUGCUUGUAAGUGCAUUCUCUGAUGCGGAUUGGACAUGUUGCCCUAGUGACAGAAGGUCUACAGGUGGUUUUGCAAUAUUUUUGGGAGGAAAUCUUGUUUCUUGGAGUGCACGCAAACAACCCACCGUGUCUAGGUCCAGCAUAGAAGCUGAGUAUAAGGCCUUAGCAAAUGCAACUGCUGAGAUAAUUUGGGUUCAUAAUUUGUCGAUUGAGUUGGGUGUCUACCUUACAAAAUCAGCAUCAUUUUGGUGUGAUAAUCUCGGCACUACAUAUCUAUCUAUUAACCUUGUUUUCCAUGCCAGCAAAAAGCAUAUUAAGAUAGACUAUCACUUUGUUCGCGAGCGACUAGCUGAGAAGUUGCUGAAUAUAUAUCAGGUUCAUACCUACUGGUGAUCAAGUUGCAGAUGGCUUUACUAAGCCUCUUACUCUUCAUGAGCUAGAGUUAUUUAGACACAAUCUCAACUUAAAUAGUUUUGAUUGAGGGGGAUGUUAAACAACAUGUAAUCUACGGUGUUUGUAUAAAUUGUAUAUGUAAGGUUUAAGUUGCUAGGUUGUUGGUUGUUGAGGUAGAAUCCUUGCAGAUCAAUCGACCCAACAGACCAUAUGUAAAUCUUACAUGUAGUCUCGAUGGCUUCAACCUAUAUAACACGCAACGCGUCCCUCCAACAAGCAUACACUUAACCUACAUUUUUCUACAUAUUUUGGUGCCGAUGAGGACGACACCUUUGUCACUCUAUUCCUUCCUGAAGGCCUCAUCGUGGGGUUUGCCUCUUCUUUUUCGUGAUGUCAAGUGAUCUUUAGGUGAAAACUCAUGCUCACUUCCAGCGGGCAACGCUGACGCCGAUGUCACUACCUUGUUGAACGUGCCACCUUGGAAUCCUUUGACAUUGUGGGGCGGCAGAUCUGUGGUUGACAUUGUGGGGCGGCAGAUCUGUGGAAGUUGUGUUGGAUCUUGUUGUGGUCUAUGGCGGUGGAUGUUGGGGUGGCUGUUGGAAAUAUGGCCUAGAGGCAAUAAUAAAUUGGUUAUUAUUAUAUUUCCUUGUUCAUGAUAAUUAUCUAUUAUUCUUGAUAUAAUUGUAUUAACUGUAAACCAUAAUACAUGUGUGAAUAUAUAGAUCACAAUGUGUCCCUAGUGAGCCUUUAGUUGGCUAGCUCGUUGAUCAAUAGAUGAUCAUGGUUUCCUCAUCAUGGACAUUGGAUGUCAUUGACAACGGGAUGACAUCAUUGGGGAAUGAUUUGAUGGACAAGAACCAAUCUAAGCAUAGCACUAGAUCGUGUUGUUCGUGUGCUAAAGCUUUUUAAAUGUCAAGUAUCAUUUCCUUAGACCAUGAGAUUGUGCAACUCCCGGAUACCGUAGGAAUCCUUUGGGUGUAUCAAACAUCACAUAACUGGAUGGUUAUAAAGGUGCACUACGAGUAUCUCCAAAAGUAUCUGUUGGGUUGUACGAAUCGAGACUGGGAUUUGUCACUCCGUGUGACGGAGAGGUAUCUCUGGGGCCACUCAGUAAUCCAUCAUCAUAUUGAGCUCAGUGUGACUAAGGAGUUAGUUGCGGGAUGAUGUGUUACGGAACGAGUAAAGAGACUUGCCGGUAACGAGAUUGAACAAGGUAUAGGGAUAUCGAUGAUCGAAUCUUGGGCAAGUAUCAUACCGGUAGACAAAGGGAAUUGCAUACGGGUGCUGCGGCAACAAAAGUCCUUCCCUGGCGCGUAGGAAUUCUUCUUGUUACUUCUCUGGUUUGCGUCAGUUUUUCCCUUGAAGAGGAAAGGAUAAUGCAGCACAGGAGCAGUAAGUAUUUCCCUCAGUUUGAGAACCAAGGUAUCGAACCAAAAGGAGGGCCUCGUCAAGUCCAAAGUACCUGAGCAAAAACAAACAAACUUGCACCCAACGCUUCAAAGGGGUUGUCAAUCCCUUCAAGAUUGUUUGCAAAAGUGAGAUUUGAAGGCGGAAAGUGCAACGAAGUAAAAAGUGUAAGGCUAAAAAUAUGGUGUGGAGUAGACCCUGGGGGGCAUAGUGUUCACUAGAGGCUUCUCUCAAAAUAGCAAAUAUCACGGUGGGUGAACAAAUUACUUUCGGACAAUUGAUAAACCGCACAAAGUCAUGAUGAUAUCUAAGGCAAUGAUCUAGCAUAUAGGCAUCACGUCCGAGACAAGUAGACCGAUACUUUCUGCAUCUACUACUAUUACUCCACACAUCGACCGCUAUCCAGCAUGCAUCUAGUGUAUUGAGUUCAUGACGAACAGAGUAACGCUUUAAGCAAGAUGACAUGAUGUAGAGGGAUAAUCUCAAACCAAUGAUGAAAACCCCAUCUUUUUACCCUUGAUGGCAACAACAGGAUAUGUGCCUCGCUACCCCUUCUGUCACUAGGUGAGGUCACCGCACGGUAUGAACCCAAAACCAAGCACUUCUCCCAUUGCAAGAAUCAUGGAUCUAGUUGGCCAAACAAAACCCACAACUCGAAGAGAACUACAAGGAUAUGAAAUCAUGCAUAAGAGAGAUCAGAAGAAACUCAAAUAAGAUUCAUAGAUAAUCUGAUCAUAAAUCCACAAUUCAUCGGAUCUCGACAAACACAUCGCAAAAGAAGAUUACAUUGGAUAGAUCUCCAUGAAGAUCAUGGAGAACUUUGUAUUGAAGAUCCAAGAGAGAGAAGAAGCCAUCUAGUUACUAGCUAUGGACCCGUAGGUCUAUGGUGAAUUACUCACGCAUCAUCGGAGAGGUCAUGGUGUUGAUGGAGAAGCCUUCCGUGUCCGAAUCCCCCCUUCGGCAGGGCACCAGGACGUGCCCCGGAUGGGAUCUUGCGGAGACAGAAGCUUGCGGCGGUGGAAAAGUGAUUAUGAUGCCCCCCUAAUUUUUUUGGGAAUAUUUGGGAAUUUAUAGGCGCAAGAUCUAGGUUAGGGGACCUCCAGGGAGCCCACAAGCCUGCAUGGCGCGGCCCCCCUGGCCGCGGGGUGGGGGCUUCUGGGGCCCCUGGGGCUCUUCUGGCUUGGCCCCCAAGCUCUCCGAUCUUCUUCCAUUCCAGAAAAAAAUCUUUUCGGGGAUUUUCUUCCGUUUGGACUCCAUUUCAAAAUCUUCUCUCAAAGGGGUCAAAAACAUGGAAAAACAGGAACUGACACUUGGCACUGAGUUAAUAAGUUAGUCUCAGAAAAUAAAUAAAAGGAAUGCAAAACAUCCCAAGUUUGACAAGAUAAUAGCAUGAAACCAUCAAAAAUUAUAGAUAGGUUGGAGUUGUACCAAGCAUCCCCAAGCUUAACUCUUGCUCGUCCUCGAGUAGGGAAGUGAUAAAGAACGAAUUUUUGAUGUGGAAUGCUACCUAGCAUAGUUGUCCUUUGCAACUUCUUUCACGUGGCAUGAAUAUUCAGAUCCGUACGAUUCGAAGCAAUAGUUUGUUAUUGACAUGAAAACAGUAAUACUUCAAGCAAACUAGAAAAGUAAUCAUGAACUUUCAAAAUAACAAGGCCAAAGAAAGUUAUCCCUACAAAAUCAUAUAGUCUGGCUAUGCUCCAUCAUCCUCACACAACUAAUGUAAAUCAUGCACAACCCCGGAAUUGGACAAGUAAUUAUUUUCGCACUCUUACUUUCUCAAACUUUUUAUAACUAUCACGCAAUACAUGAGCGCGAGCCAUGGAUAUAGCACUAUAGGUGGAAUAGAGUGUGGUGGUGGUUGUGAGACAAAAAGGAGGAGAUGGUCACAUUGACUCGGUGUAUCAAUAGGCUAUGGAGAUGCCCAUUAAUAGAUAUCAACGUGAAUGAGUAGGGAUUUCCAUACAAGAGAUGCACUAGAGCUAUAAGUAUGUGAAAGCUCAAGGGAAAAGUAGUGGGUGUGCAUCCAACUUGCUUGCUCACGAAGACCUAGGGCAAUUUUGAGGAAGCCCAUCAUUGGAAUAUACAGGCCAAGUUAUAAAACGAAUAUUCCCACUAGCAUAUGGUAGUGGCAAAGCAAGAAGCUCUCAGUCAUGAAGAACAUGGUGCUAUUAUGAAGCACAAGUGUGGAAAAAGAUAGUAGCAUUGUCCCUUCUCUCUUUUUCUCUCAUUUUUUUUAUUUGGGCCCUUAGGCCUUUUUUUCUUUUCUCUCCCUUUUUUUUGUUUUUGGGCUCUUUGGCCUCUUCUUCUUUUUUUCCUCACAUGGGACAAUGCUCUAAUAAUGAUGAUCAUCACACUUUUAGUUACUCAAAGCUCAAAAAUUACAAUGAUGAUGACUCCAUAGGAAAUGCCUCCGACAGUGUACCGGGAUGUGCAACGAUCUAGUAUGAUCAUGCAAUGGCAAUAUUAAAGUGACGGCACAAGUCAUUAGACGGAACGGUGGUAGUUGCAUGGCAAUAUAUCUCGGAAUGGCUAUGAAAAUGCCAUAGUAGGUAGGUAUGGUGGCUGUUUUGAGGAAGGAAUUUGGUGGGUUUGUGCACCGGCAAGAAUUGCGCGGCGCUAGAGAGGCUAGCAAUGGUGGAAGGUGAAAGUGCAUCUGUACCAUGGACUCAACAUUAGUCAUAAAGAACUCACAUACUUGUUGCAAAAGUUUUUAUUAGUAAUCAAAACAAAGUGCUAAACGCAUACUCCGAGGGGAAGGGUUGGUAGGUGUAAACCAUCGCGCGAUCCCGACCUCAACACAAAGGAUGACAAUCAAUAGAUCAAUUAUGCUCCGACUUCCUAACAUAGCGGUUCACCAUACGUGCAUGCUACGGGAAUCACUAACUUCAACACAAGUAUUUCUAGAUUCACAACACCCUCCUAACAUAACUCUCAAUAUUACCGAAUCCGUGUCUCAAAACUAAUUGAGAGGAAUCGAAACUUCUCUUUCUACUCAAUGCACAUGAAGAUAGAGUUUUUUGCAUCCUCUUUGGGUACCUAUAGCACAUGGGACUUCUUUCAUAGCAUAAGCCAACUACCAAAUCACGCAUCGUCGUGCUCUAAAGAUAUAAGUGAAGCACAAGAGCAAAAGUAUCUAGCUCAAAAUAUAUAAGCACUAGAGCAAAAGUAUCUAGCUCAAAAGAUAUAAGUGAAGCACUAGAUCAAAAGUAUCUAGCUCAAAAGAUAUAAGUGAAGCACUAUGAGCAAAGUAUCUAGCUCAAAAGAUAUAAGUGAAGCACUAUGAGCAUUCUAGCAAAAUCACGAUGAGUGCAUGUCUCUCUCUCUCAAAAAGGUGUGCAGCAAGGAUGAUUGUGACACAACAAAAAGAAAAGACUCCUAUGAUACAAGACGCUCCAAGCAAAACACAUAUCAUGUGGUGAAUAAAAUUAUAGCUGAUGGAUUGAAGACGGAAGAGGGGAUGCCUUCCCGGGGCAUCCCCACGCUUAGGCUUUUUGGUGACCUUGAAUUUGGCUUGGGGAGCCUUGGGCAUCCCCAAGCUUGAGCUCUUUCCACUCCUUAUCUCUUUGUCCAUGAGAACGUCACCCAAAAGUUGAAAACUUCACAACACAAAACUUAAACAGAAACUUAUGAUAACAUUAGUACAAGAAAACAAACUACCACUUCUUUUGGUACUGUAGCAAACUUGAAUUCCAUCCAUAUUGAUGAUGAGCUACUGCAUUCUCACUUUUCCAUGGCUAGUACCCCCCGAUACUAACCAUAGUUUCAUCAAAACAAGCAACCAACUCAAUAAAAACAGAAUCUAUAAAAAACAGACCAAUCUGUAGCAAUCUGUAUACUUCGUAUACUUCUGGUACCUCAAAAAAAUCUGAAAAAUUACAAAGGUCUAGGGAAAAAGCAUAUCAAUCAGAAGCAAAAAUAAUCAACUCAAACACUCUUUCUGAAUAAAAAUGAAAAAUCAUCUCGUAAGCGAAAAGUUUCUGUCUUUUUCCAGCAAGAUCAAACAACCAUUACCAAGACCGAUCAUAAAGGUUUUGCUUGGCUCAAACACAAAAAGAAACACAAAAAACACAAUCACAACAGAAUUGUGAAAGUGUGGACGUAACAAAACAGAAAGAAAUAAGAUAAAUUCAUUGGGUUGCCUCCCAACAAACGCUAUUGUUUAACGCCCUUAGCUAGGCAUAGUAGCAAUAGAAUCAUGUAUCGUCGUCUUUGGUGCUCAAACCAUAAGUAGCCCUCAUCAUGGAUUCAUAAGGCAAUCUUAUUUUAUUUCUAGGAAAGUGUUCCAUGCCCUUCCUUAAAGGAAAUUGAAAUCUAAUAUUCCCUUCCUUCAUAUCGAUGAUAGCACCGAUAGUCCUUAGGAAAGGUCUACCAAGAAUAAUAGGGCAUGUAGGAUUGCAAUCAAUGUCAAGCACAAUGAAAUCCACGGGUACAUAGUUCCUAUUUGCAAUAAUAAGAACAUCAUUGAUCCUUCCCAUGGGUUUCUUGAUAGUAGAAUCAGCAAGAUGCAAAUUAAGAGAACACUCUUCAAUCUCAUUAAAACCCAGAACAACACAUAUAGACUUUGGAAUCGCAGAAACACUAGCACCCAAAUCACAUAAAGCAUUGCACUCAUAGUUUUUUAUUUUGAUUUUGAUGGUAGGUUCCCACUCAUCAUGAAGCUUUCUAGGGAUAGAGACUUCCAAUUCAAGUUUCUCUUCAACAGCUUUUAUCAUAGCUUCGACGAUAUGAUCGGUAAAGGCUUUGUUUUGGCUAUAAGUGUGCGGAGAGUUUAACAUGGAUUGCAUCAAAGAAAUGCAUUCAAUCAAGGAGCAACUAUCAUAAUUGAAUUCCUUGAAAUCCACGGUAGUAACUUCAUUACUACUCAAAGUUUAACGUCUUCUACUCCACUUUUAACGCUUUUAGCAUCAAGAUAGAUGGACUCCAAAUCAUUGGGGCACUUUUCAACCAAAGUGGAUUCAUAUCCAGCCCCAUAAUCAUUAGGUUUGACACAAGUAAACAAAGAUUCAAUGGGAGUCACACCAAGCACUUUAAGAUCUUCGUGAUUCUCAUCACGAGUUUCGGGUUUAGCAGCCAUUUUAUUGACUAAAGUAGCUUGCUUUAUCAGAAAUUUGGCCUACUAGCUUUUCAAGACGAGCAAACUGAGAAUUGAGCGCAAGGAAUUCUUUGGCCAUAUCAUCAACUUCUCUACUCAUAAAAUCCAGAAAAGAAUUUUGCUCCUUCAACUCUCUACGGAAGUAACUAUUAUAUUCAAAGUGUGUAGACAUAAAGCCUUUAACACUAGUUUCAAUCUCUUCUAACUUCGCAAAGCGAGCAUCAAAAUCCCUUAAUGGGGCCAUUCGGGCCAUAGCAUGCAAGCAAGCACAGAAGCAAACAAAAAAGCGGGCGAGAAAAAGGGCGAACGAAAAAGGCGAACGAAAAGGCGAAUUGGUGAAGUGGGGGAGAGGAAAACGAGAGGCAACCACAUGGUGAUCACGGAGUUCACCAACAAGCACAGGAUCGAUGCCAAUGACAUUGGGAAGCACCUCUCCAGGCUCUAUGACAGGAUUGAUCACCUCCAGGCCCAGAUCUAUGACUUGCAGAACCAAAACUGUGAGUAUGAUUAUUGAUUUAAAUCAAUAUAGUUGGCUGCACAUUUGAGGAUUUCAAAGACUCGUUCAUCUUUCCAUGAUGGAGCACCUAUGCCUUGGAAGACGGAGGAUCAAAACCAUGUUGCAACAACUUCACCACCAUCACCUCCAAAGGAAGACAACUAAGCAUGGGUAUGGGCAAUCCCCUUAGCUUGUGCCAAGAUUGGGGCAGUUGCCCCGGUAUCGUAUCACCAUCACAUAUUUUGCCUUUACCUUUGUUUUAGUUUGUUCCUUUUCAGUUUUCUCUUUAUCUAGUAGAAUAAAAGUCUUAAUGUUUUAGGCUUGAGUUUUGCUUUGUGUCACCCCCGAUGUAUUCGAGCUCGUGAGCCAUAUAAUAAAGAGUGUCUUAGUUGAAGUGCCUUGCCUCAUGCCAUGAUCAAAAGAGUGAGAAAAGAACAAAAGCAUGAAAGAUCAUGUAAUGAUCUUAUGGAAAGUGAUGGCUUCACAUAUAAAAAGAAUGAUGAUUGAAACUUGUUGAGGGUAGACAAACGUAGAACUUGGUCAUUGUUGCAAUUAAUAGGAAGUGAUAAAGAAGGAGAGUUUCACAUAUAAAUAUAUCAUCUUUGACACCAUCUAUGAUUGUGAACACUCACUAAACUAUCGCAUGCUUAGAAGUAGAUGUUGGACAAGGAAGACAACAUAAUGAAUUGUGUUUGCUUGGUUCCGAGCAAUGUUAUAUGACUAGAGAUCCCUUAGCAUGUGACAAUUGCUUCCACCUCAUAUUAGCCAAAACUUCCGCACCAAGUAGAGAUACUACUUGUGCAUCCAUAAACCUUCAACCCAAUUUUGCCAUAAGAGUCCACCAUACCUACCUAUGGAUUGAAUAAGAUCCCUCAAGUAAGUUGGCAUCGGUGCAAGCAAUAAAAAUUGCUCCCUAAUAUGUAUGAUCUAUUAGUGUGUGGAAAAUAAGCUUUGUACAGACAUGUGAUGAGGAAGACAUAAAAGCGACAGACUGCAUAAUAAAGUUCUUUAUUACAGGAGGCAAUAUAAAGGGGCGUUCCUCCACACUAAGAGGACACGCAUCCAAACCUCAAAAGCGCAUGACAACCGCUGCUUCCCUCUGCGAAGGGCCUAUCUUGUACCUUUACUUUUUUCCCUUGAAAGAGUCAUGGUGAUCUUCACCAAUUCCUUAUCUCGCCUUUAUCUUGGCUAACGUCAUAUGCUUGGGAAAGAUCUAUAUUCAUAUGUCAACUUGGAAGUAAGUAUUCAUGAAUUAUUAUUGUUGACAUUAACCUUGAGGUAAAUGGUUGGGAGGCAAAACAAUAAGCCCCUAUCUUUCUCUGUGUCCAGCUGAAACUUUGAUCUCAUGAGUACCAUGUGAGUUGUAGCAAUUGUAGAGAACGAAAGGAUGAUUGAGUAUGUGGAUUUGCUUUACAAGAUCUUAUUUGACUCUUUCCGAUAUUGUGAUAAAUUGCAAUUGCUUCAAUGACUAAAGGCUAUCGGUUGUUACUUCUCAGUAAGGUUCUUGAUCCAUGCUUUACUUUAUGAAGGAAUUGUUACUUUAGCAUAAAAGUUCAUAUGAUGGUAUUGUUGUUCUGAUCAUGAUCAUGAUGCAUGCAUGUUCGUAUCUUGUUUUGUCGACACCUCUCUCCCUAAACAUGUGGGCAUGUUUAUUGAUCUAGGCUUUCGCUUGAGGAGAAGCGAGAUCUAAGCUUGGGCGAGUUGAUACGUCAGUUUUGCAUCAUGUGUUCAUGUCGAUAUUUAUCACUUCCUGGGUUGUUAUUUCACUUCACGGUACAAUACUUAUGCCUUUUCUCUCUUAUUUUUUAAGGUUUACAUGAAGAGGGAGAAUGCCGACAGCUGGAAUUCUGGCCUGAAAAAGGAGCAAGUUUGAGAUGCCUAUUCUACGCAACUCCAAAAGCCGUAAAAAUCAACGAUGAUUUUUUUUUGGAUUUAUAAAAAAUACUGGGCCGAAGAAGUGCCAGAGGAGCGCCAGCAGGUGGCCACAAGCCUGCUAGGCGCGGCCACCCCCCUGGCCGCGCCUAGGGUGCCUGUGGGCUCCCUGCUGGCCCACUGCCCCCCCUCUUUUGCUACAAGAAGGGUUUCGGUCUGGAAAAAAUUAAGAGGAGGCUUUUCGGAGGAUUCGCCGCCGCCACGAGGCGGAACUUGAGCAGAACCAAUCUAGAGCUCCGGCACGACGAUCCACCAGGGAAACUUCCCUCCCAAAGGGGGAAAUCGUCGCCAUCGUCGUCACCAACACUCCUCUGAUCGUAGGGGACUCGUCACCAUCAACAUCUUCAUUAGAACCAUCUCAUCUCCAAACCCUAGUUCAUCUCUUGUAACCAAUCUCCGUCUCGCGACUCCGAUUGGUACUUGUAAGGUUGCUAGUAGUGUUAAUUACUCUUUGUAGUUGAUGCUAGUUGGAUUACUUGGUGGAAGAGUUUAUGUUCAAAUCCUUGAUGCUACUCAUUACCUCUCUGGUCAUGAAUAUGAUUAUGCUUUGUGAGUAGUUACUUUUGUUCCUGAGGACAUGGGAUAAGUCAUGUUAUAAGUAGUCAUGUGAAUUUGGUAUUCAUUCGAUAUUUUGAUGUGUUGUACGUUGUUUUUCCUCUAGUGGUGUUAUGUGAACGUCGACUACAUAAUACUUCACCAUUAUUUGGGCCUAGAGGAAGGCAUUGGGAAGUAGUAAGUAGAUGAUGGGUUGCUAGAGUGACAGAAGCUUAAACCCUAGUUUAUGUGUUGCUUCGUAAGGGGCUGAUUUGGAUCCACUAGUUUAAUGCUAUGGUUAGACUUUGUCUUAAUUCUUCUUUCGUAGUUGCGGAUACUUGCGAGAGGGGUUAAUCAUAAGUGGGAUGCUUGUCCAAGUAAGGGAAGUACCCAAGCACCGGUCCACCCACAUAUCAAACUAUCAAAGUAACGAACGCGAAUCAUAUGAACAUGAUGAAAACUAGCAUGACAGAAAUUCCCGUGUGUCCUCGGGAGCGUUUUUCCUCCUAUAAGACUUUGUCCAGGCUUGUCCCUUGCUACAAAAGGGAUUGGGCCACUUUGUUGCACCGUUGCUACUUUUGUUACUUGCUACUUGCUACAAAUCAUCUCACCACACAACUACUUGUUACCGAUAAUUUCAGUGCUUGCAGAUAUUACCUUGCUGAAAACCACUUGUCAGAUCCUUCUGCCCCUUGUUAGGUUCGACACUCUUACUUAUCGAAAGGACUAUGAUAGAUCCCCUAUACUUGUGGGUCAUCAGCAGGCCACUCCUGGAUUGCUUUAAUUUUGGAAGGAUCAAUAGCAACCCCUUCCUGAUUAAUUAUGUGGCCCAAAUACUCCACCUCAGUCUGACCAAAAGAGCACUUUUCCAAUCUUGCAUACAACUUGUUCUUCUGUAGAAUGUCAAACACCUGAGUAAGGUGGUCCUUGUGCUCUUCUAAGGAAGUGUUGAAAACCAGUAUGUCAUCAAAGAAUGUUACCACAAACUUCAGCAUUCCAAAUAAAAAAUUCAUUAAAGCUUGGAAGCUAGGGGGGCCAUUAGUCAGACCAAAGGACAUAACUAAGUACUCAAAUAAACCCAUAUGAGUGACAAAAGUUAUUUUGUGUAUAUCCUCUUCUGCCAUUUUGAUCUGGUGAUAUCCAUUUCUGAGAUCAAUUUUGGAAAAAUACUUAGCCCCCUUCAAUUGGUCUAGCAAAUCUUCAAUGAUUGGAAUUGGGUACUUAUUCUUGAUUGUUAUAGCAUUCAGCUUCCUGUAAUCAAUGCACAACCUCCAGGAUCCAUCCUUCUUUUUCACAAGUAACACGGGAGAGGAAAAGGGGCUUGUGUUGGGCAUGAUCACUCCAGACUUCAGCAAUUACAAGAUCUCCUUCUGGUGAUGUGGCAUUCUGUAAGGCCUUUGGUUCACUACUUUGGCCCCUUCUAUCAGAGGAAUUUUGUGAUCACAUGGUCUGCUUGGAGGCAACUCAGUUGGUUCCUGGAAGAGCUGUUCAUAUUUCUGCAACAGAGUUUGCAACUCAUCAGGUAACUCUUUAGCUGUGCUUACUACUUCCACAGCACAAGCAGUAAACAGCACAAAACCACACACUACCUGCUCCAUCAGCUUAUCAGUGCAGUCCUUAGCUUCUUCAGGCUGUACCCUGGGCACUGUUUCAUCGGCAAAUGUGACUAGGUGGACAUCUAAAGCAGACACUUUCAUUUCCAUCUUAAUGAAGUCCAUGUGCACUGGGCUGUACUCUUUCAACUAAUCCACUCCUAGUAUCAUAUCAUAACCUUUUAACUGCAGAACUCUAAAACUGUCAGUAAACUGCUUACCCUGUAUCUCAUACAUACAAUCCUGCACCAUGAAUUCACUCCACAAUACUUCUCCACUUGCUACAGCUACUCUCACUCUAGGGGUGGGCUUGGGUUUAACUUGGAGCUAGGUUGCCAUUUCAGGAGACACAAAUGUAGAUGUGCUGCCACUGUCCACUAAGGUUGUUGCAGAAGUGUUUCCCACCUUGAUUGUUAGAACAGAAGUGUUCUUGACAGCUCCAAUCCCCAUAGCUGCAUGCAUAGAUAAUUGCGGAAGUGUAUCAGCUAGGAACUGGUCCAUGUUCUCUAGUUGUGGAUCAGCAAAAUCAAUUACAUAAAUAGUUUCAGGCACUUCUUCCUCCUGUGCGUGCAGAGCUUGGAUCUGUGCUUUCUGACUCAUUUUGCACACUUGCCUAUGCCCUGGGACCCAAGGUUCCCUACAUUUGUAACAAACAUGAUUCUGUUUUGCUAGUUGGAUUACUGCAUUCCUAUUUUGCACUAUAGCACCACCUUCAAUUUUUGGUUGUUCAAAAGUACCCUGCCUCCUAGGUUGUGGCACAUAGUCCUUCGUUUGCACCACUUGCACUUGUGGCUAAACUUUUUCCAUCCUUCCAGCAUACCACAUAGCAGUCUGCAUAUCCUUUGGUUUAAAACACUCCACAUGGCUCUUGAUGUAAAUAUUCAGGCCAGACACAAAACUAGUUACGUAGUAACUAUCUGGAAUUCCAGGAUUCUCUCUUCUCAUUACAUUCAUUAAGUGCUCAAACUGUUCAAUAUAAGCUGGCAUGGUGGAAGUUUGAUGCACUGCAUGGAAUGAACUCACUAUGUCACAAGCUGAAUCAACAGCAAAUCUCUGAGAUAAGUAGGAACAAAACUUGUGACAGGGUACAUUGUUAGGAGCAUACCCAGUUCGUCUCCAUCACUGAACAGCAAGACCUUUUAAGUAAGAAACUGCCAAUUUUGUUCUAUGUUCAAUUGGUACGGUGUUCUUGCAGUAGCAAAGUAUUGGUCUAAAUUCUGAAUCCAUGCUUCGGGAUCCAAUCCUUCAAACUCAGAAAUGUUCACCUUUGCACGCUUCACUGUGAGAACUAGUCUUCUACUGUCAGAAGGGGAAUAUUACCUGUGUCUCUUCCCAUCAGGCCACUCCUCUAUUGCCCCUGUCUCCACUGGUUGCAACUGCAACUGUUGGUGAUGCCCAGCUGCUUGUUGUCCCUCAUUUUUUUUGUUGGUGAAGUUAGGAUGCCUAUAUGGGGCUUUGUUUGUACCAUCUAAAUUAAGCUCCUUUCCUGUGGGAUCCCUCAACACAGUUGUGCCCACUACCACCGGUGCUUCCUUCUCCUGGCCAUGGACUGAAGGUGGUGUAAAAUUGACCAACUGCUUUCGGCCUGCCUGCAGGAAUUACUGGCGAGUGCACCUCAUCUACUUUCCUCUGGGUACUACCAUGCUCAGAGCGCUCAAGUUGCUCUUCCUCUGAACCAUGAUCCAUCAGCAAUUUCCUGAAAUUAUCUUGAUCUUGUCGAAAUUACCUUGCAUCGUGACAAAAUUCUUGUUCACCAUCGCCCGGAACUCCUGAAACUCCUUUUGAUCCCCCUCUCUGUUGUUCUGCGGGGUCUUGAUAUCUAACUCCAAUGAUGCUAGUUGCAGAUCCGCAGUAACAACCGAGUCUGUUUGGCCCGUCAUGGCGCUGCUCAAAACAGGGUGGGUGGUGGGAUUGAUGCAAUUACCUUGUUCUGGAUCUGGAUCUGAAUCACGUCGAGAAGCUUUAGCUCACCUCUCCUCUCUGCUUCACCUCCGGCCGAAAAAUCGAUUGGCUCUAGAUACCAAUUGUCAGGCUCUAGCAACUGACUCAAGCAGAAACACUCAUCGGCAACUAAAUUCACAAAUCAAAAUUAGCUCGAGGAGGGUUUCUAUUGCUUCGAAAAUGGGGAAAGUAGGUAGAGCUCGCCACAGGCGGCUUAGGGUUUGUACCCAUACACUUUUUACAUGCCUAUAAGGGCUGGAAUGAGAGGCAUUUAUAAGCCAACUCACUAAAAGCAACAAAGUAAAAAAGAACACUAGCUAGUGCGCCUUGUCUGAAAAUGAAUAGCGACGCGGGAGUCUAGCCUAGUCGUCGGAUGCAGGAUCAGCGGUCGUUGCUUGUUCAAUUGCCGAAACGGUAUCGUCUCUUCCCAACCGUUGGAUGUGAGAUCAACUCACCUGGUUCAUCCGGCACAUAGAAACAGAGGAGGCGAUCCUGACAUAAAGUUGGAUUUCUCACUGUCUCCGAACGACAACAACCGUCGGCCAUGAGCGAGAAGCUGGACACCGGAGCCCAAAACCACCUCCGUCCUGUUGGUUGGUUGGGCCAUCGGUGAUGAGUACCGAGUGACCCAACAUUUGCAGUUGAUGGAUUGAAUGCAGAGAAAUUAGUGACCGACAACGCAGUUGGUGGAUCGAGUACAGAGAAAUGAGUACCAAGAAGGCGUCGGCCCGGACACUGCGUUCUUGGUUUGGUGAUUGGGCCACAGCCACGAUCCCGCCCCCAUGACCGCGCCCCGCCUCGACACCGGAACGGAACCGCCGCCUUCUCCACGCCCGAAGCGUCGUUGCCGCGAUAGAGCCACCGCAGGUCGCCGUCCGACUCCCAUCAAUUCCAAUCGCCCCAUCCAGCUGAACACAUGCCGAGAGAGAAAGAAAUUCUUUUUUUACAUGUACAUGGAUGGGCCUAACAGAAAAAAUAAAAAUAAAAGACUAACCGGUGAGGCUUGUACAUGCAAAAAUAGCGAUGUCCCAAAUGCCCUCAAAAGGCUCGGGAUGAGUUUGGCCUAGGUCGUCGGGGCUAGUUUUGCUCAAAUCCGACGCAAAAACAACGUCCCUCAGGCAUGACUGAGACUUUUUUCUACCGCCGACGACUGAAAAGUGACCUAGGGGCGCGGCUGGAGAUGCCCUAACCCUCUAGAGGUUGAUAAUUGAAGUGUGGGCGCCGUGUAUUUUUACUCAACCUGUUUAUUAUCAACUGUUUCUUGAUAUCAUGGUUACUCCAUCUUGGGUUAUAGGACGUGGUUCUAGAUCACCAAUUUGACUAACUAAAUAUGAAUUAUAUGUCAUCAAAAAUAUAUCAUUUGAUUCUUAAUCAAAUAUAAUUUCUAAAAAUAUAUUUUUUAUCAAAUAUAAUACACAUAUAUAGCUAGUUAAAUUGUCAACCUAAAACACGUGGAUGGUUUAUAAAGCCGAAGGAAGUGCUAGAUUUGUUUCAUUGUUUGUCACACAUGUCUUCCGGAAUCAUAGGAGAGGCCUGGCCCCGCGUAUCUCUCUCACGCAAGACUUGCUAAUCAACCAAUUACUGACAUUAUUUGACGAAUCCCCAUAUAUUGGCUUACUGGUUUUUGACAUCAAACCAAGCAUGCUCACAAAAGAGAGAAAAAGAACCUCCCUACAGGCCAGAUGGCUCGGCUCUUAGUCACCAAACUAAUUACAACCCAAACAAAAAGGAGGUUGUAGCAAAAAGGAGGUUGUAGCAACAAUGCUCAGGCGGCGGCUAGAAAAGAUGUGGAGAGAGCAUUUGAGAUUUUGCAAACCCAAUUUGCUAUUGUGAGAGGACUGGCUAGAUUUUGGGAUCAAAAAAUGCUUCGAUACAUCAUGCACGCUUGUAUGAUCAUGCACAAAAUGAUCAUCGAAAAUGAGCGUGGCCAAGAUUUAGACUACUCACAGUAUGAGCUCUUGAAACAUCCCGUGCGAGUGCGACGGAGGGCUGAAAGGGUAGCCCAUUCUUUUGCCUCCUAUCAUGUCAUUCGGCGUCCCGCAACGCACAAUGAACUUCAGAAAGAUCUGAUUGAAGAGUGGUGGGCAUGGCAUGGACGAUAAAGAGCAUGAUUUCUGCAUUCGACAUUGUAUUGUUUAUGAAAUAUUGGUUGUGUUUAUUGCAUUAUUUGUUGUACUGAACGAUAAACUAUUUGUUGGAGUUGUAAUGACUAUUUAUUGUUGAUUUAUUUUGUUUGUUUGAUCAUUUUUGCUCCUUUUUUCUGAAAUGUAUAUGUAGUUUGUACGUGCUGCACGCGCUGUAUUUUUGCACGCUGCUGGAGCGGCGCGCACUGUGCAUUAUAGCGUGUCUGUUGGAGCCAGCGCUGGCGGCCACGCUAAACCAGCCGAAGCGCGCGGCAAACAGGUUUUUUGCGCGCGGCGCAAAGCGCGGCUGUUGAACGGAACCAUCGCAGUGGCGACGCCAUUGGAACCGCCAUCGCGUCCGCGACCGAAGCGCCGCUGUCGCGCGCCUGCUACUGUAGAGCCACCGCGGGUCGCCGUCCGGCUCCCACCGCUUCCAAUCGCUAGGCAAGCUUCGCCGCCGGGAAACCCUGGCCCUCGUAAUGAGCGGCCGGCACUGCGUCGUCUUGGACGUUUGCACUUGUCGUCGCUGUUACAUGGGGGGUAAAGUUGGAUUUCUCACCAUCUCCGAACGACAGCAACCGUCGGCCAUGAGCGAGAAGUUGGACGCCGGAGCGAAAACCACCUCCGUACUGUUGGUUGGUUGGGCGAUCGGUGAUGAGUACCGAGUGACCCCACAUUUGCAGCUGAUGGAUUGAAUGCAGAGAAAUUAGUGACCGGCAACGCAGCUGGUGGAAGACUUGCUAAUCAACCAAUUACUGACAUUAUUUGGCGAAUCGCCAUAUAUUGGCUUACUGGUUUUUGACAUCAAACCAAGCAUGCUCACAAAAGCAAGAAAAAGAGCCUCCCUACAGGCCAGAUGGCUCGGCUCUUAGUCACCAAACUAAUUACAACCCAAACAAAAAGGAGGUUGUAGCAAAAGCACUCUAUUCCCUUCUUAAUUAAAUUAAUACAUGUAGCAAAUCUUUUGCCAUGUUUCAGAAAAAGGGGAACUGGGUCGGCGCUUAAAAUUGACCCAGUUAAAACAGAUGGAUACUCAUCAGCAAAACAUCAUCAGGGUAAGAAAGGUGUUAAAACAGAUGCAUAACUCCAUGCAUGCCGCAACCAGUGCAGAAGACACAAUAACGGACGGGUGCAUCAGGUUACAAGAAGACGAUAAUAAAAUUCAGGUCACAUAACAAUCUCUGCAUAAUAAGAGCCAAAAAAAGAACAGUAUAAAAGCAAAGAAUAUCACAAAACAGCAAAUAUUGGGCCAUCAACUUCUGGAAUUUAUUACUUCACCAACGUAACAUAUUAUUCUUCUACCAUGGGAAUAGUGCUAAAUCCUUGUGGGUCAAUUCACAACUCCACUAACAAAUCAAACCAAUAAUUCACAUCAAAGUAUCAUGAACGACACAUACUCAUCACCAAAACAUCAUCAGGCCAAUAAACACAAGCAAAAUCCCACAAUUAGUGCAGAUCCUCCUUUGUUGAUACAAAAAAAGCGAAAACAUGUGCAUCAGGUUACACUGAAUCAAAGCUAAACUUCAGGUGUUACAUUACAGACAAGAAGAUGAUAACAAGUUUCAGGUCACAUAAUAAUCUCUGCAUAAGAGCAGGAAAAAAAAGGUAUAAAAAAGAGUUUUUGGUGAUCUAAAUCAGUCACCUCCAGCUUCCUUGAUGUCGACGGUGAACUCGUACUCCUGGUCACAGCCGAGGUAGGAGUCUGACAUCAGGUAGAUCAUGUAGUCCUUCCUCCCUGUCUCGGUGGCGGCGGUGAACUCAAGCUUCACACGGGCCCUUUUCUGGAGGGUGACCCUCUUGAUCGCCAGCAGCUGCUUGGUGGAGCUGUCGCCGACCACCAGCCACCAACCUUCCUCCUUGGUCUUGGGGAACCUGGGGGCGUGCACCGGGCCGACCUCAGAGUUGGGCAGGUUGGUCAUGUCACGCUCCAGAGUCACCUGCAAGGUCACGUUGUCGCCGGCCCUUAUGUCGUCACCCUCGCGGACUUCAUAAGACAUGUCGACGUUGGGGAACCGCUUGAAGAACUCAACGAUGUCCUGCAGCUCAGAGUUUGACAGCUGCAGCAGAUCCCGCAUCUCAUCGAUGCUCAUCUCAGCCAGAUCAAAGAUACUCUCUACAGGUUUCCCUUCGUUUUCCUGGCAUCGCCGGGCCAGGUCCCUGGUGAAGUGUGGGAGUUGGAGCAACACAGAGUCACGAUCCCACAUACCUUGCGUCACCAUCUGGCUCAACUCCAUUGCAUUCAGAGCCAGAGUGAGCCAUCCGCUGCUGGAGAUGACAUCAACCAUCGCCAGGAGCAGUCUAUGGGCGGAAAGGAGGAUCUCCCGCUGGUCUGCUGCCAGGUUCCCUACCACCGUGUGCCUUGCAAAGUGGGAUUGCAGCAGGGCGUUGGCCUUGACAUGUGGAUCGCCAUACUUGGGCUUGUCAAUAGAAAACCUCUGGUGACGGACUAGCCUCUCAAUGUAUUCCUCUUCGCCUGGGCGACUUGGAAGCUCUGCAUAUUCUGAUGCCGAAGCUAGAAUUUCCAGGAGACCUUUCAUCUUAGUCUUCUGAGUUAGCAUCGAACUGAACCGUUCGAUAGUGGUGUAACUGAUGUAGUAGUACGCAGCAAUGAGACCAAGGUUGAGCGGCUUCAGGUACAUGUCCUCCUCUACAGCCACACACUUGCUUGACUCCAGGUCAUUCAACACUGUCUCGAUUAGCUCAGAAAGAUGAUCUGACAGAUGCCUGUGACUUACACCCUGCAGAUUGUAGUAGUUAGGGUUCUUGUUCAGCCGCCUGUACAUGAAAGUCCAUGUAAGAUAGUCCACUGCAUCUUGUUUGUUUUCUACAACACCCACAACAACCUCAGCAUUCAUAUGGUCAUGCAAGAAAUGAUGGAGAUGACUCUCCACAGGGAAGGCCUCAAAAAGGAACUUCUUGUAGUACUCUUUCCGAGGUGCAUGGCACAAUAUAACGCAUUUCCCAGAGUUAUCUUGAAGAGGCCUGCUAGCAUGACCCAUCAUCUGCAGCAGAUCAGUGAUUGGAUAAUCAGUAUGAGCACUCUCCCGGCCAUCAUAAUACUGGGUUCCCAUCACAACAACUAAAUGAGCAGGCAAUGAUCUCCCCCAGCACAUCGUGCUGCUUGCAACACACACUUGGAUCCUCCCACCAAGAAAGAGCUGAGUCACAAGUUCCUGGUCAAGGUCACUAAGACCCUCAUGCAAGUAGCCCACACCACAUCUCAGCGUAUUUUUAAGCGUUUCUUCAUUGACACCUCCAAUGAAAGUAUCCAUCUCAUCUUGGGACCCAAGAAGGAAUGGUGUACCGGCACCCUCAGCACUUGAGUAUGCACACAGGUCCAAUGCAGUCAACCUUGCAUGCUUCCGUGUCGGCACAAACACCAGGGCAGGCUUACCACUCUUUGCAUGUUGAGUGAUAGCAGUGUAUGUUGGCUUCGCCAUUGCUUGCAUUCUUGCCUCAAAAUUUGCUAUAUCCACACCCUGAAUGUGUAUUUCCAGUGGAACUGGCCGCACUGCUGGGGGGAAGUUGAAAAGACCAUGAGCAGUAGCGCCAAUCCAUUCUCCAAGAUCUUUAGCAUUUCCAAGUGAUGCUGAAAGGGCUACAAUCCGGAUGUUAGUGCCAAUAUGACUUGAAAUACGCCUCAUCCGAGAGACAACUAUUUCCAGGACAUGUCCCUUCUCAGAUCCAAUUAGAUGAAGCUCAUCAACAAUAAAUAAGCUGACUUGCUGGACAGGUUUCCGCUGCUUCCACCGACGAGAAAGUGCAUCCCACUUUUCAGGAGUACUAAUAAUGAUCUCCCCUUUGUCAAGAAGUUUCAAAUCAGCUGCAGUUUCGCCUGUUAGCUCAACUACACGGGCAAAUUCACCAAAUUUCUUUGACCAGUCUCUGUAUCUUUCUUUGGCCAGAGCCUCAAUAGGUGCUAUAUACACAACACGCAUGUUGGUUUCACCAGAUACAGCCUUCUGGUGGUUCCUUAGUAUAGCAAAUUCCGCACAGAUAGUCUUCCCACUACCAGUUGGUGCAGCAACCAAGACACUGUCGUCACUAUUAUACAAGACAGUGAACACUUGAGUCUGGAUGGGGUUGAAAUGUUUAAAAGCACUAUAAAGACCUUCAUAUCGUGCAUUCCUUAAUGCAGUGACAGGUAGUGGCUGCAGAUCAAGCAAUUCAGUUGGUGGAGCAUAUUUUUCUGGAAGAAUCAAGUGCCUAAAGCAAACAGGGAGAAUCGUCUGAGAACCAAGCCACUUGUCAGAUACAACACGUAUAAAAUACUGAGGAGGCAGUGGCUCAUAUAUCGGCACUGUAAAGUGAAGUGUGUGAUCUUCAUCCACGUAUUGUUUCUUAAGCAUGAAGUACUCAUGGUGAAGAAUGUACUCUCCAUCAUUGUCCUCAACUAUAACCCAAAAGGGCUCAACAUAUCCAUGUACCUUAUCAUCCCAUAGGAAAUCAGGCGUUAUAGUCAGUUCGAAACCCAAAACUGUGCGAGUAAUAGGUUGAACAUGGGCAGAAAGGUUCAACUUCGGCAACUGGUGGAUGCACCUGUGCAGCUGCUUCCCCAUCUUUUGAAACCGGAUUAGUUCACCGAUUUCCUGCGAUGACAGGUCAUAGUACCUCUCCCAGGCCAAUUCUUUCUUCUCCAGUUUCAUCAAAAUUUCCUUUGGAAUACCAGGAAACUGGCGCAAGGGUGUUUGGACACUCCACAUCUGCUUAUCAAUCAUCUUGCAAAGAUUCAGAGCCUUCUCUGCUAACUGAGCCCAUCCCCUCUUCAGAACUAUCUCAAAAAGUGCUCGUAGAAGUCGGCCAGCACUCUGUAACAUUGAGAAUAAGAGUUGUAAGAAUACUAGACAAAAUAAGCAAGCAGUUCAAAGUUCAAACUCAGUUAUUGUAUGGAACGUAGAGAACAUGUUACCUGUCUGAUGUAGACCAUAUCAGAACCAAGGGAGAGGCCCUCCAGUUUCAACCUAGAUAUAUAUGCUUGCAACAGCACAUUGAUCUUUGCACUGGGCUCAUCUAAACUCUCUUUUAUAGGAAUUGGCACACGAUCCAAAAGCUUUGCCAGCUCCAUCUUCUCAUCUUGUCUGACACUAACAUACUUAAACUCUUCACUCAAAGAGAACAAUCGACACAGCUCAAUAUCACCCAUCGUGGGCUUCAGAUACUCAUUGUACGUCGAUAUAGUCCCAUGACUAAUAUAGUAAUAACUGGCAAUCCUUCCAAGAUCAGUAACCUGAAAGUAUCCUGUUUUCCUGUCGUACUUUAUCAAAUUAUUCCUAUCCAGCAAAUUUGCAGCGGAGUGCACCUGAAGCAGCACACCAAGAAUCAGCAGUGGAACAGCAAGAAGUACAAAAUCAAGAGAGCGUCUAAAGAACAAUAUUGAUAAUGAAAUCAUAAGCUAACUGCCAACUAAUUUUACUCUGAUAUUUCUCUAAGAUAUGGGACCAGUAUCAAGAUGCCCAUAUAACUUCCAAAUAAAUUAAUAAGGAACUCAUCCAAUGAAAAGCAAAUAGCUGUGAGUUUCUUUUCCUAUAACCAUAAAAUACCCAAUACCACCUUACUGAUAGGAUGAAGCCUAUUCCACCUUCAUUUUUCCCAAUUCUAAAAACUAAACUCAAGCAAAUGCGUGCUGUAUUACAAAAAAUUAUCCAUGAUAAAUUUUAUAUCUACAUGCCUACCCAUAUUUGACUGUUAGAAAAAUUAGAAACAAAUUUCCGUUAGAAUGCCACAUUUGUCCGGGCUAUUAUGCUAUUACUGAUACACAGAAAUCAAACGGAUACUAAUUACCAAAGAGGAUAUUUGUUUAGCAAUCUACAAAAUGGGCAACUGCAGUGCAUCUGGCAUAAACCAUACUGAAGAAACAAAAGACUAGUACGAACACAAGACACGUUCCCCUGGAUGCAAUUGCCGUAGUCGGGUAGAAACAUGUUGGCUAUACUAUUCUCCGCACAUAAAUACUGAACACCACAACAUACAGACAACAAAUUUAACAAUUGAUUAUUUACAAAAGAUUAUGUGCCCAUGCACAACAUCGCCAUGUAUAGCUAGUCCAUAUAUGUAAGUGCAACGGCUGAAACUAUGCUUGAAAAUAAAUCACCAGGAUGAUGGGAUUAUGCAGUUUCAGAAAAAACAGAGUAUAGCAUGUACUUACCAAGUCAGCUCGCCUCUCAUCUAGCGUUUUGUCCGUCUCCAUGAUAUCUGCUGGUAAGCCAUACAGUGUUGGAUUCCGGAGCAUCCGGAUGUAGAGAUAAGUGUAGCCAAGCCAAGAGCAUGCUUCCCGAGCAUUCUGAAUAGUACCCAGAACAAUCUCUGCAUUUAACUGAUCUGCCAACUUGGAUAUGAACUGACUCUCAAUAGGCAGCUGUUGAUUCAUAAGGGAGAGGUAGUAUUGCAAUUCACUGUGGCCAGUUAAGAUUAUUCCCUCUCCGUGUGUGUCAUACUGAGGCCUACCUGCACGACCAAGCAUCUGCAUGACAUCCAGAGGACUUAAUUCUGUCCAAGCACCUUUUUCCGGAUUAUAAAUCUGUGUGCCCUUUAUAAUAACAGUAUGUGCAGGCAAGUUGACACCCCAUGCAAGGGUGGCUGUCGAAACAAGAACCUGUAUAUGCUUAUCAGCAAAAAGUUCCUCAACAAGUUCACGGUCUACCCUUGCCAUCCCAGCAUGAUGUAUAGCAAACCCAUACGGCAAAAGGUCUUUAAGAUCACUGCUUUUGACAAUAUCUGUAUGACUGCCAAGGAUCUCCUGGCUUGCACUCUCAUCCUUCAGAAAGCGAGUCAAUGUAUCAUUCGCCAAGGCAGUGUCUCGGAUUGCUCGAGCAGUUUUCGAUGUCUCCUUCCUGGAGUGCACAAAAAUAAGCACUUGAUGCUUACCAGCAGAAGCCAUCACUUUCUCAUAACAGAUCUCAUUCAUCAACUGAAACCUCUGCAGUGGCUUCCUCACAGUGAUCCCAAUGUACUGCUGAGCAAGAGGGCAAGGCCGGUAACUGUUGUCAAAAUGGAAGAGACCCUCAGAGCGAACACGCAGGAAUACAGCAACAUCUUCAUAGUUUGGAAGAGUUGCGGAGAGGCCAACUAGGCGAAUAUGUUCCUUGGUCGUCUCAAUCUGCCGUACUGUUCUAGACACAAUACUCUCCAGGACAGGCCCUCUGUUGUCAUGAAGCAGAUGGAUCUCAUCGAUGAUCAGAAGCUUUACCAUUUGAGUGUAUGUUCUGUCCCCAGAUUUCCUCGUGACAAUAUCCCACUUCUCAGGUGUGGUGACAAUGAUCUGUGUAUCAUCAAUCUGUUGUUUUGUCAGGUUCUGGUCUCCACUGAGCUCCCUAACAUUAACAUUGAAGUCUUUAAGCCGUGCCGACAAGUUUCCAACAACUUCAGCAACCAGAGCUUUCAUUGGGGCCACAUAGACAAUUUUGUACUUGCUAUUAUCAAACUCACCAUCCUUCAUAUGCAAACCUAUCUGGUGAAGAAUUGUAAGCACAGCCACAUUGGUUUUACCAGCACCAGUUGGAGCACAGAGAAGGAUGUUGUCUGGUUUGAACAGGGCAGUAUCAUAAACCUUGCUCUGGACCCUGUUCAGUUGCUGCAUUCCAGCAAAAGCCGGUUGUGCCCACCCUGGGAUAUCAGAUAUCUUCACAAUCUUCUCUCCAGUUCCAUAUGGCCUAGGUUUCAACGCUGGCACAUGGACUUCCUCAUACCCCUUAUGAGGGGUUCUGAACGAUCCCUCGGGAAGUUCACAUUUCUUGUUGGCCAUCAAGAGACCACCUUGGUGGAAGGAGAGGCUAUCAAGAUCAAGCAGCUGCCUCUGGCCUUUUAGCCAUCCACUCUCUGUAUCCCGCUCAACUGCCCGACGCUCCCUUGGACCAUCAGUGCCAGCACUGUCAUUGUUAAGAAGCCUCUUGGCCUCAUCCCUGAUACUUUUCUCCAAGUUUUUCUGCCUCUCCUUUGCAGAGGCUCUCGUUGCAUGUAGCUGCUCCAAUAUUGGGGCUAAGCUUGGGUCAUCCAUCAUCUCUUCCUCUAUCUUCUUCCGCUCUUCCUGAUCUUCAGCCCUGGCUAAGCGGGUACACCAGACUAUCUUGAACCGGUUGCGCAAUACCAGUUUAAUGAGAUCGAAUUUCUCAUAGUCCAACUCCAUGACAAGGCGAUUCUCUACAUCUCUGUCAUCACCCACAGCAAUUAUCUUCAAUAUCUCCUCGGCUAGCUUCUGGCUCUGCUGGGGAUCAAUAUCUUCAUAUGCUUGUGUUAUCUUCCUCUGCAGCCAGUAAGCGUCAAUGUCCUGCACAUUUAUGUUGAGCCCCUCGUUGGAGUUCUGCAUAUCAUCGUCAUCCAACUCGCCACCCAUCUGCAUACCUCCAGGACGGUUCAACUCAGCCACAUCAUCAUCAUCGUCAUCCAAAUCAUCUUGCACCUGAUCCAGGCAAAAACGUUGAAGGUUAUACACACAAGUAUACAUAUGGGAUGUUCCAAUCAGGAACAGGCAAGAGAAAGUGGAACACCGUAAUACUGCAAGGUUACACGCAUAUGUAUACCUGAUCAAAAUCACUUUCCUCGUCAUCUUCAUCCUCCUCGAACUCAACAGCAACUCCGAUAUCAUCAUCCAUGGUAGCGUCCCCACCAUCACCAGAAGGUACGGCAGCAGGGUCGCUGGCGUCGUGGAAAUCCGUGAUGAGCUUCCCGAUGGAGACGAACUGGUCGAACAUGGCGCUGGAGAUGGGGUUAAGCAGCUUCUCGAUCUCCUUCUUCUUGUCAGGGUUCUUGAUCUUGUCGUUCUUGAGGACGGCGAGCACCUCAUCGGCAGCCCCGCCGAGCACGUCGAGCGGCUGGCCGCCAAACUGCUGCUGGAUGACGCUGAGCAUGGCCUCGUAGGCGGCGCGCGUCUCCUUGGUCUGGGGCUUGUAGACGACGUCGUCGGCGAGGGAGAGCACGCUCUCCUCGCGCUGGGCGGCGGCGGAGCGGCGCCUGCGCUUGCGGGGCUGGUCGGCGUCGGCGUCGGCGGAGGCCGCGUCGCGCUCCUUCUUCUUGCGGGACUUGGUGAGGCGGUCCUCGAGCUCGGGGGGCUUGGCCUGCACGGCGCGGUCCCCGAAGCUCCUCUUGUCGAUCCGGCCCCAGAGCGUCUCGGGCUCGCCCGUGGGCUCGUGCGUGUCCCGCGGGCGCGAGUCGGUGGUGAGCACCAGGCUCGAGUUGGCGCGGUACUCGUACUGCUUGAACCGCGCGUGCGCCUCCGCGCCGCCUCCCAGGUUCGCCAUCCCGCCGCUGCGGGGUCAAGGAGGAGGAGGGGGAGCGGUCAGGCGGCGGCUAGGGUUUUGGAAGCGGCUGGGGUUCUGAGGAGGGGAGCGAGGGAGGGGCGUGCUGGCUGUUGUUACCUGUGGGUGGGUCGGCCGGCGGGCGGAGCUAGCGGGCGCGGCUCCCGCCGGCUCGGGUGGUGGGGGCGGCGGCGUCGUCGGCGUCGGAGACGGGGGAGNNNNNNNNNNNNNNNNNNNNNNNNNNNNNNNNNNNNNNNNNNNNNNNNNNNNNNNNNNNNNNNNNNNNNNNNNNNNNNNNNNNNNNNNNNNNNNNNNNNNNNNNNNNNNNNNNNNNNNNNNNNNNNNNNNNNNNNNNNNNNNNNNNNNNNNNNNNNAAGAUGCGGCGGGGCGGAGAUUGGAUUGGACUUUGGGGGAGGAAUAUUAGCCUAGGUCAGGCUCAGGCCGGGUCGGUUCGAGACGAGAGGCCUGCCUACGAACCGACCAUGCCCAUGUCGGCUCCUGGGCCGGCCCGCCUUGCUUGGUGGGCCCUGAGAGGGGAUAAUAAGAUGUUUACAUGUUAACCAUCUAAGUAGUUGUAAGAAAAAUAUGACCUAUCAAAUGUACUCCAUCCGUCCGAGACUACUUGUCGCGACAAUGAAUAAAAAUGAAUGUAUCUGAAACUAAGACGCAUCUAGAUGCAUCCAUUCCUCCGACGAAUAUUUCCAGACUGAGGGAGUAAUAUGUAGCGGUGUGCAAUGGUCCAAAACAAAAAAUAGAUGGUCCCAAAUUAUGCGGUAACUAUCGGAGUAUGUUGGAAAUCCAUAUGCAUAUGUGCAAACAACUUUAAUAAGUAUAGAUUUGGUUCUUCAUAGUAUCUUAUUUUAGAAUGGCUUUCGUGCAGAUGGAGCCACAUGCCGGUUGAAUGUUAGAAUUGCAGUGUGCAUGUAGAAGUUAUUAAAUGUCUACAUUAUUGUACUCCAUAAACUCGGUGGUUCGCAUCUUCUUUCAUAAUGGCUUCCAUGCAUAUCUUCAGAUAUGGCAAUAUCUGAACUGCAACAUGCAUAUCUUCUGGAUAGGAUCACACAAUCAUUCAAAAGGCUUUACUUGACACAAACACUAAUUUAAAUAUAAAAACACAAUAAUUACAACAGCAGUAAUAUUGUUAUCUGACACAAACUGAAAGUAGAACAAGAAAAAAUAAGAUAAUUAUUGGGUUGCCUUCCAACAAGCUUUAUUGUUUUACGUCCCUAGCUAGGCAUAAUGCAUAGUUCUAAGUGUUCUCCUUAUUGGUGGGACCCUUAUCGGAUCCCGGAGAUUCCUUUCGUUUAUUAAUGACCUCUGAAAGUGAAGUCACCAAUUUGUCAAGGGACUCAUGUUUUUUAUUGGCGGUGGUAAGAAAAGAGUUCAUGUGAUGAAGCCUAGGCCCUGAUGUUUUAAUGGGUUCGUUAACCUUUUGUAUUGCAGUAAUAUUCUUUUGCAAAUCUCCUAGCUUCUCUAAUAUUUGGAUGUCCUCAUGUGUAAAAGAAUAUGUUUGAGGUAACUAGCAAAAGAGCUCGUGCGUUGCAACGGAAGCAAACCAUACAACACGUCUUAACCUAAUAAUCAUGACUUGAGAUCUUUAUUUAAACUUACUGCAUAAAUAGAAUUUAAAAAAUGUUAAAUAAGUAAAAUAACAUCAUAUUUAGAUUAUACACAUCACUAUAGAUUCAAAUUACAUUACAAAUAGAAAUUUAAAAACUAAAUAGGUAAGAUACAUUAGAUUUCGAUUCAACACAUUUUUUGAAUGAAAGUUCAUAUGUAAUAAUUUAAAAUUAAAGUUACAGUUUAAAAGAUAAAAUUGUUUAUAGUAUUUGUUAAUUAUAAUUGGACCGUGGAUUAAUUAACAACAUGGAUUGGCCUCCUUAUGAAAAAUGGAUUGUACACUAUUGAUUAAAAUUACAGCAUAAAUAUUAUUUAAAAAUUAUUAAAUAAAUAAAAUAAUAUUAUAUUUAAAUUGUGCGCAUCACUAUUGAUUUAAAUUACAUUAUAAACAGAAUUUUAAAAAAUUAAAUAGAUAAACUAACAUUAUAUUCAGAUUUUACAUAUUUUUCUAAAAAUUUCAUAUAUAAUAAUGUAAAAUUGGAGUUACUGUUUAAAAGACAUAUUUUUUAAAAGUAUUUUGCACUUAUAAUUUAACUAUAGAUUAAUUAAUUAAAAAACUGUAGGAGUGUUUUCGGAAACAUACGGAAAAUGAUUGGUUUUUUUUACUCAAGUAUGUACUGCGGGUUUAUUUUAUGAAAACUGAAGGAGGUUUCUAUAAAAAAUCUAGAAAAUGAUUCGUUCUCUCACUGUGUUAUGUACUGCGGGUUGAUUUCGGGAAAGCACAGGGGUUUCCUGUAAAAACGAAAAAACGAUUCAUCUCUCACUUAAAUCUGGACUGCGGGUUGAUUUUGGGAAACUUUAGGGGGUUUUCUGCAAAACGACCACGAUGGACGAAAGAAGCAUUGUGUGCUUUAUUAUUAGGGAGAGAUGGAGGAGUUCCUACCAUUCUUUCUACUAUUUCAUAUGCAACAGUGGGAUCCAAUUCGAUAAAAUUUCCUUUUGCAGCGAAGUCUAGAACCUGUCUAUGAGACAUCCCUAGACCUAUAUAAAAAUUACGAAGGAGGAUCUUCAUAUCAUUCUUUAUGGUAGCAUUAUGAUGAAACUCAAUUAUAUGAUACCAUGUGCUACUGCAACAAAAGACCUUCCAACGACGUCAGAAAUAGGAGUGUUACUUGAUACUCCUCAGUAACGGCACCAGAAAUACUUCUGAUGCCAGUUGUGCUUCCCUAGCAACGGCGUCGGGAAUAGUCGUGUCGACGACACCAAGAAUCCUUCUGUUACGGCUACGCCUUAAGGGACUUCCUAGGCAAAUAUGCAAAGGAUUUCCCCCGUGGCCUUGGAGCCUUGUGUUGGUGUUCCCUCGAAACGGAAAGGGUGAUGUAGCACAGCGGUGGUAAGUAUUUCCCUCAGUUUGAGAACCAAGGUAUCAAUCCAGUGGAGGAGUAUCUCAAGAUCCUGCACAAACACAAAAGCUUGCUCCCAAGCUAUGAAGGGGUUGUCAAUCCCUUAUAGAUUGUUUGUCAACUGAGAACUAAAAGCAACAAAGUAACAAAGCAAAAUAAAAGCAGAGGUGUAAAUGAUGGAUGUGAAUAGACUUGGGGGCCGUAGUGUUUACUAGUGUCUUCUCUCAUGAAAGCAAGUAGACGGUGGGUGCACAAAUUACUGGCGAGCAAUUGAUAGAACCGCGCAAAGUCGUGACGAUAUCUAAGUCAAUGAUUAUAUCUAUAGGCAUCACGUCCAAAACAAGUAGACCGAUACUUUCUGCAUCUACUACUAUUACUCCACACGUCGACCGCUAUCGAGCAUGCAUCUAGUGUAUUAAGUCCAAAAGAACAGAGUAACGCCUUAAGCAAGAUGGCAUGAUGUAGAGGGAUAAUCUCAAACCAAUGAUGAAAACCCCAUCUUUUUACCCUUGAUGGCAACUACUUAAUGUGUGCCUUGCUGCCCCUACUGUCAUUGGGAAAGGUCACCACAUGGCAGAACCCAAAACCAAGCACUUCUCCCAUUGCAAGAAUCAUAGAUCUAGUUGGCCAAACAAAACCCAAGACUCGGAGAGACUUACAAGGAUAUCAAAUCAUGCAUAUAAGAAAUCAGCAAAGACUCAAAUAUAUAUCAUAGAUAAUCUGAUCACAAAUCCACAAUUCAUCGGAUCUCGACAAACACACCGCCAAAGAAGAUUACAUCGGAUAGAUCGCCAUGACGAUCAUGGAGAACUUUGUAUUGAAGAUCCAAGAGAGAGAAGAAGCCAUCUAGCUACUAACUACGGACCCGUAGGUCUGAAGUGAACUACUCACGAGUCAUUGGAGGGGUGAUGAUGAUGAUGAAGAAGCCCUCCAACUCCAAAGUCCCCUCCGACAGGGCGCCGGGAAGGGUCUCCAGAUGAGAUCUCGCGGAAACGGAAGAUUGCAGCGGCGGAAAAGUAUUUUCGAGGCUCCCCUGAUUUUUUCCUGAAUAUUUGGGAAUAUAUAGGCCAAGGAUCUAGGUCAGGGGCGGCCAGGGAGGCCACAAGCCCUGACACCGCCGCCUCCCCCCUAGUGGCGGAGUGGGAGCUUGUGGGCUCCCUGGAGCCCACCUGGCUUGGCCCAAAGGCCCCCUGAUCUUCUUCCGUUUGGAAAAAAAUCAUUUCGGAAUUUUUAUUCUGUUUGGACUCCGUUCCAAAAUCAGAUCUGAAAAGAGACAAAAACACAGAAAAAACAGGAACUGACACUUGGCACUGAAUUAAUAAGUUAGUCCAAAAAAAGAUAUAUAAAAGGUACAUAAAACAUCCAAAGAAGACAAGAUAAUAGCGUGAAACCUUCAAAAAUUAUAGAUACGUUUGAGACGUAUCAAGCAUCCCCAAGCUUAACUCCUGCUCGUCCUCGAGUAGGGAAGUGAUAAAGAAUUAAUUUUUGAUGCUUUCAUGCUACCUAGCAUAGAUGUCCUUUGUAAUUCCUCUUAUGUGACGUGAAUGUUCAGAUCCAUUAGAUUCAAAACAAUAGUUUUCUAUUGACGUGGAAACAAUAAUAAUUCAAGCAAACUAGCAAGGUAAUCAUGAACUUUCAAAAUAACAAGGCCAAAAGAAAGUUAUCCCUACAAAAGCAUAUAGUCUGGCUAUGCUCUAUCAUCAUUGCACAACGAAUUUAAAUCAUGCACAACCCCGGUAUUGGCCAAGUAAUUGUUUCACACCUUUACUUUCUCAAACCUUUUCAACUCUCACGCAAUACAUGAGCGUGAGCCAUGGUUAUAGCACUAUAGAUGGUGUGGAAUGUGGUGGAGGUUGCAAGACAAAAAGGAGAAGAUAGUCACAUUAACUACGCAUAUCAAUGAGCCGUGGAGAUGCUUAUCAAUAGAUAUCAAUGUGAAUGAGUAGGGAUUGCCAUACAAAUGAUGCACUAGAGCUACGAGUAUGUGAAAGCUCUUAAAUAAAACUAGUGGGUGUGCGUCCAACUUGCUUGCUCACGAAAACCUAAGGCAAUUUUGAGGAAGCCUAUCAAUGGAAUAUACAAACCAAGUUAUAUAAUGAAAAUUUCGCACUAGCUAUAUGGUGGUGACAAAACAAGAGACUCUCAAUCAUGAAGAUCAUGGUGCUUAAUAUGCACAAGUGUGGAAAAAGUGGUAGCAUUGUCCCUUCUCUCUUUUUCUCUCAUUUGUUUUUUAUUUUUUUGGUGGGCUCUUUGGCCUCACUUUUUUUUGGUGGGCUUCUUUGGCCUCUUUUAUUUCCUCACAUGGGACAAUGCUCCAUUAAUGAUGAUCAUCACACUUUUAACUCAAAACUUAGAGCAACUAUGACUCUAUAUGGAAUGCCUUCGGUAGUGUACCGUGACAAAGAUCUACGAUGGCAUAGACAUCAAUGGAAACAUCAUGCUAGAUAUCUUACGAUCAUGCAAUGGCAAUGUAGACGUGGUGGCACAUGUCAUGGUGGUAGUUGCAUGGCAAUAUAUCUAGGAAUGACUUUGAAAAAGCCAUAGUAGGUAGGUAUGGUGGCUGUUUUGAGGGAGGCUAAUGGUGGAUUUUGUGCAUCGGCGAAAGUUGCACGGCACUAAGAAGAUAGUGAUGGUGGAAGGUGAAAGUGCAUCUAAACCAUGGACUCAACAUUAGUCAUGAAGAACUCAUAUACUUGUUGCAAAAGUUUUAUUAGUAACCAAAACAAAUCAUUCAACGCAUACUCCUAGGGGAAGGGUUGGUAGGUAUAAACAAUCGCGCGAUCCCGACCACGACGCAAAGGAUGACAAUCAAUAUACUAAUCAUGCUCAGAUUUCAUCACAUAGCGGUUCACCAUACGUGCAUGCUACGGGAAUCACUAACUUCAACACACGUAUUUCUAGAUCCACAAGACCUUACUAGCAUGACUUGAAUAUUACCAUAACCACAACUCAAAACUAAUUGAGAUGAAUCAAACUUCUCUAACUGUUCAAUGCACAUGAAGGUGGAAGUUUCCGUAUCCCUUUGGAUAACUACCCCUUUUGAGACUACUUUCAAAGCAUAGAUCAACUACCAAGACACGCACCGCUGUGCUCUAAAAGAUAUAAGUGAAGCACAUAGAGCAAAAGUAUCUAGCUCAAAAGAUAUAAGUGAAGCACAUGUGAGCUGAAUUGUCUACCAAAAGAUAUAAGUGAAGCUCGACAAAAUCACGGUGAGUGCAUGUCUCUCUCUCUAGGUGUGCAGCAAGGAUGAUUAUGACACAAAAAAAAUAAAACACUCCUACGAUACAAGACGCUCCAAGCAAAAAACACAUAACAUGUGGUGAAUAAAAAUAUAGCCCAAGUAACACCGAUGGAUUGAACACGAAAGAGGGGAUGCCUUCCCGGGGCAUCCCCAAGCUUAGGAUUUUACGGCAUCCUUGAAUCUCUUGGGGUGCCUUGGGCAUCCCCAAGCUUGAGCUCUUGCCACUCUUUAUCAUUUUGUCCAUAAGAACUUCACCCAAAACUUGAAAACUUCACAACACGAAACUUAAACAGAAACUCGUGAUAACAUUAGUAUGAGAAAGCAAACCACCACUUCCUUAGGUACUGUAGCAAACUUAAAUUCCACUUGCUCUGAUGUUGGGUUACUGUACUUUCCAUCUCCCAUGGCUAAUACCCCCCGAUACUAUCCAUAGUUUCAUCAAAAUAAGCAACCAACAUAACAAAAACAGAAUCUGUUAACAGCAGUCCAGUCUGUAGAAAUCUGUAUAUUUCGUAUACCUAUGGCCUAUGGUACUUCAAAAAUUCUGAAAAUUUACGGAAGUCUUAAGAAUUUGCGUAGCAAUCAGCAGCAAAAAGAAUCAACUCAAAAUCUCUUACAGAAAAAAAAAUGAAAAUUCUUUUCGUGAGCAGAAAGUUUCUGUCUUUCCAGCAUGACCAAACGAUCAUCCCCAAGACUAAUCAUAACGGUUUUGCUUGGCACAAACGCAAAAAGAAACACAAAAACACAAUCAUAACAGAAUUAUGAAAGUGUGGAAAACACAAAACAUAAAUAAAAAUGAUAGAUUCGUUGGAUUGCCUCCCAACAAGCGCUUUUGUUUAACGCUCUUAGCUAGGCGAAAGUGAUGGAAUCACGUAUAGUCAUCUUUGGUGCUCAAACCAUAGGUAGCCCUCAUCAUUGAUUCAUAAGGCAAUCUUAUUUUCUUUCUAGGAAAGUGCUCCAUGCCCUUCUUUAAAGGAAAUUGAAAUCUAAUAUUCCCUUCCUUCAUAUCGAUGAUAGCACCAAUAGUCCUUAGGAAAGGUCUACCAAGAAUAAUGGGAUAUGAAGGAUUGCAAUCUAUGUCAAGUACAAUGAAAUCCACGGGUACAUAGUUCUUAUAUGCAACAAUAAGAACAUCAUCGAUCCUCCCCAUGGGUUUCUUGACAGUAGAAUCCGCAAGAUGCAAAUUAAGAGAACACUCUUCAAUCUCAUGAAAACCAAGAAUAUCACAUAAAGACUUUGGAAUCGCGGAAACACUAGCACCCAAAUCACACGAAGCAUUGCACUCAUAGUUUUUGAUCUUGAUUUUGAUAGUAGGUUCCCACUCAUCAUGAAGUUUUCUGGGUAUAGAGACUUCUAGUUCGAGCUUCUCUUCAAGAGAUUUCAUCAUAGCAUCUACGAUAUGCGCGGUAAAGGCUUUGCUUUGGCUAUAAGCAUGUGGAGAGUUUGCAAUGGAUUGCAUCAAAGAAAUGCAUUCAAACAAGGAGCAAUUAUCAUAAUUGAAUUCCUUGAAAUCCACGGUAGUAACUUCAUUACUACUCAAAGNNNNNNNNNNNNNNNNNNNNNNNNNNNNNNNNNNNNNNNNNNNNNNNNNNNNNNNNNNNNNNNNNNNNNNNNNNNNNNNNNNNNNNNNNNNNNNNNNNNNUCUACCUCUCCACCUACGUUUAAUUAGAUUAUCCUGGGUUAAUACCACGCCUUUGUGUACAAACCACAUAAAUUUUUUAAUCCGUAGUGGCACUUUAAUAUUCCAAAUAUGCAACGAUCUAGAUAAAGUUCCUGUAUUAGUCAGAUCUGUGUACAUGGACUUUACUGAGAAUACCCCAUUCGCAGUUAAAAUCCAUCAAAUGCUGUGUCUGGAUGAUCUGACAAUUGUACCUGCACAAAUCUUCUUACUAAAUGCAUCCAUGUCUCCCAACGUUCCCAACUUCAUGAUAUGUUCUGUGAAAUUUGCAUCUCAAAGGCUAGGGAGGAAAACCUUGUUUUCACGCUGGAGGAAGGAUGUUGUUUGAGUGACACAUAAGGUGCAAUACGUGAUCUUGUCAUUGGCAGCAACUGGAAAAGGGAUAGAGAUGUGCUGGACGCCAGGCUAGACUUGUCACACGUACGGCCAUUGACCGUUUUCGGAGAGUGGAGAUCGUUUUUCAUCUCUUACAAUAUGAGGUUCCUCCGAGUACUUGACUUAGAAGACACACUGGAGUUAAAAGAUCACCAUCUUGAUGAUAUUGGGCAGCUCCUUCACCUCAAGUAUCUUUCUCUUCGAGGAUGCCGGAACAUUUUAUGCCUGCCUAAUUCUUUGAAAAAUUUGAGGCACCUUGAAAUGUUGGAUGUUAGAGGUACGCAUAUAUAUGAGUUGCCAACAACAAUCACCAAUCUUCUGAAGCUACAACACCUCCAUGGAGAUAGUUAUUACUACAAUAAUCUUAAUGUCAAGGGAGAGGAUGAAAUAGUUGAGAAGUAUAAAACUUACACUAAACAUAAUUCCACAGGUCGAAUAUGUGGCAUUUGUCUCUGCAAGGGCCAUCUUUUCUUGAGACCCCAAGUUCUAGAUUCUAGUUUGAACAGGCAUGAUAUAUCCAGAAGAUGAAGCUAGAUGGCGUUAUACUUCCUAUAGGGAUCGGUAAAUUGAAGGCCCUUCAUGCACUAGGUGUUGUGGAUGUUUCCGGGAGAAACGGAAAUGCCACUAUAAAAGAGUUUGGAGAGCUUACUCAGCUACGUAAGCUUAAAGUGAGUGGCGUGAGGUACAGAAACAUCAAUGAGUUAUGGUCAGCCAUUGCUGGUCAUAAUCAACUUCAAUCUUUAUCUGUUGAUGAAACGCGUAGCCUGAAGAAAGGGAGGAUUGAGUUAGAUGGCUGUUUGGGUGAGGAUUUGUCGCCACCAAGCAGCCUGGAGAGCCUCGCUCUUAUUGGUAAGCUAGUCAAUGUGACACAAUGGAUCCAUAAGCUUCAGAAUCUCACCAAUUUGGUGCUCAAGUGGAGCGGAAUGGAGAAAGAUGAUGCCACACAAGCCCUCGGGGUGCUACUGAAUAUAGCGGUUCUGCGCCUGAGCAGUAAGUCGUUUGAGGGGAGACAUCUCCAUUUCCCGAGCCUCUUGGUGCUGGAUUUUUAUUUUUUUUUUGAAAAGGAGGAAGAGCCCCCGGCCUCUGCAUCAAUCGAAGCAUGCAGCCAUAUUAUUAACAAUCCAAAGUAACAACAUAGUUCGAGAUAAGUCUGUAAAACGGAAAUGAAAUUAAUCUGAAAAUAAACCAACUCUUAAUAACCUGUCAAUCCGGCGUAACUAAUAUCAGACUACUAUGCCUAUACACUUAGUCUAUUACUAGCACACCAUCCAAACCGGUUGAAGAUAACCCGUGCGGCCAUCUCCCAUUUGUUGCACCGAGUAACCAUAAGAUCCCUGCUGUCCGCAUGACUGAGUAAUGACCACGUACGGAUCCAGGACGUUGCUCAGAAUAUGACCUGCAAAAAAUUAUGAAAUUUCAUCCCAUUAAAGAUUAUGUCGUUCCUGGUAUUCCAUAUAGCCCAGAAAAGAGCACAUAUCCCAAUUCUAAUAAGUUUAGAUACUCUAACGUCCACUCCAUUGAGCCACGUUGUAAAAAUUGAAUUGAUGCAUGCAGGUGGAAUCACAUUAAAAGCUAUAUGAACAAUACGCCAAAGUAGUUUUGCGAGAGGGCAAUCCAAAAACAAGUGUCUAAUUGUUUCAUGUUGAUCACAGUAACAACAAUUAGAUCUACCCCUCCAACUACGUUUAAUUAAAUUAUCUUUGGUAAAUAUCACACCUUUGUGUGCAAACCACAUAAUUUUUUUAAUCCGUAGUGGCACUUUAAUAUUCCAUAUAUGCAAUGAUGUAGAUAAAGGACCUGAAUUAAUCAGGUCUGUGUACAUGGACUUUACUGAGAAUACCUCAAUCACAGUUAAAAUCCAUCGAACGUUGUCUGGAUGAUCUGAUAAUUGGACCUGCAUAAGUCUUCUUACCAAAUGCAUCCAUGCCUCCCAACGUGCACCUACUAGAGCUCGCCUGAAGUGCAUAUUAAUAGGUACAGAUUGUAAGACUGUGGACACAUAGUCCUGCUUACGCUGUGCAAUAUUGUAGAGCAUGGGAUAUUGUAAAGCAAGUGAUAUGUCACCAAGCCAAGUAUCUUCUCAAAAUCUUGUCGAGGUACCAUCCCCUACAAUGAAUUUCACCCUUUGAAAAAAAAUAAUCUUUAUCCUCAUUAACCCUUUCCAGAAAGGAGAGUCAUCAGGCCUAAUUGUUGCUUGAGCUAAAGUUCUUGUGUUAAGAUACUUAUUUUUUAAUAUUUGAAUCCACAUGCCUUCUGUCUCAGUGGAUAAUCUAUACAACCAUUUGCUAAGUAAGCAUUUGUUCUUAACUUCUAAAUUUUCAAUUCCAAAACCCCCCUCGUCUUUGGGUCUACAAAUCAUAUCCCAACGCGCUAAUCUGUAUCUUUUCUUAUUCACAUCAGAUUGUCAAAAGAAACGAGAUCUAUAAAAAUCCAGUCUUUUCCGUACCCCUUUAGGUAUCUCGAAAAAAAGACAAAAGAAACAUGGAUAGGCUUGUUAACACAAAGUAAAUUAAAACCAGCCUGCCUCCAUAUGACAUAAGUUUGCCCUUUCAGCAACUUAGUUUCUUUUCAAAUCGUUCUUCAAUACAUUUCCAUUCUUUAAUUGUUAAACGUCUGUGAUGUAUAGGAAUCCCAAGAUAGCUAAAAGGUAGAGAACCCAUUUCACAACCAAAUAGCUGUCGAUACGCGACUUCUCUUCUCUUGCCUUCCCAAAGCAUAAGAGUUCACUUUUGUUAAAACUGAUUUUCAACCCCGAUAGUUGUUCAAAUAAACACAAUAUUAAUUUCAUAUUCCUCGCUUUCUCCAUAUCCUGUUCCAUGAAAAUAAUUGUAUCAUCCGCAUAUUGUAAAAUGGACACCCCUCCAUCUACCAGAUGUGGAAUAAGGCCACCUAUUUGACCUUUCUCUUUGGUUCUUUCAAUGAGUAUUGUUAACAUAUCUGCUACUAUACUAAACAAUACAGGAGACAUUGAAUCACCCUGUCUUAACCCCUUAUGGGUUUGGAAGAAAUGAGCAAUGUCGUCAUUAACUUUAACUCCAACACUCCCUUUAUGAAUGAAAGUGUCAACCUGCUGUCUCCACUUUUCAUUGAACCCUUUCAUACUUAAGGCUUGUUGAAGAAAAUACCACUUAACUUUAUCAUAAGCUUUUUUCGAAAUCCACUUUAAAGAUAACCCCAUCUAGUUUCUUUGUGUGAAUUUCAUGAAGCGUUUCAUGCAAGACGACCACACCCUCCAAGAUGUGUCGCCCUGGCAUAAACGCAGACUGUGUUGGUUGGACAAUGGAAUCAACUAUCUUCGUUAAUCUAUUGGUUGCCACCUUAGUAAAAAUCUUGAAGCUCACAUUGAGUAGACAGAUUGGUCUGAACUGUUGAAUGCGCAUGGCGUCCACCUUUUUUGGCAACAACGUUAUUGUUCCAAAGUUUAGGUGAAAUAAUUGUAGUCGACCAUUAAAUAAAUCAUCAAACAUAGCCAUUAGAUCCCCCUUAAUGACAUGCCAACACUUUUUAUAAAAUUCUGCAGGGAACCCAUCUCGUCCGGUGCUUUAUUGUGUUUCAUUUGUGCUAUCGAAUCAUACACCUCCUUCUCUGUGAAUUUGGCUGAUAAAACCUCAUUCUCCUGUUCAUUAAGUUGAGGUAUAUCCUGAACAUUGUUUUCAUCCAAAGAGAUCAUCAUCUCCUCUGGUGCACCAAAAAGACUUAUAAUAAUCAGAGAUAUAUAACUUUAAGUUUUCAUGACCUAUUAUAGUUCCCUCUGUUGGAAAUAUGCCCUAGAGGCAAUAAUAAAAUGGUUGUUAUCAUAUUUCCUUGUUCAUGAUAAUCGUCUAUUGUUCAUGCUAUAAUUGUAUUAACAGGAAACAGUAAUACAUGUGUGAAUAAAUAGAUCACAAUGUGUCCCUAGCAAGCCUCUAGUUGGCUAGCUCGUUAGUCAAUAGAUGAUCAUGGUUUCCUGAUCAUGGGCAUUAGAUGUCAUUGAUAACGGGAUCACAUCAUUGGGAGAAUGAUGUGAUGGACAAGACCCAAUCCUAAGCAUAGCACUAGAUCGUAUUGUUCGUAUGCUAAAGCUUUUCUAAUGUCAAGUAUCUUUUCCUUGGACCGUGAGAUUGUGCAACUCCCGGANNNNNNNNNNNNNNNNNNNNNNNNNNNNNNNNNNNNNNNNNNNNNNNNNNNNNNNNNNNNNNNNNNNNNNNNNNNNNNNNNNNNNNNNNNNNNNNNNNNNNNNNNNNNNNNNNNNNNNNNNNNNNNNNNNNNNNNNNNNNNNNNNNNNNNNNNNNNNNNNNNNNNNNNNNNNNNNNNNNNNNNNNNNNNNNNNNNNNNNNNNNAGUGUCUGUUGGGUUGGUACGAAUCGAGAUCGGGAUUUGUCACUCCGUGUGACGAAGAGGUAUCUCUGGGCCCACUCGGUAGAACAUCAUCAUGAGCUCAAUGUGACUAAGGAGUUAGUCACACGAUGACGUGUUGCGGAACGAGUAAAGAGACUUACCAGUAACGAGAUUGAACAAGGUAUAGGUAUACCGACGAUCGAAUCUCGGGCAAGUUCUAUACGGACAGACAAAGGGAAUUGUAUACGGGAUUGAUUGAAUCCUUGACAUCGUGGUUCAUAUGAUGAGAUCAUCGUGGAGAAAGUGGGAGCCACCAUGGGUAUCCAGACCCCGCUGAUGGUUAUUGACCAGAGAGGUGUCUCGGUCAUGUCUGCCUGUCUUCCGAACCCGUAGGGUCUACACACUUAAGGUUCGGUGACGCUAGGGUUAUGAGGUUACCGAAAGUUGUUCGGAGUCCCGGAUGAGAUCCCGGAUGUCACGAGGAGCUCCGGAAUGGUCCGGAGGUAAAGAUUGAUAUAUAUGAUGGAUGGUUUCAGAUACUGGAAGUGUUUCGGGCAUCACCGGUAACGUACCGGGAGCACCGAAGGUGGCCCCGGGGGUCCACCGAAGGGGGGCAACGACCCCGGGAGGUAAGGUGGGCCAAGUGGGGGAGGGAACCAGCCCCUAGGUGGGCUGGUGUGCCUCCUCACUCAGCCCAAUGCGCAGGGGAGAGGGAAGGGGGCAAACCCUAGGCACAGGUGGGCCUUAGGCCCACCAGGUGGUGUGCCACCCCCUCCCACCCUAGCCGCCGCCUCCUUUCCCAUAUGGUGGCUGCCGCACCACCUAGGGAGGGAACCCUAGGGGUGGCGCAGCCCCUCCCCCUCCUCCUAUAAAUAGAGAGGGGUUUUGGCCCUUGGGAGACAGACUUCUCCCUCUCCCUCGGCGCAGCCCUGCCCUUCUUUCUCCUCCUCUCUGCGGUGCUUGGCGAAGCCCUGCCGGGAGACCUCGUCUCUCCAUCGACACCGGGAGACCUGCUGGAUCAAGUUGCAGGAGACGUCACCGGGCUGCACGUGUGUUGAACGCGGAGGUGCCGUAGUUCGGCACUAGAUCGGAAUCGCUGCGAGUACGACUCCAUCAACCGCGUUCUAGCAGCGCUUCCGCUUAGCGAUCUUCAAAGGUAUGAAGAUGCUUUUACCCCUCUCUCGUUGCUGGUCUCUCCAUAGGAAGAUCGGAAUAUGCGUAGGAAAAUUUUGAAUUUAUGCUACGUUACCCAACAGUGGCAUCCGAGCUAGGUUUUCUAUGCGUAGAUUCUAUGCACGAGUAGAACACAAAAGUUGUGGGCGAUGAUUUGUCAAUUUGCUUGCCGCUACUAGUCUUAUUCUUUUCCAGCGGUAUUGUGGGAUGAAGCGGCCCGGACCGACUUGACACGUACGCUUACGUGAGACUGGUUCCACCGAUAGACAUGCACACCGUGCAUAAAGGUGGCUAGCGGGUGUCUGUCUCUCCUACUCUAGUCGGAUUGGAUUUGAUGAAAAGGGUCCUUAUGAAGGGUAAAUAGCUUUGGCGUGUCAUCGUUGUGGCUGUCACGUAGGUAAGAAGGCGUUCUUGCUAGAAACCCAAAUCAGCCACGUAAAACUUGCAACAACAAUUAGAGGACGUCUAACUUGUUUUUGCAGGGUUUGACAUGUGAUGUGAUAUGGCCAAAGUUGUGAUGUUGCAUGUAUGAUGUAUGAGAUGAUCAUGUUAUUGUAAUAGGUUUCACGACUUGCAUGUCGAUGAGUAUGACAACCGGCAGGAGCCAUAGGAGUUGUCUUAAUUUAUUGUAUGAGAUGCAACGCCAUGUGCUUACUACUUUUACUUCAUUGCUAACGGUUAGAUAUAGUAGUAGUGAUAGUAGUAGUUGGCGUGACGACUUCACGGAGACACGAUGAUGGAGAUCAUGAUGAUGGAGAUCAUGGUGUAACGCCGGUGACGAUGAUGAUCAUGCGAUGCCUGAAGAUGGAGAUCGAAAGGGCGAAGAUGAUAAUGGCCAUAUCAUGUCACUAUAUGAUUGCAGUGUGAUGUUUAUCAUGUUUUACAUCUUAUUGCUUAGAACGACGGUAGCAUAAUAAGAUGAUCCCUCUUAAAAUUUUGAGAAUGUAUUCCCCUAAGUGUGCACCCUUGCGAUGGUUCGUUGUCUCGAAGCACCACGUGAUGAUCGGGUGUGAUAGAUUCUAACGUUCGCAUACAAUGGGUGUAAGCCAGAUUUACACACGCGAAACACCUAGGUUGACUCGACGAGCUUAGCAUGUACAGACAUGACCUCGAAUACAAGAGACCGAAAGGUUGAACAUGAGUCGUAUGGUUGAAUACGAUCAACAUGAAGUUGCUCACCAUGGUGACUAGUCCGUCUCACGUGAUGAUCGGACACGGGUUAGUCAACAUGGAUCAUGUAUCACUUAGAUGACUAGAGGGAUGUCGAUUUAGGUGGAAGUUCAUACUUAAUUUGAUUAAAUGAACUUAAUUGUCAUGAACUUAGUCUAAAAGUUGUCUUUAUAAAUAUUGUAGAUGGCCAACGUCAACCUCAAUUUCAACGCAUUCCUAGAGAAAAACAAGCUGAAAGAUGAUGGUAGCAACUAUGCGGACUGGGUUCGCAACUUGAAGCUCAUCCUUGAAGCAGCUAAAAAGGCAUAUGUCCUUGAUGCGCCGCUAGGUGAUCCUCCCGCUCCCACAGCAGCCCAGGACAUUCAGAACAUCUGGCAAACGCGGAGUGAUGACUACUCUCUGGUUAGGUGUGGCAUGUUAUACAGUUUAGAAACGGGGCUCCAAAGGCGUUUUGAGCAACACGGAGCAUAUGAGAUGUUCCAGGAGCUGAAGCUAGUUUUUCAAGCUCAUGCCCGUGUCGAGAGAUAUGAAGUCUCCGACAAGUUCUUUAGCUGUAAGAUGGAGGAGAACAGUUCUGUCAGUGAGCACAUACUCAAAAUGUCUGGGUUACACGGUCGUCUGACUUCACUUGGAGUCGAACUUCCGGAUGAUGCUAUAAUUGACAGAAUCCUCCAGUCUCUCCCACCAAGCUACAAAGGCUUUAUGCUUAACUACAACAUGCAAGGGAUGGAGAAGACCAUUCCCGAGUUGUACUCGAUGCUCAAGUCUGCAUAAAUAGAAAUCAAGAAAGAGCAUCAAGUGUUGAUGGUCAACAAGACCACUAGUUUCAAGAAGGGCAAGGGUAAGAAGAACUUCAAGAAAGACGGCAAAGCUGUUGCCGCGCGCGGUAAGCCAGAUGCCGGGAAGAAGAAAAAGAAUGGACCCAAGCCUGAGACUGAGUGCUUCUAUUGCAAGGGAAAAGGUCACUGAAAGCGGAACUGCCCCAAAUACUUAGCGGAUAAGAAGGCCGGCAAUGUUAAAGGUAUAUGUGAUAUAGAUGUUAUUGAUGUGUGCCUUACCAGCGCUCGUAGUAGCUCCUGGGUAUUUGAUACCGGUGCUGUUGCUCACAUUUGCAACUCAAAGCAGGAACUAUGGAAUAAGCGGAGACUGGCCAAGGACGAGGUGACGAUGCGCGUCAGGAAUGGUUCAAAGGUCGAUGUGAUCGCCGUCGGCACGCUACCUCUACAUCUACCGUCGGGAUUAGUUUUAAACCUUAAUAAUUGUUAUUUAGUACCAGCUUUAAGCAUGAACAUUGUAUGAGGGUCUUGCUUAAUGCGAGACGGCUACUCAUUUAAGUCAGAGAAUAAUGGUUGUUCUAUUUAUAUGAGUGAUAUGUUUUAUGGUCAUGCUCCGCUGGUGAAUGGUUUAUUCUUGAUGAAUCUCGAUCGAGAUGUUACACAUAUUCAUAGUGUGAGUACCAAAAGAUGUAAAGUUGAUAAUGAUAGUCCCACAUACUUGUGGCACUGCCGCCUUGGUCAUAUAGGCGUUAAGCGCAUGAAGAAGCUCCAUACUGAUGUACUAUUAGAGUCUCUUGAUUUUGAAUCAUUUGACACAUGCGAACCGUGCCUCAUGGGCAAGAUGACUAAGACUCCAUUCUCAGGUAUAAUGGAGAGAGCAACCGACUUAUUGGAAAUAAUACAUACUGAUGUGUGUGGUCCAAUCAACGUUGAAGCUCGCGGUGGCUAUCGUUAUGUUCUUACUUUCACCGAUGAUUUGAGUAGGUAUGGGUAUAUCUACUUGAUGAAGCACAAUACUGAGACAUUUGAAAAGUUCAAGGAAUUUCAGAGUGAGGUUGAGAAUCAACGUGACAGAAAAAUCAAGUGUCUACGAUCUGAUCGUGGAGGAGAAUAUUUGAGUCAUGAGUUUGGCACACACCUAAGGAAGUGUGGAAUCGUUUCAGAACUGACGCCGCCUGGCACACCGCAACGCAACGGAGUGUCUGAACGUCGUAAUCGCACUUUAUUAGAUAUGGUACGAUCUAUGAUGUCUCUUACCGACUUACCACUAUCAUUUUGGGGAUACGCAUUAGAAACUGCAACAUUCACUUUAAAUAGGGCACCGUCUAAAUCCGUUGAGACGACACCGUAUGAACUAUGGUUUGGCAAGAAACCUAAGUUGUCGUUUCUUAAAGUUUGGGGCUGCGAUGCUUUUGUGAAGAAACUUCAACCAGAAAAGCUCGAAUCCAAAGCGGAGAAAUGCGUGUUCAUAGGAUACCCUAAGGAAACUAUUGGGUAUAACUUCUAUCUUAGAUCCGAAGGUAAAACCUUUGUUGCCAAGAAAGGAUCCUUUCUAGAGAAAGAGUUUCUCUCGAAAGAAGUAAGUGGGAGGAAGGUAGAACUUGAUGAGGUAAUUACACCCCCUCUCGAACAGGAUAGUAGCGCAGCGCGGGAAGUUGUUCCUGUGGCGCCUACACCGACUGAAGAGGAAGUUAAUGAUGAUGAUCAUGAAGCUUCGGAUCAAGUUACUACUGAACCGCGAAGGUCCACAAGGGCACUCUCCACACCAGAGUGGUACGGCAAUGCUGUGAUGCAUGUUGUUAGACAACGGUGAACCUUCAAACUAUGAAGAAGCGAUGGCGGGCCCGUAUUCCAACAAAUGGAUUGAGGCUAUGAAAUCCAAGAUAGGAUCCAUUAUAUGAGAACAAAGUAUGGACUUUGGUGGACUUGCCCGAUGACCGGCGAGCCAUAGAAAAUAAAUUGAUCUUCAAGAAGAAGACUGAUGCAAACGGUAAUGUAACCGUUUACAAAGUUCGACUUGUCGCAAAGGGUUUUCGACAAAUUCAAGGAGUUGACUACGAAGAGACUUUCUCUCCCGUAGCGAAGCUGAAAUCAGUCCGAAUCAUGUUAGCAAUUGCCGCCGUUUAUGAUUAUGAAAUUUGGAAAUGGACGUCAAAACAACGUUCCUUAACGGGAACCUUAAGGAAGAGUUGUAUAUGAUGCAACCAUAAGGUUUUGUCGACCCUAAGGGUUCUAACAAAGUGUGCAAGCUCCAGCGCUCCAUCUAUGGGCUGGUGCAAGCAUCUCGGAGUUGGAACAUUCGCUUUAAUGAGGUGAUUAAAGCGUUUGGGUUCAUACAAGUUUACGGAGAAGCCUGUCUGUACAAGAAAGUGAGUGGGAGCUCUGUAGCUUUCCUCAUACUGUAUGUGGAUGACAUAUUAUUGAUGGGGAAUAAUAUAGAGAUGUUGGAGAGCAUAAAGGCCUAUUUGAACAAAAGUUUUUCAAUGAAGGACCUUGGAGAAGCUGCAUACAUAUUAGGCAUCAAGAUCUAUAGAGAUAGAUCAAGACGCCUCAUAGGUCUUUCGCAAAGUACAUACCUUGACAAGAUAUUGAAGAAGUUCAAUAUGGAAAACUCAAAGAAAGGGUUCUUGCCAGUUUUGCAAGGUAUGAGAUUGAGUAAUACUUAGUCGCCGACCACGACAGCAGAUAGAGAGAAGAUGAGUUAUGCCCCCUAUGCUUCAGCCGUGGGCUCUCUAAUGUAUGCCAUGCUGUGUACCAGACCUGAUAUAAACCUUGCCAUAAGUUUGGUAGGGAGGUACCAAAGUGAUCCUGGUAUGGAACACUGGACAGCGGUCAAGAAUAUCCUUAAGUACCUGAAAAGGACUAAGGAAGUGUUUCUCGUUUAUGGAGGUGACGAAGAGCUCGUCGUAAAGGGUUACGUCGACGCUAGCUUCGACAUAAAUCCGGAUGACUCUAAGUCACAGACCGGAUACGUAUAUGUGUUGAAUAGUGGGGCAGUGAGCUGGUGCAGCACCAAGCAAGAAGUCGUGGCAGCAUCUACAUGUGAAGUGGAGUACAUAGCUGCUUCAGAAGCGGCUCAUGAAGGAAUUUGGAUGAAGGAGCUCAUCACCGACCUUGGAGUGGUUCCAAGUGCGUCGGGUCCAAUGACACUCUUCUGUGAUAACACUGGGGCCAUUGCCAUAGCCAAGGAGCCCAGGUUUCACCGGAAGACGAAGCACAUCAAACGCCGCUACAACUCCAUCCAGGACCAUGUCCAGAAUGGAGUGAUAGAUAUUUGUAAAGUACACACGGAUAUGAAUAUUGCAGACCCGUUGACUAAACCUCUUCCACGAGCAAAACAUGAUCAACACCACAAUGCUAUCGGUGUUCGAUACAUCACAAUGUAACUAGAUUAUUGACUCUAGUGCAAGUGGGAGACUGUUGGAAAUAUGCCCUAGAGGCAAUAAUAAAAUGGUUGUUAUUAUAUUUCCUUGUUCAUGAUAAUCGUCUAUUGUUCAUGCUAUAAUUGUAUUAACAGGAAACAGUAAUACAUGUGUGAAUAAAUAGAUCACAAUGUGUCCCUAGCAAGCCUCUAGUUGGCUAGCUCGUUAGUCAAUAGAUGAUCAUGGUUUACUGAUCAUGGGCAUUAGAUGUCAUUGAUAACGGGAUCACAUCAUUGGGAGAAUGAUGUGAUGGACAAGACCCAGUCCUAAGCAUAGCACUAGAUCGUAUUGUUCGUAUGCUAAAGCUUUUCUAAUGUCAAGUAUCUUUUCCUUCGACCGUGAAAUUGUGCAACUCCCGGANNNNNNNNNNNNNNNNNNNNNNNNNNNNNNNNNNNNNNNNNNNNNNNNNNNNNNNNNNNNNNNNNNNNNNNNNNNNNNNNNNNNNNNNNNNNNNNNNNNNNNNNNNNNNNNNNNNNNNNNNNNNNNNNNNNNNNNNNNNNNNNNNNNNNNNNNNNNNNNNNNNNNNNNNNNNNNNNNNNNNNNNNNNNNNNNNNNNNNNNNNNNNNNAGUGUCUGUUGGGUUGGCACGAAUUGAGAUCGGGAUUUGUCACUUCGUGUGACGGAGAGGUAUCUCUGGGCCCACUCGGUGGAACAUCACCAUGAGCUCAAUGUUACUAAGGAGUUAGUCACACAAUGACGUGUUGCGGAACGAGUAAAGAGACUUACCGGUAACGAGAUUGAACAAGGUAUAGGUAUACCGACGAUCGAAUCUCGGGCAAGUUCUAUACCGACAGACAAAGGGAAUUGUAUACGGGAUUUAUUGAAUCCUUGACAUCGUGGUUCAUAUGAUGAGAUCAUCGUGGAGAAAGUGGGAGCCACCAUGGGUAUCCAGACCCCGCUGAUGGUUAUUGACCAGAGAGGUGUCUCGGUCAUGUCUGCCUGUCUUCCGAACCCGUAGGGUCUACACACUUAAGGUUCGGUGACGCUAGGGACACCGGAAGUGUUUCGGGCAUCACCAGUAACGUACCGGGACCACCGGGACCACCGGAGGUGGCCCCGGGGGUCCACCGAAGGGGGGCAACGACCCCGGGAGGUAAGGUGGGCCAAGUGGGGGAGGGAACCAUCCCCUAGGUUGGCUGGUGCGCCUCCUCACUCUGCCCAAUGCGCAGGGGAUAGGGAAGGGGGGCAAACCCUAGGCAUAGGUGGGCUUUAGGCCCACGGGGUGGUGCGCCACCCCCUCCCACCCUAGCCGCCUCCUCCUUUCCCAUCUGGUGGCUGCCGCACCACCUAGGGAGGGAACCCUAGGGGUGGCGCCGCCCCUCCCCCUCCUCCUAUAAAUAGAGAGGGGUUUUGGCCCUUGGGAGACAGUCUUCUCCCUCUCCCUCGACGCAGCCCUGCCCUUCUUUCUCCUCCUCUCUGCCAGUGCUUGGCGAAGCCCUGCCGGGAGACCUCGUCUCUCCAUCGACACCACGCCGUCGUGCUGCUGGAGUUCUUCCCCAACCUCUCCCUCCUCCUUGUUGGAUCAAGGUGCGGGAGACGUCACCGGGCUGCACGUGUGUUGAACGCGGAGGUGCCGUAGUUCGGCACUAGAUCGGAAUCGCUGCGAGUACGACUCCAUCAACUGCGUUCUAGCAACGCUUCCGCUUAGAGAUAUUCAAAGGUAUGAAGAUGCUCUUACCCCUCUCUCGUUGCUGGUCUCUCCAUAGAAAGAUCUGAAUAUGCGUAGGAAAAUUUUGAAUUUAUGUUACGUUACCCAACACCCUCCUCUUGCUCUAGUUGAGUAAUAAUCUUCUUUCGAUGUUUGCCAUUUGCAAUCAUGUGAAAGAACUUAGUAUUAUCAUCCCCAUGAAUCACUUUCAUCACCUUAGCUCUUAGUGCCCAUUUCAUCUCCUCCUCUCUCAGUAAUUUUUGCAAUCUAGUCUCAGCAUCAAUUUUAAUAUUCCUUUCAAUAAGAUUUAGCUGCACAGACUCAGCUUUGACGUCUAGUUCAUCAAUCAGAUUCGUGAGUCUUUCUUUUUCUUUCUUAUAAAUACCACUCAGAUUUUUCACCCAUCCUCGAAGGAAUUGGCGCAAAUGUCUGAUCUUGUUUUGCCAAAUUUCCACACUGUUGGAUCCACCUAAAUCUCUAGCCCACUCAUUGGUAAUUAGAUACAUGAAACCUUCUCUUUCAAACCAACUUAGUUCGAAUGAGAAGACAUUCUUGUUACCCCUAUGAUUGGCCUCCCCUGAGUCCACCGGAAGAGGUGUGUGAUCUGAUAUAGCCGUGUGUAAAGCUUUUACUAUGACUAAUGGGAAUUUCUGCUCCCACUCAGCACUUGUAAGUACCCGAUCCAACUUCUCAUAUGUUGGAACCGGUAGUGAAUUUGCCCAUGUGUAUUGUCUACCAGAAAGCUCAAUCUCCCUUAAAUUAAGGCUCUCAAUAACCAUAUUGAACAUCAUUGACCAUCUUGUGUCAAAAUUGUCAUUAUUUUUUUCAUUCUGUCUUCAAAUAAUAUUAAAAUCUCCCCUCACCAUAAUUGGUAGUGUUUCAUCUCCGCAGAUUCUCACUAGAUCUACAAGGAAAUCAGAUUUGAGCUCUAAUUGUGCCGCCCCAUAUACAGCCACUAAAGCCCACUUAAAACCGUCAACUUUCGACCUUACACGAAGUUUGACUGUGAAUUCACCAUAGACCACACUCAUCACCUCUAAAGUCUCUCACUUAACCCCAAGUAAGAUCCCACCGGAUCUUCCCCUUGGUGGUAGACAAUGCCAAUCAAAAUCAACCCCACCUGAUAAAUUAUUUAAGAACUGAGGUGUGAAAUUAUCUCUUCCAGUUUCUUGUAUUGCCAUGAAGUCCAGAUUAUAUUGUAUCGAUGCUUCUCUAAGGACCCUAAUUUUAGCCAAGUCCGCAAGACCUCUGUUAUUCCAAAAAAUUCCUUUCAUAAUUCAUCAUGAAUUUUUUUUCUUUUGGUUAACUCUCGCACUCCUCCUAACCGCUGAUUCAGGAUAAACCUUCCUUUUUCAAGGACUCCUAGUUUUUUCCCGAAUAUGAUUUAAUUCAUUAUGUGUAACCAAAGGUUGUGAAUGACAAUCCGCAUUUGAAGGGGCGAUAUACCCCUCCAAACCCAUCUCAUCCACAUCGUCUACUUCCCCGUCCGUAUGUAAAAUGUUAUCACAUAAUGUUUGAACGUCUGCACCUCCUAAAUCAUUAAUAUCUGAGUCAUUCAUAGGUUUAACUGCUGCUAGGUUUUUCAUGAACUCUAUGGUUCUAUCAACUUCUAAAUCAAGAAUAUCAUUAAUGGACUUAGCUAUAGUUUUACUAGAUGCACCCAUAGAAAUACCUAUGUCGCCAGCAUUAUUCAUGAUCUCAGAAUCAGAUAAGUUUAAAAUAGUAGCAGUCUGAUCAAUAGACAAACCUGUAGUUUUUCCAGCAUCUCGUAAUUUAGGAGCCCGCAUAGCACAACCCAUCAACAUGUCAUCAGCAUCAGGCUUCUCCUGAAUACGCUGACUGAACCGUCUAUUACCAGAAGUUGGAUCCGGGAUCCCACCAAAAGAGAUUACAUCAUCAGCAGUAAUCUCAUUGUGGGUCUACCUGUUCGAAGUACGAAGAUCAUUCUGAGCCGCUACCUGCAACUUCGCAGCCUCAGGAGAAAAAGCUGGAGUAGGAGAACACCUCGCCUCCUGCAUGCUUUCUCGCAUAAGCAAUGAUGCAUCCCUCAAAACCAGUGAUUGAUACGUCCAUUUUGCAUCAUGCUUUCAUGUUGAUAUUUAUUGCUUUUUGGGCUGUUAUAUUACUUGUGGUACCAUAUUUAUGCCUUUUCUCUCUUAUUUUGCAAGGUUUAUUUGAAGAGGGAGAAUUCAGGCAGCUGGAAUUCUGGACUAGAAAAGGAGCAAAUCCUAGUCCACUAUUCUGCACAUCUCCAAUUGCCCUGAAAAGUUACAUGGAUUUUUUCUGGAUUAUAUAAAAGAUACUGGGCAAAAGAACUACCGGAGGGGGGAUGCCAGGGCGCCACAAGCCCUGACACCGCCACCCCCCCUAGUGGCGGAGUGGGGGUUUGUGGGCUCCCUCACGGCCCACUAGCCCCCCUCUUUUGCUAUAUGAAGCGUCCUGGUCCAGAAAAAAUCAAGAGGGAGCUUUUUCGUGGUUUCGCCACCGCCACGAGGAGGAACCUGAGCAGAUCCAAUCUAGAGCUCCGGCAGGACGAUCCUGUCGGGGAAACUUCCCUCCCGGAGGGGGAAAUCGUCGCUAUCGUCAUCACCAACACUCCUCUCGUCGGAGGGCAGGCAUCUUCAUCAACAUCUUCAUCAACACCAUCUCCUCUCCAAUCCCUAGUUCAUCUCUUGUAACCAAUCUUCGUCUCGCAACUCCGAUUGGUACCUGUAAGGUUGCUAGUAGUGUUGAUUACUCUUUGUAGUUGAUGCUAGUUGGAUUAUUUGGUGGAAGAUUUUAUGUUCAGAUCCUUGAUGCUAUUCAUUACACCUCUGAUCAUGAUUAUGAUUAUGUUUUAUGAGUAGUUACUUUUGUUCCUAAGGACAUGGGAUAAGUCAUGUUAAUAAUAGUCAUGUGAAUUUGAUAUUCGUUCUGUAUUUUGAUAUGAUGUAUGUUGUUUUUCCUCUAGUGGUGUUAUGUGAACGUCGACUACAUAACACUUCACCUUAUUUGGGCCUAGAGGAAGACAUUGGUAAGUAGUAAGUAGAUGAUGGGUUGCUGGAGUGACAAAAGCUUAAACCCCAGUCCAUGCGUUGCUUCGUGAGGGGCUGAUUUGGAUCCACUAGUUUAAUGGUAUGGUUAGACUUUGUCUUAAUUCUUUUUUUGUAGUUGCGGAUGCUUGCGAGAGAGGUUAAUCAUAAGUGGGAUGCUUGUCCAAGUAAGGGCAGUACCCAAGUGCCGGUCCACCCACAUAUCAAAGUAUCAAAGUAACGAACGCAAAUCAUAUGAACAUGAUGAAACUAGCAUGACAGAAAUUCCCGUGUGUCUUCGGGAGCGUUUUUCCUCCUAUAAGACUUUGUUCAGGCUUGUCCCUUUCUACAAAAGGGAUUGGGCCACUUGCUGCACCGUUGCUACUACUUGUUACUUGUUACUUUUUGCUCGCUACGUUUCACCUCACUACACCAUCACUUGUUACCGCUACUUUCAGUGCUUGCAGUUAUUACCUUGCUGAAAUCCGUUUAUCAGAGCCUUCUUUUCUUCGUUGGGUUCGACACUCUUACUUAUCGAAAGGAAUACGAUUGAUCCCCUAUACUUGUGGGUCAUCAACACUCUUUUCUGACGCCGUUGCCGGGGAGUGAAACGCCUUUGAUAAGUGGGAAUUGGUAAAGAAACAUUUUUAUACUGUGCUGAAAUUUAUUGUCACUUGUCACUAUGGAAACUGUUCCUUUGAGGAGUUUGUUCAGGGUAUCUUCACCAUGAAUGGAAGCACGAGGAGGUGCUCCUCAACCUGAGGUACCUACUGAAAAUAUCUUUUAUGAAAUUCCUUCGGGUAUGCUUGAUAAACUGCUCGCUAAUCCUUUCACAGGAGAUAGAUCUUCACAUCCAGACUUGCAUCUAAUCUAUGUAGAUGAAGUUUGUGGUUUAUUUAAGCUUGCAGGUUUUCCCGAGGAUGAGGUAAAGAAGAAAGUCUUUCCUUUAUCUUUGAAGGAUAAGGCGUUGACAUGGUAUAGGCUAUGUGAUGAUACUGGAUCAUGGGGCUACAAUCGGUUGAAAUUGGAAUUUCAUCAAAAGUUCUAUUCUAUGCAUUUAGUAAAUCGUGAUCGGAACUUUAUUUAUAACUUUUGGCCUCGUGACCGGGAAAGCAUAGCUCAAGCUUGGGGGAGGCUAUAAUCAAUGCUAUAUUCAUGCCCCAAUCAUGAGCUCUCGAGAGAAAUCAUCACUCAAAACUUUUAUGCUCGGCUUUCUCAUGAAGAUCGUACCAUGCUUGACACUUCUUGUGCCGGUUCUUUUAUGAAGAAGGAUAUUGAUCACAAGUGGAAUUUAUUGGAGAGAAUCAAACACAACUCUAAAGAUUGGGAGCUGGAGGAAGGUAAGGAUUCAGGUAUGAAUUUCCAGUUUGAUUGCGUUAAAUCUUUUGUUGAGACAAACACUUCUAGAGAUUUUAGCGCUAAGUAUGGACUUGACUCUCAGAUAGUAGCUUCUCUAUGUGAAUCUUUUGCUACUCAUGUUGAUCUUCCCAAAGAGAAGUGGUUUAAAUAUCAUCCUCCUGUAGAAAGCAACAUAGCCAAAACCAAUCUAGUUGAGGAGAAAGUCAUUGCUUUUAGUGAUCCUGUUGUUCCUCGUGCUUACAAUGAGAAACCACCAUACCGUGCUAGGAUAAAGGAUUAUUCUAAAGCUCCAACUGUGAUACAUAGGGGUUACAUUAGAUCACUUGCACCCCCUGAGGAGAUUAGAGUUGAACCUAGUGUUGCUAUUAUCAAAGAUCUCUUGGCCGAAGACAUAGACAGGCAUGUUAUCAAAUUCUGUGAGGACUCCGCUAGAAUUGCUAAACCUCACGCAAAAGACAAACACGGACCUGUAGUUGGCCUGCCCGUUGUUUCUGUUAAGAUAGGAGAUCACUGUUACCAUGGUAUAUGUGAUAUGGGAGCUAGUGUUAGUGCAAUACCCCAUUCUCUAUAUGAUGAAAUCAAAGAUGAGAUUGCACCUGUUGAGUUAGAACCCAUUGAUGUCACUAUUACGCUAGCUAAUAGAGACACUAUCUGCCCUCUGGGAAUUGUGAGAGACGUAGAAGUCCUGUGUGGUAAGACGAAGUAUCCUACUGAUUUCCUCGUCCUUGGUACUGCACAAGAUAGCUUUUGUCCCAUCAUAUUCGGUAGACCCUUUCUCAACACUGUCAAUGCUCACAUUGAUUGCAUUAAGCAGACUGUCACAGUAAGUUUCGAGGGUGUGUCUCAUGAAUUUAACUUCUCCAAGUUUGGAAGACAAACCCAUGAAAGAGAGUCGUCUGGUAGAGAUGAAAUCAUUGCUCUUGCCUCUAUUGUCGUACCUCCUACGGAUCCUUUAGAGCAAUAUCUGCUUGAGCAUGAAAAUGAUAUGCAUAUGGAGGAGAGAGAUGAGAUAGAUAAAAUUGUCUUAGAACAAUAUCCUAUUCUCAAGAAUAAUCUCUCUGUUGAACUGCUUGGGUAUCCUCCCCCACCAAAGGGUGAUCCUGUGUUCGAGCUUAAACAAUUGCCCGAUACUCUUAAGUAUGAUUAUCUUGAUGAGAAGGAGAUAUAUCCUGUCAUUAUUAGUGCUCUCCUCUCAGAGCGCGAAGAGAAGAAGUUACUAAAAACUCUGAGGAAGCACCGCGCUGCUAUUGGAUAUACUCUUGAAGAUCUUAAGGGUAUUAGUCCUACUCUAUGUCAGCACAAGAUUAAAACCGAUCCUGAUUUUAAACCAGUUGCUGAUCAUCAAAGGAGAUUAAAUCCUAAGAUGAAACAGGUCGUUUGAAAAGAAAUAUUAAAGCUUCUAGAAGCAGGAAUCAUUUAUCCUGUUGCUCAUAGUGAUUGGGUAAGUCCAGUACAUUGCGUACCUAAGAAGGGAGGUAUCACCGUCGUUCCUAAUGAUAAGGAUGAACUAAUCCCACAAAGGAUUAUUACCGGCUAUAGAAUGGUGAUAGACUUCCGGAAACUGAACAAGGCAAUCAGGAAAGAUCAUUAUCCUUUGCCGUUCAUUGACCAAAUGCUAGAAAGGCUAUCAAAACACACACACUUCUGCUUUCUAGACGGUUAUUCAGGUUUCUCGCAGAUACCUGUUGCACAAUAUGAUCAAGAGAAAACCACUUUCACCUUCCCUUUCGGUACCUUUGCCUAUAGACGUAUGACUUUUGGCUUAUGUAAUGCACCUGCCACCUUCCAAAGAUGUAUGAUGGCUAUAUUCUCUGACUUUUGUGAAAAGAUCAUCGAGGUUUUCAUGGAUGACUUCUUCGUUUACGGGUCUUCCUUUGAUGAUUGCCUCAGCAACCUUGAUCGAGUCUUACAGAGAUGCGAAGAAAUUGAGGCAUUGAAGUUGAUAAGGGUAAGGUUGAGGCAAUUGAGAAAAUGCCUUGCCCCACAUAUAUCAGAGGUAUACGAAGUUUCCUAGGUCAUGCUGGUUUCUAUAGAAGGUUCAUUAAAGACUUCUCUAAGAUUUCUAGGCCUCUUACCAACCUUUUGCAGAAGGAUGUUCCUUUUGUUUUUGAUGAGGAUUGUGAGGAAGCUUUCAAAAUACUUAAGAAGGCUUUGAUAACCACACCUAUUGUUUAACCACCUGACUGGAACUUGCCCUUUGAAAUCAUGUGUGACGCUAGUGAUUAUGCUGUUGGUGUUGUUCUAGGACAAAGAGUUGACAAGAAGUUGAAUGUCAUUCACUACGCUAGUAAACCUCUAGACAGUGCCCAAAGAAACUAUGCCACUACAGAGAAGGAAUUUUUAGCAGUCGUGUUUGCAUGUGAAAAGUUCAGAUCUUACAUAGUCGACUCCAAAUUCACUAUUCACUCUGAUCAUGCUGCUAUUAAGUACCUCAUGGAGAAGAAGGACGCUAAGCCUAGGCUGAUCAGACGGGUUCUCCUGCUACAGGAAUUUGAUUUGCACGUCGUUGAUCGAAAGGGUGCCGAUAACUCUGUAGCAGAUAACUUGUCUAGGCUAGAGAAUGUCCUUGAUGACCCACUACCUAUUGAUGACAGCUUUCCUGAUGAGCAAUUAAAUGUCAUCCGCACUUCGCUUAGUGCACCGUGGUAUGCCGAUUAUGCAAACUAUAUCGUACGAAAUACAUACCACCUAGUUUCACCUAUCAACAAAAGAAGAAAUUCUUCUUUGAUUUGAGACACUACUUUUGGGAUGAUCCUCACCUUUAUAAGGAAGGAGUAGAUGGUGUUAUUAGACGUUGGGUGCCUGAACAUGAACAAAGACAGAUCCUGCAGAAGUGUCAUUCCGAAGCCUACGAAGGACACCAUGCUGGAGAUAGAACUGCCCAUAAGGUAUUGCAAUCAGGUUUCUAUUGGCACACUCUCUUCAAGGAUGCCCGUAAGUUUGUCUUGUCUUGUGAAGAAUGCCAAAGAAUAGGGAACAUCAGUAAGCGUCAGGAAAUGCCUAUGAACUAUUCACUUGUCAUUGAACCAUUUGAUGUCUGGGGCUUUGAUUAUAUGGGGCCCUUCCCGAGUUCCAAUGGGUACACUCACAUCUUAGUUGUUGUGGACUACGUUACUAAGUGGGUAGAAGCUAUCCCCACUAAAAAUGCUGAUCACCACACCUCUAUUAAGAUGCUUAAAGAAGUCAUAUUCCCAAGAUUUGGAGUCCCUAGAUACUUGAUGACUGAUGGCGGUUCACACUUCAUUCAUGGUGUUUUCCGCAAGAUGCUAGCUAAGUAUGAUGUCAACCAUAGAGUUGCAUCUCCUUAUCAUCCUCAGUCUAGUGGUCAAGUGGAGUUGAGUAAUAGGGAGAUCAAGUUGAUCCUACAAAAGACCGUCAAUAGAUCUCAAAAGAACUGGUCUCGCAAACUUGACGAUGCACUAUGGGCUUAUAGGACUGCUUAUAAGAAUCCCAUGGGCAUGUCACCGUAUAAAAUGGUUUACGGUAAGGCCUGUCAUUUACCUCUUGAGCUGGAACACAAAACUUAUUGGGCAAUCAAAGAGCUCAACUUUGAUUUCAAACUUGCCGGUGAGAAGCGGUUGUUUGAUAUCAGCUCGUUAGAUGAAUGGAGAGCCCAUGCAUACGAGAAUGCCAGGUUGUUCAAGGAAAAGGUUAAGAGAUGGCACAACAAACGAAUACACAAACGAGAUUUCAAUGUAGGUGAUUAUGUCUUGCUAUAGAAUUCCCGUUUGAGAUUCUUUGCAGGCAAGCUUCUCUCUAAAUGGGAAGGUCCCUAUGUUGUCGAGGAAGUAUAUCGUUCCGGUGCCAUCAAAAUCAAUAACACGGAAGGAAAUUUUCAUAGAGUGGUCAAUGGGCAAAGAAUCAAGCAUUACAUCUGUGGUACUCCCAUAAAUGUUGAGACCAAUAUCAUCAAUGUCAUAACUCCAGAGGAGUACAUAAGGGAUGUUUAUUAGCCUGUUUCAGACCUUGAAAACGAAGAUGUAUCUGUUUAGGUAAGAAAUUGGACUCCGAUACUUUUCCAAUAGGAAAUUUCUUCCGUUUUGGAAUUUUUGGAAAAUUAGAAAAAUAAAAAGCAGUCCGGAGAGCGAACGAGGCGGCCACAAGCCCUGCCACCGCCCCUACCCCCUGGUGGCGGAGGGCAAGCUUGUGGGCACCUCGUGUGCCUCCCGGACUCCGUUUUCUUGCGGAGGACUCCUUCUGGCCCAGAAAAAAUCAAUGUAUAGUUGCCCGAAGGUUUUGAUCUCCGUAUUGCGUAGUUUUCCUCUGUUUUCGUUUCGAGCUCGUUCUGCCGCAGAUCUAGGUCAAGAUGUCUUCUCAAGAUUCAGAGGGAGAGAGCUAUGUGGCUGACUACCUUGCUAACCCCAAGGUCUAUGGGGACUUGGAACCAUAUGGCUGGACCACUGAUGAGGAAGAGGACUAUGAGCCCAAAGGGAAGGAGCAAACGAGUUCCGAUGAAGAGGAGGCUCCUCUACCUCAACCUGCAAACACCCAUGUGGAGUUCAAGAAGUCAAGCCUCCCUGACCAUACGAAGAAGCCUAAGACCUUGUUUAUCCCUUUUCGUUUCUUGCAGGAGAGUAAGCAGGAGCUUUGCCAUAGAGUUUUGAAACUUGAGGAGGAAAAUGACGAUCUAAGGGAGCAAAACUUUUUGCUCAAGUGGAAAUUAGACAAGCUCAAGACUGCUCCAACAACACCACCAUCACCACCAAAGGAAGACAACUAUAAGCAUUGGUAUGGGCAAUCCCCUUGGCUUCUGCCAAGCUUGGGGGAGUUGCCCUGGUAUCGUAUCACCUUUAUAUCUUUUGCUUUUACCUUUGUUUUAGUUCUUUCCUUUUCAGUUUUUAUUUCUUAUUUUAGAGGAAUAAGUCUUUAGUUUUUAGUUUGAGUCUUUUGCUUUUGUCUCUCCCCCGAUGUAUUCGAGCUUACGAGCUAUAUAAUAAAGAGUAUCUUAGUCAAGGGCUUUGCUUUGUGCCAUGAUCAAUAGUAUGAAAAUAAUAAUAGCAUGAAAGAUCAUGAGACGAUCUUAUGGAAAGUGAUAACUUCACUUAUGACACGUAUGAUGAUUGAAACUUGUUGAGAAUAAAUCAACAUAGACCUCAGUCAUUGUUGCAAUUAAUAAGAAGUAAUAAGGAAAGAGAGGUUCACAUAUAAAUAUAUCAUCUUAGACACUUUUUACAAUUGUGAGCACUCACCAAACUAUUACAUGCCUAGGAGUAGAUGUUGGACAAGGAAGACAACAUAAUGAAUUGUGUUUGCUUGGUUCCAAACAAUGUUAUAUGAUUAGAGAUCCCUUAGCAUGUGACGAUUGCUUCCACCUCAUAUUAGCCAAAACUCCCGCACCAAGUAGAGAUACUACUUGUGCAUCCAUAAACCUCCAACCAGUUUUGCUAUGAGAGUCCGCCAUACCUACCUAUGGAUUGAAUAAGACCCUUCAAGUAAGUUGUCAUCGGUGCAAGCAAUAAAAAUUGCUCUCUAAUAUGUAUGAUCUAUUAGUGUGUGGAAAAUAAGCUCUGUACGAACCUGUGAUGAGGAAGACAUAAAAGCGACAGACUGCAUAGUAAAGUUCUUUAUCACAGGAGGCAAUAUAAAGUGACAUUCCUCCGCACUAAGAGGACACGCAUUCAAACCUCAAAAGCGCAUGACAACCUCUGCUUCCCUCUGCGAAGGGCCUAUCUUGUACCUUUACUUUUUGCCCUUGUAAGAGUCAUGGUGAUCUUCACCAGUUCCCUUUUUGCCUUUGCCUUGGCUACCGUCACUUGCUUGGGAAAGAUCUAUAUUCGUAUAUCAACUUGGAGUUGAGUACUUAUGCUUUAUUGUUGUUGACUUUACCCUUGAGGUAAAUGGUUGGGAGGCAAAACUAUAAGCCCCUAUCUUCCUCUGUGUCCAGCUGAAACUUUGACACCAUGAGUACCACGUGAGUUGUAAUAAUUGUGGAAAAUAAAAGAGAUGAUUGAGUAUGUGGGUUUGCCUUACAAGCUCUUAUUUGACUCUUUCUGAUGUUGUGAUAAAUUGCAAUUGCUUCAAUGACUAUCGACUAUUGUUGGUUACUUCUCGGUAAGGUUUUUGCGUCAUGCUUUGCUUUGUGAAGGAAUUGUUACUUUCCCAUAAGAAUCUUUAAGAUAUAUUGUUGUCCUAUGUGUGAUCAUGAUGCCCUCAUGUCCGUAUUAUGUUUUAUCGACACCUUCGUCCCUCAACAUGUGGACAUGUUUAUGGAACUUGGUUUUCGCUUGAGGACAAGCGAGGUCUAAACUUGGGGGAGUUGAUACUCCAUUUUGCAUCAUGCUUUCAUGUUGAUAUUUAUUGCUUUUUGGGCUGUUAUAUUACUUAUGGUACCAUAUUUAUGCCUUUUCUCUUUUGUUAUGCAAGGUUUAUUUGAANNNNNNNNNNNNNNNNNNNNNNNNNNNNNNNNNNNNNNNNNNNNNNNNNNNNNNNNNNNNNNNNNNNNNNNNNNNNNNNNNNNNNNNNNNNNNNNNNNNNUUAACAACCGGUGCUAAUGGGUCUUUAGCACCGGUUGUUAACACAGACCGGUGCUAAAGGGUCCAAAAUUGAGCGUGAACCGAACCCACCUUUAGGACCGGUUGUUGUUACAGACCGGUCCUAAAUGUCACCUUUAGGACCGGUUGGUGUUACAGACCGGUCCUAAAGGUUUUUUUCCUUUUUCUUUUUUCCUUUUUUCUGUUUCCUGUUUUCUUUUUAUUUUUGUUUCCUUUUUCUUUUUCCUGUUUCUUCUUUUAUUUUUCUUUUUUCUGUUUUCUGUUUUCUUUUUAUUUUUGUUUCCUUUUUCUUUUUCCUGUUUCUUCUUUUAUUUUUCUUUUUUCCUUUUUUCUGUUUCCUGUUUUCUUUUUCUUUUUGUUUCCUUUUUCUUUUUUCUGUUUCUUCUUUUAUUUUAUUUUUUUGUUUCCCUUUUCUGUUUUUUUACAUUUAUUUACAAAUUGUCAAAAUGUCAUUUUUACACUUAAAAAAAUAAAAAUGAUAUUUAUCAAAAUGAUCAAAUUUAGUGGAAACUGGUCAAAUUUUUAAUAUUUAUCAAAAUGGUCAACACAAUUACAUAAAAGGUUUAAUACAUUAUUACACAUCACCAACAACACCCCCUAUCUAUUUUUCUUCUUGCCUUUCUUCUGAUUGCGCCGUAACCAUGGACUAUCUUCAUCAUUUAACGGGAUGCUUGGAUCAUCUUUGACUUUGAAGGGAGGAAUUUCAUCAAAUUUAUUGUAAUCUUCUGACAUGUCUGUCUUGUCCUCGACUCCCAUGAUGUUUCUUUUCCCUGAAAGAACUAUGUGGCGCCUUGGCUCAUCGUCUGAUGUAUUCGCUUCCUUAUCUUUUCUUUUUCUCGGUCUGCUAGACAUGUCCUUCACAUAGAAAACCUGAGCCACAUCAUUGGCUAGGACGAAUUGAUCAUUGCCGUACCCAAGAUUCUUCUGAUCCACUGUUGUCAUUCCGUACUUCGGGUCUACCUUCACGCCUGACAGGUUGAACCAUUUGCACCAGAACAAAGGGACCUUAAAGGAAGGUCCGUAGUCAAGUUCCCAUAUCUGCUCUAUGUAACCAUAGUAUGUGACCCUUUGCCCGUUGUCGUCUUUUGCAUCAAACCGGACGCCACUGUUUUGGUUGGUGCUCUUUUUAUCUUGGUCUGCCGUGUAAAAUGUGUUACCAUUUAUCUCGUACGCUUUAAAGGUCAAUACAGUCGAAGAUGGUUGCUUGGCCAACAAGUAUAGCUCAUCUUCAACAAUGUUGUCAUUAAUGAGACGUCUUUGCAACCAACCGCCGAAAGUCUUCGCGUGUUCUUUAGCAAUGAAAUCUUCAGGUUGCUCCGGGUAUUCCGAGCGUAAAAUAUCCUUGUGUUCCUGGAUAUAUGGAGCCGCCAAGCUGGAAUUAACUAGAACUAUGUAGUGUGCUUGAGUGAAAGAUUGCUCGUCCAUACAUGUUGUUGAUUUCUUUCCUAGCGUGCCUUUUCCACGCAGUCUCCCCUCAUGGCGCGACUGAGGAACACCGAUCGGGUUCAGGUCAGGAAUAAAGUCAACACAAAACUCAAUGACCUCCUCUGUUCCAUAGCCCUUGACCAUGCUUCCUUCUGGCCUAGCACGGUUUUUAACAUAAUUCUUCAAGACUCCCGUGAACCUCUCAAAGGGGAACAUAUUGUGUAAGAAUAAAGGACCGAGAACGGAAAUCUCUUGGACUAGGUGAACUAUGAGGUGCGUCAUAAUAUUGAAGAAGGUUGGUGGGAACACCAACUCGAAGCUGACAAGACAUUGGACCACGUCCUUCUGUAAACUUGGUAGAGAUGCUGGAUCGAUUGCCUUCUGAGAAAUUGCGUUGAGGAAUGCACAUAGCUUCACAAUGGGUACUCGCACGUUUUCUGGCAGAAGCCCCCUCAAUGCAAUCGGAAGUAACUGGGUCAUGAUCACAUGGCAGUCAUGAGACUUUAGGUUUUGGAACUUUUUCUCUUCCAGGUUUAGUAUUCCUUUUAUGUUCGACGAGUAGCCAGAUGGGACCUUGAUACUGCUCAGGACUUGGAAAAAGAUCUCCUUCUCUUCCUUGGUAAGAGCGUAGCUGGUAGGACCUUUGAAAUUCUCUCGAUUCAUCAGGUCGUCUCGUUCGUGCAUACGUUGGUGGUGCAGCCGUGCUUUUGGUGUAUCUCUCGACUUCUUCCCAUGCACGCCCAAUAAGUUUAGCAGGUUCACGCAAAUAUUUUUCGUCACGUGCAUCACGUCGAUCGCAGAGCGAACCUCUAGGAAUUUCCAAUAGGGUAGUUCCCAGAAUAUAGAUUUGUUCUUCCACAUGGCUACGUGGUUGUCGGCGUCAUUCGGAACAGAUUGUGCGCCAGGACCCUUACCAAAGAUUACUUUUAUAUCUUUGACCAUGUCAUAUAUAUCAGUACCUUUAGGGAGGGUUGGCUUCCUCCGUGUAUCUGCCUCGCCUUUGAAAUGCUUUCCUUUCUUUCUUACGGGAUGCCUGUCUGGAAGAAAUCGACGAUGCCCCGGGUACACAUUCUUGCCUAUAUGUAUACUUUCAGUCUCGCCUAAACAGUGUGUGCAUGUGUUGUAUCCCUUGUUUGACUGUCCUGAGAUGUUACUAAGAGCGGGUCAAUCAUUGAUGGUUACAAACAGCAACCCUCGUAGGUCAAAUUCCUCCUGUUUGUACUUGUCCCACACACGUACACCUUCGUCAGCCCAUAACUCUAAAAGUUCAUCAACCAGUGGCCUCAGGUACACAUCAAUGUUGUUGCCGGGUUGCGACGGGCCUGGGAUAAGCACUGGCAUCAUAAUGAACUUACGCUUCAUGCAUAACCAAGGAGGAAGGUUAUAGAUACAUAGAGUCACGGGCCAGGUGCUAUGACUGCUACUCUGCUCCCCAAACGGAUUCAGGCCAUCUGUACUUAGACCAAACCUUAAGUUUCUUGGGUCACGUGCAAAGUUCUCGUACUUAUCGUCGAUGUUUCUCCACUGCGACCCAUCAGCGGGUUGUCUCAGCAUAUCGUCUUCCUUACGGUCUUCUUUGUGCCAUCGCAGCAACUUGGCAUGCUCUUUGUUUCGGAACAAACGUUUCAACCGUGGUAUUAUAGGAGCAUGCCACAUCACCUUGGCAGGAACCCUCUUCCUGGGGCGGUCGUCGCCCUCAACAUCACCAGGGUCAUCUCGCCUGAUCUUAUACGGAAAUGCACCGCAUACCGGGCAGGCAUUUAAAUUCUUGUGCUGACCGCGGUAGAGGAUGCAGUCACUGAUGCAUGCAUGUAUCUUAUGCACUUCCAAUCCUAGAGGGCAGACAACCUUCUUUGCUUCGUACGUACUGCAGGGCAGCACGUUAUCUCUUGGAAGCAUCUUCUUCAUUAUUUUCAGCAGCUUUUCAAAUCCCUUGUCAGAUAUUCCAUUCUCUGCCUUCCAUUGCAGCAAUUCCAGGGUGGUGCCCAGCUUUUUCUGGCCAUCUUCGCAAUUUGGGUACAACAAUUUUUUGUGAUCUUCUAACAUGCGCUCCAACUUCAACCUCUCGUUUUCACUUCCGCAGUUUAUCUGUUCUUCACGAAUGACCUGACGAAGAUCAUCAUCAGACUCAUCAACAAUGUACUCAAGUUUAGGCUCGUCUUCCCCCAUUUCAGUAUCACCGUGUUCACCGAACAUAGGAUAGUUAUCAUUAUCCUCUUCUUCUUCAUUGUCUUCCAUUUCAACACAUCUUUCUCCGUGCUUGGUCCAACAAAAAUAACUGGGCAUGAAGCCUUCUUGCAACAGGUGGGUGUGUAUGGUUCUUGAGUUAGGGAAAUUCCUUUUAUUCUGGCAUUUUUUACAUGGACAAAAAAUAAAUCCAUUCUGCCUGUUUUUCUCAGCCACAUUGAGAAAACUAUGCAUGCCAUUAAAGAAUUCGGGACGACGUCGAUCACUGUACAUCCAUUUCCGGUUCAUCUGCAUUAUAUAAAUUUAUCAAAAACCAUUAUGCUAAAUCAUCAUGACUAAAUUAAUUAAUUAAUACAAAAAGUUCAUCACACGGUUAAAACCAAAGUAGCGUAGUGACCAUACAUAUAUAGUUCUCAUAAAAACACACACUGAAACCAACCAUAAAAACUCUCUCUAAUUAAUGCAUUUAAAAACAACAACAAAUGCGAUCAAAAUCGCAACAAAGGUAACAAUUGACCUGACGGCAUAAUGAUACCAAGUCUCUUUACUAAUUGCAUAUUUUCUAAUCUUUCUAAUCUUCAGACGCAUUGCGUCCAUCUCGCUCUUGUGACCAUCGACGACACCGGCAAGAACCUUUUCUAAGGUCAUCUUCUCUCUUUCAGUUUUUUCCAACCUUUCUUCAGUUUUUUUCAAUCUUUCUUUCAGGCCAACAUUUUCUUGUUCAACUAAGUGUAACUUCUCACCAAUAGGGUCGAUUGGCAUUUCCGGUUCCACUACCUCCUAGAUAAAAAUAUCUAUGUCAAGUUGGUCGGCGUAAUUAAUUGUCAUAUAAUCAGGAAAUGAAAAUAUGUAGUUAUAAAAGAUAAUAUACCACAUCCAAAUCGUAGACUAGACGAGGGCCAACGGGGACGGAUAUCAAAACCAUGGCGCUAUACAUAUAAAAAAAAUCUUACACAAUAAGAAAAUUAUAUACAAGUAAAUAUGUAAAUCAUACAAAUCAAAAUUUGUUUUGGUAAAUAAAAACAAUAGGCUCACCAAGGUUGUGUCGGUGACGGGGCGAUCGACGGCGGUGAGGAAGGGGACAAGGCGCGAGACACUAAAAAAAACACAAAUCAUAAUUAAAUUUGAACUCAAAUUGCAUAUGUAUACAUAACAAAUGAUGAACUCUCUCUAGCUUAGGCAUUUCAUCAAACACCUAGCUAGCACAACAAAAAUAAAAUGAGCAAGAAAACGAGCAAAACUUGCAAUGCCGGAAGAGGGAAUGUUGAUGCUAACCGUAGGACCGAUGGGUGCCAACAAUCUUGACAAAUGGUGGAGAAAAAUGGGGAUGGAUUAGAGCUCCCAAGAGGAAGGAGAGAGCAAAAAUGGAGUUGAGCUCGAGCUAGAAAAAAUGGGGUGGAAUAUAGGGUGCUCGGGGAGGAAGGAGAGGAGGGCUUUAGGACCGGUUUGUGUCAAAAACCGGUCCUAAAGGGUCUGACAGCGGGGCCCUGCAGUUGCUGCAAAAGUGAGAAAACCUUUAGAACCGGUUUGUGAUACAAACCGGUUCUAAAGCGUCUGUCCACUGGGCCCCCUCCCUGCAGCAAACGGUCCAAAAACCUUUAGGACCGGUUUGUGUUACAAACCGGUCCUAAAGGCCUUGCGGCCAUUUGCUGCAGGGAGGAGGCCCAGCGGACAGACCCUUUAGAACCGGUUUAUAUCCAAUCCGGGUCCAAUGUGGUUGGCUCAAUGCCCUGUUUUCUACUAGUGAUUGGAACCGCCAUCGCGUCCGCGACCGAAGCGCCGCAGCCGCGCGCCUGCUGGGAUAGAGGCACCGCGGGUCGCCGUCCGGCCCCCACCGCUUCCAAUCGCUAGGCAAGCUCCGUCGUGGCGCCAAGCUUCGCCGCCGGGAAACCCUAGACCUCAUAAUGAGCGGCCGGCACUGCGUCGUCUUGGACGUUCGCACUUGUUGUCGCUGGUACAUGGGGGUAAAGUUGGAUUUCUCAUCAUCUCCGAACGACAGCAACCGUCGGCCAUGAGCGAGAAGCUGGACGCCGGAGCCGAAAAUCACCUUCUUCCUGUUGGUUGGUUGGGCGAUCGGUGAUGAGUACUGAGUGACCCAACAUUUGCAGCUGAUGGAUUAACGACCUUAACUUACGAUCCUGGGAAGCUGGACCCACAUAUGUGCCGACGGCCCUGUCUACGUCGAUCGCCCCAGCCGGUGUAGAUGGAUGUAAGCCGACGCUUUACUGUGCCUACGUUCUUUCCCUUGCCGUCGGCGGACCUCAAUCUAUGCCGACGGGAGCUGUCGGCGUAGAUAAGGCCGUCGGCAGCGUUCGUUAUUCCGGUAGUGGAUUGUUGCUUUUAUUGGCGAGAACUAAAACUCUGUUUUUUACCGGUGUUAUCUCCGUGCUAGCUCCUAAUUUUCUCUCUUGCGACAAUAAUAACAGAAGACACCGAUUUACAUUUCUAUCAUGCAAGCAGCUCUGCCUGUCUAUAGUAGUCUAGUCUCGCAACAGCGCUGGAAAAAUAACGCAUCCAUCUAUCUGUCUUGGCACUAAUCUAUACUUAAUAAUAAAGAGGCUAUUGCUUCUGUCGAAAACCCACCGCGACAUUCUUAUAAAAAAAAAACCCUGUAAUUUUUGUUAUUCAAUCCGUGCUCCAUCAUUUAUCUGGAACGCAAAAGAAAAGAAAAUGAUUCGCUGCAAAAUUAUAUCCGUACGCAUCGCCUCCUCCCGUCGACCCUGGGCCACCCUGGCCUGUGCCCAGGCCGCCGCCACACCACUCGCCGCCGCGGCCGACCUCAACCGCCACCGCUACCGAUCUCAAGUCACCCGCCUCCGCGGUCGUACCUCUCCCUGCUCACUGCCCCCGUUGCGGCGCUCGAGCGCAUCGCGUCGACCCUGGUCCACCCUGGCCUGUGCCCAGGCCGCUGCCACACCACUCGCCGCCGCGGCCGACCUCAACCACCACUGUUGUCGAUCUCAACCCACCCGCCUCCGCGGCCGUACCUCUGCCCGCUUGCUGCCCCCGUUUCGGCGCUCGAGCACAGCUUCUGGAUCAAAUCAACGCGACAGCUACAGUGACUGGGAUGAUGCGUCUGCUCGAUGCAGAACGGCGACGGCGCGCGGAUAAGGCGCGGCGAAGCGAAGUACUUGCAGGUGAAGGCGGGCCUCCAUGGCUCACACGGGGAACUCCUAGUUUAUGGCGCGGCAACGGCGACUCCUUAUGGCCAGAUAGAGGCGCCUAACCCUUGCUCCCCUCAUCGUAUCCCCUCCUCCGGCAGGAACUCAUCAUCUGGUGAGAUCCCCUCCCCAUGCCUCCAACCGUGUGCCAAGCACCGGCAAGAAAUUUUGUUUUGUGGGGAUUUGUUUGCUGAUGAAUUAAUGUAUCGAAUGUAAGAUUGUAUUGUUGUAGAGACAGAGAAUGGAACACCACCUUUAGUUUGUCAUCUGAUCCCACAUUCUCUACCCAAUGAGUGAAAUAAGAUAACAGUCCGUUGAUCAAUUUACGUAGCCUCUUUUUUUUUGCUUUGCUUGUCCCGCUCAAUUUCUCAUCAUGGUGGAAUUAACAAUGGAUGGGUUGAUUUCUCAACAAAAUAGGAUAAUACUGACUACAUUAGUUAGUUAGUUUAUUAUUUUAAUAAAUCAAAAUGAUUAUAAAAAAGAUUAAAAGCGUGUGGUAUUUUUUUCUCCCGUUGUAACGCACGGACCCUUUUGCUAGUAAAUAAUAAUAAUGCUAAAGACCCCUGUUUCCUUGUAGUUGGAUCGCCCACAUUUUGAAAGUCCUAAAUUCCACUUGAGCAUCGGAAUCUGGAUCAAUACCAGCAAAAACAUAUUGGUACGUAUGCUCGAUCGCUCCAAGAGGAUAGGGAAAGAUCCUGGCGGCAUGCCUGCUGCAUGCUAUGGCAGUGCUGGUUGCAUCCAUGCCGUUGGGUUGGCUGUGGACGAUCAGCUCCCCGUGGUCGGAGGUUUUUGUUUUGGUUCCAGAGAGAGCCAUUUGGAAGCUGGAAAAUGUUAUCGGUUGAUGUAAGAAUUUCGGUUGCCAGCGAUGUUUGCCCUGCUGGUUACAUUCGGAUUACAGCUUACGGCGUGACGGCAUCGUCAGCCGUUUCUAUUGAAGACACGUGGUAGGUACUUUUAUCGGAUGACGUGCUAGAAGCCGAGUGUUUUUUACGUAGAUACCGUGUCUCGUCUAUAAGCCGAGAGCUUUUUCGGGUCACACGGCUUAUAUGAUAGCAUAAGCUGAGUGAUUUGCUGUUAUUGGGUGUUUUUAUGGAGAACAAGGCUUAUAUGCGGAUAAGCCGAGCGCUUUACCACACGAUAAAACAGUUUUUUUCUCCUGCUCCUCCUCCUCCUCCUCCUUCUCGUCACUCGUCAAACGCUUUUGUUUGUUUCCAGAGAGCCAUUUGGCAGCUGGAAGAUUUUACGGCAGUUGAUAUAAGAGUUUCGGUUGCGAUGUUUGCCGUGCUGCCAGGUAAUUGAAAUUAUGUAUGCGUCGCAUUGAAAAAUAAGUCGACCGUCUCCUAAUUAAAUAAGAAAGCUACCCCAUAUGUCCUGAUCUCCACUUGAAAACAAAGACUCGAGACUCCACAAAGUCAGUCAAUGCGAGAGGAGAGUUUUGAAUUGUACCGAAAUAUCCAAAGCCGUUCAGUGGCAGAGAAUACACGGACUUGUUCUUGCCACAAAUAUGUGUUACAUCAGAAAUUAAUACUGUACAACAUUCUAACCCGUGGUAGGGGAUAUACGGAAUGCUUCAAAGACGUUCCCUGCCUUAGAAAACCAAGUUCGGAAAAUGUCUCUUCUUUUUUCACCACAACAGCGACGGAACGUGUAAUUCCGUUUGGAGAUGGAGUACGAGAGUAUAAUUCCGUUUAGCAGGGUGAUAUUGGACAGCUACAUAUAUAUGCAAGAGAACCAAUGCUGGAAGCAAAAGCAGCGAGACACCUAAAGCUUAAUACACCAUUUUCCCACAAAUACUGUGAUGAAGACGAUGAGGCUCCUCUGCUUGCUCGUGCUGCUGUUGCUAUGGACGGCAACGGCACGAGCAUCCGCUGGCGUGCAUGGAAGCCGGGCCGGGAACAGGAGUGCUCUUCCCUCCCUUGCCGGCUGUCAGAAGAAUUGUGGCAACCUCAGCUUCGACUACCCGUUCGGCAUAGGGCCGGGCUGCUUCCGGCCGCCGCGGCGAGACUUUGAGCUCUUCUGCAACAGAACCCCCGAUGCGUCGCAGCCUCCCAGACUCUUCCUGUACGACGGCAUCACCGAGGUCGUCGAUGACAUCACGGCCGGCGAUCGCUAUGGCGAACAAUAUAUCGAGGUAUCGUUUUCCCAAUCCGUCCCGGUGAGACCUGAGGAGGAUGCAUACAUCAUCUCGUGGAAUCCUGGGAGAUCUCCCGGUGGCUAUUCUUUACAAUUAAACUUCACUGGUUGCGACUUCGACAUGUAUGUGCUCGAUCACGAUACGAACAAGACGGUGNNNNNNNNNNNNNNNNNNNNNNNNNNNNNNNNNNNNNNNNNNNNNNNNNNNNNNNNNNNNNNNNNNNNNNNNNNNNNNNNNNNNNNNNNNNNNNNNNNNNCACCUAGAUCCGGGUUGGUCUGCGGGGUGCGCGUUCCUCUGCCUCUCGGCGUCUGCACGCCAAGGAAGGUGAUCUCCAUUGGUCCCCGGUAAUGGCUGCAUUGAGCACUGGCAGGGUGCUGCUGCUCGGAUNNNNNNNNNNNNNNNNNNNNNNNNNNNNNNNNNNNNNNNNNNNNNNNNNNNNNNNNNNNNNNNNNNNNNNNNNNNNNNNNNNNNNNNNNNNNNNNNNNNNNNNNNNNNNNNNNNNNNNNNNNNNNNNNNNNNNNNUGCUGCUCGGAUCUGCUAUUAUGGCUCCAGAUCGGGCCGUGCCUGGUUCGUGGUGAGUCACCCUGGACGGCACGAGCAAGCUUUUCGGCCCGCUCGUGGCCCGUUCAGGACCGGACCGUACGGUCCAGGCCCGACAACAAAACAGGCCGGUCCGGGUUUAGGAAUCUAGACCGAAAAUAGUUUGGUCUGGUCCGGUCUUUAACCUGGCCGAACGAGCGGACCGAAGCCCAACAAGGUCGAUCUGCUUGCUAACUCCACGCAGUAUUCCCUCGCUCGAUUCCUCCACCUCUGCUCCUCGCUCGAUUAGUCCUCUCCCUCGCGACGGUGCCAGCGGCCACUCCCCUCACCGACGCGCGACGGCGACGGCAACAUCUCAUCCAAGCUGGUUCUCUGGUUCAUCGUCGAGCGCCACGAAGGGCAGCCUGAGGUAACCUGCUUAGUUCAUCUCCCCCGCCGCCUGCCCGNNNNNNNNNNNNNNNNNNNNNNNNNNNNNNNNNNNNNNNNNNNNNNNNNNNNNNNNNNNNNNNNNNNNNNNNNNNNNNNNNNNNNNNNNNNNNNNNNNNNNNNNNNNNNNNNNNNCCCCCGCCGCCUGCCCGCCGUCCUCCUCCCCGAUGCUCGAUGUCCUUGACCGCCGCCGUGGCCCGUAGCGCUGCGCCCAUCACGCGCGCCUCGUGCGACACCGGGAGGAGGAGAUCGAGCAGUUGCCUCCAUCCCUUACUGACUCUGAACCUGAUCCUAGACUCUGAACCUGAACUCUGAACCUGCAAAAUUGAGCACUAGUCUCUCUCAGCUAUCAUUCAGUGCAUCAAAUUGCUAAUUUACAGCUCUACUUGUUCUAAAAAGUUGGCAGCUCAACAUAUGCCUAAACACCACCGAUCGACCACCAUCCAAGGGCCGCUGNNNNNNNNNNNNNNNNNNNNNNNNNNNNNNNNNNNNNNNNNNNNNNNNNNNNNNNNNNNNNNNNNNNNNNNNNNNNNNNNNNNNNNNNNNNNNNNNNNNNNNNNNNNNNNNNNNNNNNNNNNNNNNNNNNNNNNNNNNNNNNNNNNNNNNNNNNNNNNNNNNNNNNNNNNNNNNNNNNNNNNNNNNNNNNNNNNNNNNNNNNNNNNNNNNNNNNNNNNNNNNNNNNNNNNNNNNNNNNNNCUCGUUCCCAACCCCGAACAUGUUAUCUCGGUCACGCAAGAUCAGGAGGUAUUGACCUUUCUACAAGUGUCGCUCUCCCGUGAAGUUUUGCUUCACGUGAGCAACUGCACCACCGUCGCCACCGGUUGGACUGCUCUGCUGGAAAGUUUUUCCUCACAANNNNNNNNNNNNNNNNNNNNNNNNNNNNNNNNNNNNNNNNNNNNNNNNNNNNNNNNNNNNNNNNNNNNNNNNNNNNNNNNNNNNNNNNNNNNNNNNNNNNCCAUCAACCGCGUUCUUUGCAAUGCUUCCACUUAGCGAUCUUCAAGGGUAGGAAGAUGCACUCCCUCUCUCUCGUUGCUAGCAUCUCCUAGAUUUAACUUGAUGACACGUAGAUUUUUUUUUUUAAUUAUUAAUACGUUCCCCAACACCGGUGUCCGGCAACAUAGCCAGCGGCCGGGUCGCGGGAAUUCGACGGGGCAUCGACCAUGGCGGGGGGGGGGCAGACGGGAGGGGGGUGNNNNNNNNNNNNNNNNNNNNNNNNNNNNNNNNNNNNNNNNNNNNNNNNNNNNNNNNNNNNNNNNNNNNNNNNNNNNNNNNNNNNNNNNNNNNNNNNNNNNNNNNNNNNNNNNNNNNNNNNNNNNNNNNNNNNNNNNNNNNNNNNNNAAAGGGAGGGCACGUCGCGAGAGGGUUUUCGGGGGAAAUGAAAUGAAAUGGGGCGUGGGGGCAGGAAGGUCGUGCUGCCUUGUGCCACCGACGGGCGGACCAGGGGUAGGACAAGCGUGCACGUUCCGCCCGUCUGUGCGGCAUCCGCGCGUUGUCCGUUUCACCUCAAACCCGGGUGAAGUUUGAGCCGAGAAUGGGUCGAAAGCGGACAGAAAACGAACAAACGUCCGUUUGCGGCCCGCUGGGCUGCCUGGUGUGUCCGUUUUGCCCCAAAAGGACGCAGGCGAACAGGAUAGGGUCACGCGCUGGAGUUUGUCUUAGUGGCAAAUAAAUGAGUGACCAAAAUCGCAUCCGGAUUGGGUAAAAUGUUAGGACAGCAGUGACGUCAGCCCGGACACUGCCUUCUUGGUUUGAUGGUUGGGCCCCCNNNNNNNNNNNNNNNNNNNNNNNNNNNNNNNNNNNNNNNNNNNNNNNNNNNNNNNNNNNNNNNNNNNNNNNNNNNNNNNNNNNNNNNNNNNNNNNNNNNNNNNNNNNNNNNNNNNNNNNNNNNNNNNNNNNNNNNNNNNNNNNNNNNNNNNNNNNNNNNNNNNNNNNNNNNNNNCCCCGCCUCGACGUCAGAGCAUCUCCAACAGCCGCGCUAAACUAGUGCCGCGCCGCAAAUUAGGCCGUUUUAGCGUGCGCGCAACGCGGCGCGUGGCUCCAGCGGGCGCGCAAAAAUGGCGCGCGCGGCAUAUGCAGUUCAGCGCGCUGGCCGAAACGCAAUCGCGCACCGCUUAUUUGUUGCGCCCCCUCCCGCGCGCUGGACUCUCGCGCGCUCGCUCUCCCACUUCCACCCCCCCCCCNNNNNNNNNNNNNNNNNNNNNNNNNNNNNNNNNNNNNNNNNNNNNNNNNNNNNNNNNNNNNNNNNNNNNNNNNNNNNNNNNNNNNNNNNNNNNNNNNNNNNNNNNNNNNNNNNNNNNNNNNNNCCGGUGCACCAGAUAUCCCCCCCCCCCCAUCCGGCCGCGCCGCCGCCGCCACCCGCGCCCCCCGGCGACCGUUCAGGCGCUUCCUCGGCCUAUCCCCGCGCCACCGCGCUUCCGCCCCACCCCCUCCUAGUCCCGCCGGCCCUCGCGCGCCUCCAUCGUCCGAGGAACAGCGCCCGAGCGCUCGCUACCGCGCCGCGCCCGCAAGGUGUUCGACAAAACGCCUACAAGGUAUGUAUUGCUCAAACUUCAUGAAUUUGGUGCAUGUUUUGAAUUGUAGUUUUUAUAAUAUAGUAUUGAACAUUGUAGAUGAGUUCGUCGUAUGAUUCUUCCGAAGAAGAAUUUGAUAUGGAAGAGAAGGAGGAUCUUGCAAUGAUCAUAGCUAUGCAUAUCAAUAAAAAACCGAAGCAUGGUGGAUCGGUUAUGGGUCGGGAGAAAAUUUGGAGAGAUAGGAUUGAUGCCCAUAACAGAUUGAUGAAGAACUAUUUCGUGGAGAAUCCCACAUACCCGGAGUCGUAUUUUCAUCGCCGGUUUAGGAUGAGCACCGACUUGUUCAGGCGCAUUGCAGAGAAACUAGCGAGCCAUGACCGGUUUUUCCAGCAAAGGAGGAAUGUUUCCGGAGAGCUCGGACAUAGCACCUUUCUGAAGGUGACAGCCGAUUUACGUAUGUUGGCAUACGAUAUCCCGGCUGAUCUAGUUGAUGAUCACUUGGCUAUGGGUGAGAACUAAACCAUCAUGUGUGUCAAGCGCUUUGCAGUGGGAAUUGUGCAAGUGUUUGGCGAGGAGUAUUUGAGAUCUCCCACUGCUGAAGACGUCCCAAGGCUAUUGGCGAUGAACAAAUCUCGCGGCUUUCCUGGCAUGCUUGGCUCAGUAGAUUGCAUGCAUUGGAGUUGGAAGAAUUGUCCAAAGGCAUGGCAUGGGCAAUUCCACGGCCAAAAAAAGGGUUCUACUAUAAUCCUUGAAGCGGUGGCCGAUCAGGAGACUUGGAUUUGGCCUGCAUUCUUUGGAAUGCCUGGAUCUUUGAAUGACAUCAAUGUUGUCAACCGGUCACUACUGAUGAAUAAGAUUGCAAAUGGUGAGUUACCACCGGUGCAGUUUGUAGCAAAUGGUCGUACGUAUAACUAUGGCUCUUAUCUAUCGAAUGGCAUCUAUCCAAAGUGGCAAACCUUCGUGAAGCCGUUGAAAAAGCCGGAAGGUAAGAAAAAUCUUGAUUUCCACAAUGCUCAGGCGGCGGCUAGAAAAGAUGUGAAGAGAGCAUUUGGGAUUUUGCAAGCCCAAUUUGCUAUUGUGAGAGGACCGGCUAGAUUUUGGGAUCAAAAAAUGCUUUGAUACAUCAUGCACGCUUGUGUGAUCAUGCACAACAUGAUCAUCGAGAAUGAGCGUGGCCAAGAUUUAGACUACUCACAGUAUGAGCUCUUGGAACAUCCCGUGCUAGUGCGACGGAGGGCUGAAAGGGUAGCCCGUUUUGUUGCCUCCUAUCAUGUCAUUCAGCGUCCCGCAACGCACAAUGAACAUCAAAAGGAUCUGAUUGAAGAGUGGUGGGCAUGGCACGGACGACAAAGAACAUGAUUUCUGCAUUCGACAUUGUAUUGUUCAUGAAGUAUUGGUUGUGUUUAUUGCAUUAUUUGUUAUACUGAACGAUAAACUAUUUGUUUGAGUUGUAAUGACUAUUUAUUGUUGAUUUAUUUUGUUUGUUUGAUCAUUUUUGCUCCUCUUUUCUAAAAUGUAUAUUUAGUUUGUGCGUGUUGCGCGCGCUGUAUUUUUGCGCGCUGUUGGAGCGGCGCGCGUGCUGCAUUAUAGCGUGGCCGUUGGAGCCAGCGCUGGCGGCCGCGCUAAACCAACCGAAGCGCGCGCGACAAACAGGUUUUUUGCGCGCGGCGCGAAGCGCGGCUGUUGAACGGAACCAUCGUAGUGGGGACGCCAUUCACUAGUGGAGAAAGGGGUAUUAGAACCGGUUGGUAAGGGCCUUUGGACCCGGAUACACAUCCGGUGCUACGUAUCCGGGACUAAAGGCCCCCCACUUUAGCACCGGUCUCUUACAAACCGGUGCUAAAGGCCUCCACGUGGGCGCCGAAAAGUGCGCACAGGCGGAGGACCUUUAGGACCGGUUGGUAACACCAACCGGUCCUAAUGCUUUUUUUUUCUUUUUUUUUCCUUUUCUUUUCAGGGUUUCCGAUUCCGUAUUUCGGUGUUUUCGUGUUCCGUAUUUUCAGGGUUUUCGUUUACGUGUUUCCGGUUCCGUAUUUCCGUUUACGUCUUUCCGAUUCCGUGUUUCCGAUUCCGUGUGUCCGUGUUCCGUUUUUUACGAACACGUAAUCGGAAACACGUAUCCGGAAACACCGAUUCCGUGUUUGCGGUUAAGUGUUUCUCCGACUCCGUGUUUGCGGUUAAAUGUUGAUGCACCAAAUAAAAGUACAUAUAUACAUGUAACACGAAGUACUGGACCGAUUAUCAUUACAUAAUUUGAAGUUCGUUUCCUAUAUAUAGCUCUAUACUUGCAUAGAGAAGGGAGCUGGCUAUUGGUUCAUAGGAUGGAAAAAUUCUCCGCCUUCAUCUAUGACUUGCGUGAGGAGAAAUCCUGCCAAUUCCUCUACAACUGCCUUGCAACGUUGGAUUGGUCUUAGCAUCGCCCGCUUUCGUUGCAGCUUUAAAAGAAGUAGAUGAAAACAAUUAAGUUAUGAACAAAACUAACAUAAUUGAUGGCAACAUAAAUAAAGUUAUGAAGAUCCGGUUACGUACCUCUAGAUUUCUGGAAGUACAGGAUUUCUCAUUGAUAAUCCUGUGAAUGUACUCGCAAACGUAGUAUCCACAAUAAUCAGUGCCCUGUGGUUGUUGCGGGACGCCCUAUAUACGAGAACAUAAUUCAGUCAAAUUAAUAAUAAUCAAGAGAAUGGUAAUGGUAUUGAAACCAGGGUACGUAGUACUACUUACUUUGUUAAUCUGAAAGUGGAGCUUGUCUGCCCAUGUACCGGGUUCUUCCUUGAUGAACAUUUGCCAAACCCUGGCCGACAAAGAAAAAUGAAUACAAGAGUUAAUUAUUACUUACUUGAUAUCAGGAAAUGAACGAAAAAGAGGCCGAUGAACGAAAGAGGCCGAUAUAUAUAUACCUUUGAAGCAUCUGACGCGCGCUCUUCCAUUUGUCAGCGUCCCAGGUUAACGGGUCCCAGACUUCAACCACUCCUUGAUCGAUUCUAAUGAUGAACAAUAUGAAGUGGGACCUGCGCACGUGUACACACGCAGUCAUGCAUACUCAUCAAUUACACUUAACAUCAGGUAAGCAAAAUGGAAUGUGUACAAGACAGUAACACUCACUUGAAUGCGUAGGGCCAAAGUAUUUCUUUUUUGGUACUUUGUCGCUUCAAAAACCUUAGCAAAUCAUCCGGUGUAUCCUUGUUUAACUUUUCUAUUGUCUCUUGAUGAAACGAAUACGGGUCAAUGAACCCAAAGUCCCAGAUUCCUGCCAGCCUGCAUUCACGAAUCUUCAUUCUGCAUAGUAGCGUACAAAAAGAAUGUCUCGUGAGUGAUAAUUAUACGGGCAAUGAACGCGAGCUUAACUAAAUAAUUAAAUUACACAAGUAAAUCACUUACAAACAGUAGCAGCUGACGAUAGCUUUGUCGGGGGCACGUUGAUUGUACAUCUGGAAAAAAUCAUUGAACCCAACCUCCACACCGUACUCUCCGAAGUAGUGUUGAUCCUGAACCGCCGCCAUGAUACAGUCUCUCUUUUGCCUUGCGGCCUCCAAGUACCAACCAUGUAAAUUCCAUAGUUGGGUUGUUAGAGCACUAGGAUUUUCGACCAGAGGCUGCUCGGGCUUAUAUUUAUAUACCACAUCAGCAAUAGCGUAACCUACGUCGCCCAUGCGUGGACCGGACACUGAAGCCUGGUCAGAUAACACCUUGAGCGGGGCAAUUGACUGUGCUUCUUGUUGUCCGAACUGGGGAACUUGUUUCCCGCAUUUCGUCUGCUCCGCCUGCUUCAUCUGUGCGGUGUGCAUCUUUUCAAUGAACCGUUCAUAGUCUGAAAGGGGCGGCGGUGGCGGCGGUUCAGGAUAAUAUAAGUUGUCGAUGGUGCGCUCAAUUUUCCACUUUGGUACGUUCUUCAGAGUUUCCUUCCAGAUGUCUGGAGGGGGCUUCAGGGGAAACCGUGCGAACCAUGCUUUGUUUUUGGCUUUCACGGCCUCGUCUAGUUCCUCCGGAGUCAUCAGGCCUGGUAACUUCGGGGGAGUCUUGACUUUAUUGGGUUUCCUUUCUCUCUUCUUGGGAGGACUCCCGUUUCUUUUGAACUACAGCUUCCGCUUUGCCGUACCCGUAGUGCGUGCAUCAGUCGGCUCACUGGAGUGCACGGGCGAUGGACACUCGGCCUCGGGCUCCCUAUGUUCGUUGUGGGGUGGACUUGGAGGUGCGUUGGGGGGUGGACUUGGAGGUGCGUUGGGGGGUGGACUUGGAAGUGCGUUGGGGGUGGACUUGGAGGUCGUGCAUUCUCUGUACGAAAGUGAAAAAACUAUUAAAAAUAGGCUUACAUGUGGUGCAACAUUCAGUAAUUGUUGGAGGUGGUGCAUAAUUGUACCUGGAGGAGUCGGUGGCCUUGGCGCCGCGUUAGGAAACACGAUGUGUUUCUUCUUCCACAAGAUGAUACCUAGCUCCAUUUCUCCCAGUGUCUUCUCGCCUUCACCUCCAGGAAUAUCAAGCUCAAUUGACUGGCAUCCCGGCGUAAUUGUUGGCAACCCGACACGAGCAUGGGAUGCUGGAAUCUGACCACCAUGGUAGGUUGCUCCAGGUUGAUUCGGUAAAGCAUAGCCUGACGCCACCAUGAAGGAUAUGUUCCCCAUUGGCAUAUGUAUCUCACAGUUUGUCUUCUCCGUGACAUCAUCCACGGGGUAGUGAGGCGCCGACGGUUCGACUGCAGGACCGUCUUGUAGCUGCAGCUGCAUGGAACCCACGCUGCUUCUAUGCUGAGAUGGGACGGCAUCUGCUACAGGAUCGUCUUCUAAUUGCUGCCUAUCAGCGUCAGGUGCAGGAUCUUCUUCCUCCUCUUCAGUGUCAGGUACAGGGUGUCCCCCUUUCUUCAAGAGAAACGACACCUUUUCUUCUAAUGUCGCUAUCCGUUCCAGCGCCUUCCUCUUGCUUCUACCACGGCUUCUGUAAGUGCCAAGGUCCGCCGGAAACCCUUGGUUCCACGGGGUAGUGGCUCCAAAGCCUCGUGUUCGUCCCCACUUUUCGGGGUUCCCGAGUGCCUUCGUCAACUCGUCGUUCUCUCUAUCGGGAACAAAAGUUCCUUUUCGAACAGCUUCUAUUGCCUUCUCUAGAUCUGAUACGACUUGUCUUAUUUUUUCCGACCAUGGUCCCUCCGCAACAAUCAUCCCAGUCUCAGCGUCCAACGUUGCCCCAUGCGCGAACAACCAGAACUUGGACCUAUCGGGCCAGUCAUGUGUCUGUGGAAUGAUAUUUCUUUUCAAAAGCGCAUCUUCAUAGCGUCGCCACCUAGGCAGGGCAGUCAUGUAGCCACCUGACCCCAAAAUAUGGUGAUAUUUCUUCUUCUUCGCAUUCUCCGUAUUUGUGGCUGAUCGGGAUGUAAAGACACCCGAUUUCUUGUACGCCUUAAAAUCAGGCCAAGCGUCUCUUAUCUUCACUAGGUGCCCAGUGAAAACUGGACCUUCGUCCUUAUAUUUCUUCCACAAGUCUUUCUUCCACCUCUGGAAUUGUGUGGCCAUCUUCUUCAAAGCCCACUCCUCGACUUUCUUCUUCUUAUCUUCCGCUAUGCUGAAAUUUAGCCAGACCGUGUCGCAAAGCACUCUUUUCAAUCUGUCAUCGACAUAAGUAGCUCCAACAUUGGCGCCGGUCUUCGUCUUAUUCCAUUCUAUUAAGUUGAUCGGGACCAGGUCUCUUACAACAACUCCGCACUGAUUUACAAAUUUGCGAUAAGUUUCUGGGGGUUCCAAUGGUUUGCCAUCAGCAGCAACUUUAUCGAUCGAGUACCUUGCAGUAUCUUUCAACCUUGCGGCCGGGCCUCGUUUCGACUUUGUCUCAGUACUUGCGCUAGGUGUUCCGGAGGGCACCUAAACGGGAAAAUAAUGAUUCGUUAGUAAGUGCAAUACAAAUUAAUUGUUGCGUCAACGGUGACUUGAGAUAUACAUUGGCAGAGUUUGUUCUGGAGGGCACUUCUUCAUCUACUACAUCUUCUAUAUUCUCAGCUCCGUCACCGGAGUCGUUCAAAAAUUGAUUGCUAAACGCAUGCCCACCGUCGUCAUCAUGAUAUAUGGCCGUUGCAUCUUCAAAAAUCAUCUGGCACAUGUAUCUUUCCUUCUCCGCCUCACCCAUUUCCGCGAGCUGAUCGGCGUGCUGAUCAUGUGGUUCUUGGGGAUCCAUAGCUCAACACCUGCUAGUAACAAGAAUUUAACUUAGCAAAAUUAUUUACGGAAAAGUUUUACGGAACCGGAAAUUUUACGGAAAAGUUUUACGGAAUCGUCAGAGUCGUAAUCAUCGCAAAGUUUUACGGAAUCGUCGGAAAGUUUUACGGAGUCGUCGGAAUCGUCGGAAACUUUCCCCGCAGUUAUGGAACCGUCGGAAUCGUAGGAAAGUUUUACAGAAUUGUAAUCGUCGGAAAGUUUUACGGAAUCGUCGGAAUCGUCGGAAACUUUCCCCGCAGUUAUGGAAUCGUCGGAAUCGUAGGAAAGUUUUACGGAAUUGUAAUCGUCGGAAAGUUUUACGAAAUCGUCGGAAUCGUCGGUUUAGGGUUUUAAUGAAUCGUCGGUUUAGGGUAAACUAUGAAUCGUCGAAAUCAUCGGAAUCGUCGGUUUAGGGUUUUACGGAAUCGUCGGUUUAGGGUAAACUAUGAAUCGUCGGAAUCGUCGGUUUAGGGUAAACUAUGAAUCGUCGGAAUCGUCGGAAUCGUCGGUUUAGGGUUUUACGGAAUCAUCGGAAUCGUCGUUUUAGGGUAAACUAUGAAUCGUCGGAAUCGUCGGAAUCGUCGGUUUAGGGUUUUACGGAAUCGUCGGAAUAUGAUGAUGGCGGCUUCACGUAACUUUUUUUUUAUAGGAUGUCCUUACGUGAAUAUACGAAAAUAUGGAUAUACCUUUGACGACGGUGCGGCGAAGAGGCGGCGAGGAGGCGACGUUGCGGCGAGGAGGUGGCGCGAGGAUCGGCGAGGAGGUGGCGCGAGGAGGCCGCGCGCGAGGAGGCGGCGAGGAUCGGCGAGGAGGCGGCGGCCGGCGCGGCGAGGAGGCGACGGCCCGGCGAGGAGGCGGCGNNNNNNNNNNNNNNNNNNNNNNNNNNNNNNNNNNNNNNNNNNNNNNNNNNNNNNNNNNNNNNNNNNNNNNNNNNNNNNNNNNNNNNNNNNNNNNNNNNNNUUCCACCAAAUAAUCCAACUAGCAUCAACUACAAAGAGUAAUCAACACUACUAGCAACCUUACAAGUACCAAUCGGAGUUGCGAGACGAAGAUUGGUUACAAGAGAUGAACUAGGAAUUGGAGAGGAGAUGGUGUUGAUGAAGAUGUUGAUGAAGAUGCCUCCCCUCCGACGAGAGGAGUGUUGGUGAUGACGAUGGCGGCGAUUUCCCCCUCCGGGAGGGAAGUUUCCCUGGCAGGAUCGUCCUGCCGGAGCUCUAGAUUGGAUAUGCUCAAGUUCCGCCUCGUGGCGGCGGCGAAACCACGAAAAAGCUGUCUCUUGAUUUUUUCUGGACCAGGACGCUUCAUAUAGCAAAAGAGGGGGGCUAGUGGGCCGUGAGGGAGCCCACAAGCCCCCACUCCGCCACCAGGGGGGUGGCGGUGUUAGGGCUUGUGGCGCCCUGGCAGCCCCCCUCCGGUAGUUCUUUCGCCCAGUAUUUUUUAUAGAAUCCAUAAAAAAUCCACGUAACUUUUCAGGGCAUUUGGAGAUGUGCAUAAUAGUGGACUAGGAUUUGCUCCUUUUCCGGUCCAGAAUUCCAGCUGCCUGAAUUCUCCCUCNNNNNNNNNNNNNNNNNNNNNNNNNNNNNNNNNNNNNNNNNNNNNNNNNNNNNNNNNNNNNNNNNNNNNNNNNNNNNNNNNNNNNNNNNNNNNNNNNNNNGUGGGUUGCCCCCCCCGGUGAACACCCGGAACCCAUUCGUCAUUCCCGGUACAUUCCCGAUAACUCUGAAAACCUUCCGAUAAUCAAAUGAGGUCAUCCUAUAUAUCAAUCUUCAUUUCCGGACCUAUUCCGGAAACCCUCGUGACGUCCAUGAUCUCAUCCGGGACUCCGAACAACAUUCGGUAACCANNNNNNNNNNNNNNNNNNNNNNNNNNNNNNNNNNNNNNNNNNNNNNNNNNNNNNNNNNNNNNNNNNNNNNNNNNNNNNNNNNNNNNNNNNNNNNNNNNNNNNNNNNNNNNNNNNNNNNNNNNNNNNNNNNNNNNNNNNNNNNNNNNNNNNNNNNNNNNNNNNNNNNNNNNNNNNNNNNNNNNNNNNNNNNNNNNNNNNNNNNNNNNNNNNNNNNNNNNNNNNNNNNNNNNNNNNNNNNNNNNAGAACUAUGUAGACAUGACCCGAGAGACUCCUCGGUCAAUAUCCAAUAGCGGGACCUGGAUGCCCAUAUUGGAUCCUACAUAUUCUACGAAGAUCUUAUCGUUUGAACCUCAGUGCCAAGGAUUCAUAUAAUCCCGUAUGUCAUUCCCUUUGUCCUUCGGUAUGNNNNNNNNNNNNNNNNNNNNNNNNNNNNNNNNNNNNNNNNNNNNNNNNNNNNNNNNNNNNNNNNNNNNNNNNNNNNNNNNNNNNNNNNNNNNNNNNNNNNNNNNNNNNNNNNNNNNNNNNNNNNNNNNNNNNNNNNNNNNNNNNNNNNNNNNNNNNNNNNNNNNNNNNNNNNNNNNNNNNNNNNNNNNNNNNNNNNNNNNNNNNNNNNNNNNNNNNNNNNNNNNNNNNNNNNNNNNNNNNNNNNNNNNNNNNNNNNNNNNNNNNNNNNNNNNNNNNNNNNNNNNNNNNNNNNNNNNNNNNNNNNNNNNNNNNNNNNNNNNNNNNNNNNNNNNNNNNNNNNNNNNNNNNNNNNNNNNNNNNNNNNNNNNNNNNNNNNNNNNNNNNNNNNNNNNGGAGAUACCUGUAGAGCAUCUUUAUAGUCACCCAGUUACGUUGCGACGUUUGAUACACACAAAGUAUUCCUCCGGUGUCAGUGAGUUAUAUGAUCUCAUGGUCAUAGGAACAAAUACUUGACACGCAGAAAACAGUAGCAACAAAAUGACACGAUCAACAUGCUACGUCUAUUAGUUUGGGUCUAGUCCAUCANNNNNNNNNNNNNNNNNNNNNNNNNNNNNNNNNNNNNNNNNNNNNNNNNNNNNNNNNNNNNNNNNNNNNNNNNNNNNNNNNNNNNNNNNNNNNNNNNNNNNNNNNNNNNNNNNNNNNNNNNNNNNNNNNNNNNNNNNNNNNNNNNNNNNNNNNNNNNNNNNNNNNNNNNNNNNNNNNNNNNNNNNNNNNNNNNNNNNNNNNNNNNNNNNNNNNNNNNNNNNNNNNNNNNNNNNNNNNNNNNNNNNNNNNNNNNNNNNNNNNNNNNNNNNNNNNNNNNNNNNNNNNNNNNNNNNNNNNNNNNNNNNNNNNNNNNNNNNNNNNNNNNNNNNUAGCAUGGAUAAUAAAUGAUUAUCUUGAUACAUGAAUUAUAAUAAUAACUAUAUUUAUUAUUGCCUCUAGGGCAUAAUUCCAACAGUCUCCCACUUGCACUAGAGUCAAUAAUCUAGCCCGCACAUCAUCAUGCGAAUUACAUUGUAAUAAAUCUAACACCCCUACAAUUCUGGUGUUGAUCAUGCUUUGCCCGUGGAAGAGGUUUAGUCAACGGGUCUGCUACAUUCAGAUCCGUGUGCACUUUGCAUAUAUUUACGUCCUCCCCUUCGAUGUAGUCGCGGAUGAGGUUGAAGCGUCGUUUGAUGUGUCUGGACUUCUUGUGAAACCGUGGUUCCUUUGCUAGGGCAAUGGCACCCGUGUUGUCACAGAACAAGGUUAUUGGAUUCAGUGCGCUUGGCACCACUCCAAGAUCCGUCAUGAACUGCUUCAUCCAGACACCCUCCUUAGCUGCCUCCGAGGCAUCCAUGUACUCCGCUUCACAUGUAGAAUCUGCUACGACGCUCUGCUUGGAACUGCACCAGCUUACCGCACCCCCAUUAAGAAUAAAUAUGUAUCUGGUUUGCGACUUAGAGUCGUCCGGAUCUGUGUCAAAGCUUGCAUCGACGUAACCUUUUACGGCGAGCUCUUCGUCACCUCCAUACACGAGAAACAUCUCCUUAGUCCUUUUCAGGUACUUCAGGAUAUUCUUGACCGCCGUCCAGUGAUCCACUUCUGGAUUACUCUGGAACCUACCUGCCAUACUUAUGGCCAGGCUAACGUCCGGUCUAGUGCACAGCAUUGCAUACAUGAUAGAACCUAUGGCUGAAGCAUAGGGGACGGUGCUCAUAUGCUCUCUAUCCUCAUCAGUUGCUGGGCACUGAGUCUUACUCAAUCUCGUACCUUGUAAAACUGGCAAGAACCCUUUCUUGGACUGUUCCAUUUUGAACCUCUUCAAAACUUUAUCAAGGUAUAUGCUUUGUGAAAGUCCUAUCAGGCGUUUUGAUCUAUCCCUGUAGAUCUUAAUGCCUAGAAUGUAAGCAGCUUCUCCUAGGUCCUUCAUAGAGAAACUUUUAUUCAAGUAAUCCUUUAUGCUCUCCAAAAACUCUACGUUGUUUCCAAUCAGCAAUAUGUCAUCCACAUAUAAUAUUAGAAACGCCACAAAGCUCCCACUCACUUUCUUGUAAAUACAAGAUUCUCCAACCACUUGUAUAAACCCAAAUGCUUUGAUCACCUCAUCAAAACGUUUGUUCCAACUCCGAGAUGCUUGCACCAGUCCAUAAAUGGAUCGCUGGAGCUUGCACACCUUGUUAGCAUUCUUAUGAUCGACAAAACCUUCGGGUUGCAUCAUAUACAACUCUUCCUUAAGGAAACCGUUAAGGAACGCCGUUUUGACAUCCAUUUGCCAGAUUUCAUAAUCGAAAAAUGCAGCUAUUGCUAACAUGAUUCUGACGGACUUAAGAAUCCAUACGGGUGAGAAUGUCUCAUCGUAGUCAACUCCUUGAACUUGUGAAAAACCCUUUGCCACAAGUCGAGCUUUAUAAACGGUCACAUUGCCGUCAGCGUCCGUCUUCCUCUUAAAGAUCCUUUUGUUCUGAAUAGCCUUGCGACCCUCAGGUAGUACUUCCAAAGUCCACACUUUGUUCUCAUACAUGGAUCCUAUCUCGGACUUCAUGGCUUCUAGCCAUUUGUUGGAAUCUGGGCCCACCAUCGCUUCUUCAUAAUUUGCAGGUUCAUUGUUGUCUAACAACAUGAUUGACAAGACGGGAUUACCGUACCACUCUGGAGCAGCACGUGGUCUCGUUGACCUGCGUGGUUCGACAGAAACUUGAACUGGAGUUUCAUGAUCAUCAUCAUUAACUUCCUCCUCAACCGGCGUCGCAACGACAGAGGUUUCCCCUUGCCCUGCGCCACCAUCUAGAGGGAUGAGAGGUUCGACAACCUCAUCAAGUUCUAUCUUCCUCCCACUCAAUUCUCUGGAGAGAAACUCCUUCUCGAGAAAAGCUCCGUUUUUAGCAACAAACACUUUGCCUCGGAUUUGAGAUAGAAGGUGUACCCAACUGUCUCUUUUGGGUACCCUAUGAAGAUGCACUUUUCCGCUUUGGGUUCCAGUUUUUCAGGCUGAAGAUUUUUGACAUAAGCAUCACAUCCCCAAACUUUAAGAAACGACAACUUUGGCCUUUUUCCAUACCACAGUUCAUAUGGUGUCGUCUCAACGGAUUUUGAUGGUGCCCUAUUUAAAGUGAAUGCAGUUGUUUCUAAUGCAUAACCCCAAAACGAUAACGGCAAAUCGGUAAGAGACAUCAUAGAUCGCACCUCUCUAAUAAAGUACGAUUACGACGUUCGGACACACCAUUACGCUGUGGUGUUCCAGGCGGUGUCAACUGUGAAACAAUUCCACAUUGUCUUAAGUGAGCACCAAACUCGAAACUCAGAUAUUCACCCCCACGAUCAGACCGUAGGAACUUGAUCUUCUUGUUACGAUAAUUUUCAACUUCACUCUGAAAUUCCUUGAACUUUUCAAAUGUUUCAGACUUGUGCUUCAUUAAGUAGACAUAACCAUAUCUACUCAAAUCGUCAGUGAAGGUGAGAAAAUAACGAUAUCCGCCGCGUGCCUCCACGCUCAUCGGACCGCACACAUCGGUAUGUAUGAUUUCCAACAAGUCACUUGCACGCUCCAUUGUUCCGGAGAACGGAGUUUUAGUCAUCUUGCCCAUGAGGCAUGGUUCGCAUGUGUCAAGUGAAUCAAAGUCAAGUGACUCCAAAAGUCCAUCGGCAUGGAGUUUCUUCAUGCGUUUUACACCAAUAUGACCUAAGCGGCAGUGCCAAAAAAAUAUGGCGCAAUCAUUGUUAACUCUAACUCUUUUGGUCUCAAUGUUAUGUAUGUGUGUAUCACUAUCAAGAUUCAAUAUGAACAAUCCUCUCACGUUGGGUGCAUGACCAUAAAAGAUGUUACUCAUAGAAAUAGAACAACCAUUAUUCUCUGACUUAAAAGAGUAACCGUCUCGCAAUAAACAAGAUCCAGAUAUAAUGUUCAUGCUCAACGCAGGCACUAAAUAACAAUGAUUCAAGUUCAGAACUAAUCCUGAUGGUAACUGAAGUGAAACUGUGCCGACGGCGAUUGCAUCAACCUUGGAACCAUUUCCUACGCGCAUCGUCACUUCAUCUUUCGCUAGCCUUCGUCUAUUCCGCAGUUCCUGUUUCGAGUUGCAAAUAUGAGCAACAGAACCGGUAUCGAAUACCCAGACACUACUACGAGAGCCGGUUAAGUACACAUCAAUAACAUGUAUAUCAAAUAUACCUGAUUUUUCUUUGACCGCCUUCUUAUCAGCCAGAUACUUGGGGCAAUUGCGCUUCCAAUGACCCAUACCCUUGCAACAGUAACACUCUGUUUCAGGCUUAGGUCCAGCUUUGGGUUUCUUCGUCGGAUUGGCAACAGGCUUGCCGCUCUUCUUUGAAUUACCCUUCUUGCCUUUGCCUUUCUCUUGAAACUAGUGGUCUUAUUCAUCAUCAACACUUGAUGCUCUUUACGGAGUUCAGACUCUGCGACUUUCAGCAUCGCAAACAACUCGCUGGGAGACUUGUUCAUCCCUUGCAUGUUGUAGUUCAACACAAAGCCUUUAUAGCUUGGCGGCAGUGAUUGAAGGAUUCUGUCAGUGAUAGCUUCUUGCGGGAGUUCAAUCCCCAGCUCAGCUAGACGGUUUGAGUACCCAGACAUUUUGAGCACAUGUUCACUGACAGACGAGUUNNNNNNNNNNNNNNNNNNNNNNNNNNNNNNNNNNNNNNNNNNNNNNNNNNNNNNNNNNNNNNNNNNNNNNNNNNNNNNNNNNNNNNNNNNNNNNNNNNNNNNNNNNNNNNNNNNNNNNNNNNNNNNNNNNNNNNNNNNNNNNNNNNNNNNNNNNNNNNNNNNNNNNNNNNNNNNNNNNNNNNNNNNNNNNNNNNNNNNNNNNNNNNNNNNNNNNNNNNNNNNNNNNNNNNNNNNNNNNNNNNNNNNNNNNNNNNNNNNNNNNNNNNNNNNNNNNNNNNNNNNNNNNNNNNNNNNNNNNNNNNNNNNNNNNNNNNNNNNNNNNNNNNNNUGAGUAGUCCUCCUUACGUGCUAACCAAGCGUUCUUAACAUCCUGAUCAGCCGUAGCGGGUGGUUCAUCUCCUAGCGCAGCAUUAAGGACAUAAUCCUUCUUCCCAGCUUGUAAGAUUAGCUUAAGAUUACGAGCCCAGUCUACAAAGUUUCUUCCAUCAUCUUUCAACUUAGCUUUCUCUAGGAACGUAUUAAAAUUCAGGGUGACUGUCGCGUGAGCCAUGAUCUACAACACAAAUAUUUUCAAAGUGGACUUAGACCAUGUUCAAGAUAAUUAGAGUUNNNNNNNNNNNNNNNNNNNNNNNNNNNNNNNNNNNNNNNNNNNNNNNNNNNNNNNNNNNNNNNNNNNNNNNNNNNNNNNNNNNNNNNNNNNNNNNNNNNNNNNNNNNNNNNNNNNNNNNNNNNNNNNNNNNNNNNNNNNNNNNNNNNNNNNNNNNNNNNNNNNNNNNNNNNNNNNNNNNNNNNNNNNNNNNNNNNNNNNNNNNNNNNNNNNNNNNNNNNNNNNNNNNNNNNNNNNNNNNNNNNNNNNNNNNNNNNNNNNNNNNNNNNNNNNNNNNNNNNNNNNNNNNNNNNNNNNNNNNNNNNNNNNNNNNNNNNNNNNNNNNNNNNNNNNNNNNNNNNNNNNNNNNNNNNNNNNNNNNNNNNNNNNNNNNNNNNNNNNNNNNNNNNNNNNNNNNNNNNNNNNNNNNNNNNNNNNNNUGUUUUGCACCCGUUGUAUGUGAACGUUGAGUCUAUCACACCCGAUCAUCACGUGGUGUCUCGAAACGACGAACUGUAGCAACGGUGCACAGUCGGGGAGAACACAAUUUCGUCUUGAAAUUUUUAGUGAGAGAUCACCUCAUAAUGCUACCGUCGUUCUAAGCAAAAUAAGGUGCAUAAAAGGAUUAACAUCACAUGCAAUUCAUAAGUGACAUGAUAUGGCCAUCAUCACGUGCUCCUUGAUCUCCAUCACCAAAGCACCGGCACGAUCUUCUUGUCACCGGCGCCACACCAUGAUCUCCAUCAACGUGUCGCCAUCGGGGUUGUCGUGCUACUCAUGCUAUUACUACUAAAGCUACAUCCUAGCAAAAUAGUAAACGCAUCUGCAAGCANNNNNNNNNNNNNNNNNNNNNNNNNNNNNNNNNNNNNNNNNNNNNNNNNNNNNNNNNNNNNNNNNNNNNNNNNNNNNNNNNNNNNNNNNNNNNNNNNNNNNNNNNNNNNNNNNNNNNNNNNNNNNNNNNNNNNNNNNNNNNNNNNNNNNNNNNNNNNNNNNNNNNNNNNNNNNNNNNNNNNNNNNNNNNNNNNNNNNNNNNNNNNNNGACGUGCAAGUCGAUAUUAUCUAUUACAACAUGAUCAUCUCAUACAUCCAAUAUAUCACAUCACAUCGUUGGCCAUAUCACAUCACAAGCAUACCCUGCAAAAACAAGUUAGACGUCCUCUAAUUUUGUUGUUGCAUGUUUUACGUGGUGACCAUGGGUAUCUAGUAGGAUCGCAUCUUACUUACGCAAACACCACAACGGAGAUAUAUGAGUUGCUAUUGAACCUCAUCCAAGGACCUCCUCGGUCAAAUCCGAUUCAACUAAAGUUGAAGAAACUGACAGUUGCCAGUCAUCUUUGAGCAACGGGGUUACUCGUAGCGAUGAAACCAGUCUCUCGUAAGCGUACGAGUAAUGUCGGUCCAAGCCGCUUCAAUCCAACAAUACCGCGGAAUCAAGAAAACACUAAGGAGGGCAGCAAAACGCACAUCAUCGCCCACAAAAACUUUUGUGUCCUACUCGAGAAGACAUCUACGCAUACACCUAGCUCAUGAUGCCACUGUUGGGGAACGUCGCAUGGGAAACAAAAAAUUUCCUACGCGCACGAAGACCUAUCAUGGUGAUGUCCAUCUACGAGAGGGGAUGUUUGAUCUACGUACCCUUGUAGACCGUACAGCAGAAGCGUUAGUGAACGCGGUUGAUGUAGUGGAACGUCCUCACGUCCCUCGAUCCGCCCCGCGAACNNNNNNNNNNNNNNNNNNNNNNNNNNNNNNNNNNNNNNNNNNNNNNNNNNNNNNNNNNNNNNNNNNNNNNNNNNNNNNNNNNNNNNNNNNNNNNNNNNNNCUAGUUUGCAUGCAUGCUGAACUCUUCAAAGACGUUCCCUACCUUACAAAAUCAAGUUCGGAAAAUGUCUGUCCUUUUUCCACCACAACAGCGACGGAACGUGUAAUUCCGUUUGAAAAUGGUGAUACUGGACAGGUACAUAAAUAUGCAAGAGUACCAAUGCUGGAAGCUAAAGCAGCGAGACACCUAAAGCUUAAUACACCAUUUUCCCACAAAUACUGUGAUGAAGACGAUGAGGAGCCUCUGCUUGGUCGCGCCGCUGUUGCUAUGGAUGGCAACGGUGCGAGCAUCCGCUGGCGUGCAAGGAAGCCAGGCCGGGAACAGGAGUGAUCUUCCCUCCCUGGCCGGCUGUCAGANNNNNNNNNNNNNNNNNNNNNNNNNNNNNNNNNNNNNNNNNNNNNNNNNNNNNNNNNNNNNNNNNNNNNNNNNNNNNNNNNNNNNNNNNNNNNNNNNNNNNNNNNNNNNNNNNNNNNNNNNNNNNNNNNNNNNNNNNNNNNNNNNNNNNNNNNNNNNNNNNNNNNNNNNNNNNNNNNNNNNNNNNNNNNNNNNNNNNNNNNNNNNNNNNNNNNNNNNNNNNNNNNNNNNNNNNNNNNNNNNNNNNNNNNNNNNNNNNNNNNNNNNNNNNNNNNNNNNNNNNNNNNNNNNNNNNNNNNNNNNNNNNNNNNNNNNNNNNNNNNNNNNNNNNNNNNNNNNNNNNNNNNNNNNNNNNNNNNNNNNNNNNNNNNNNNNNNNNNNNNNNNNNNNNNNNNNNNNNNNNNNNNNNNNNNNNNNNNNNNNNNNNNNNNNNNNNNNNNNNNNNNNNNNNNNNNNNNNNNNNNNNNNNNNNNNNNNNNNNNNNNNNNNNNNNNNNNNNUACGAACAAGACGGUGAGUCAGUGCAAUAGUACAUGCCCUGACGAAGACAUCACGGAUAAGGUGGUCAGCCUCAGGCAGGACUGCAACGGUACAGGAUGUUGCUCCACCCAUCUUAGAUCCGAGUCUAC
rnacentral:lncRNA from 1 species